UUUUUUUUGGUCAAGUAGUCUAAUCACCCCCCCCCCUCUAGACAUACUUUCGAUCCUAAAAUUGGUAUCAGAGCUUUGGUCUCCAUUUGCCUUUCAUGGGUGAAGCCCUCCAUGGAUUCGUGCAGCCGUUAGCCCGUUACCCUUCGUGGGUGGAGGCCUUCGUGGACUCGCGCAGCCGUUACCCUUCGCGGGUUGAAGUCUCCAUCAACGUGGAUGUACGAUAGCACCACCUAUCGGAACCACGACAAAAACAUCCAUGUCUCCUAUUGCGUUUGCACUCUCCAAACCCCUCCCUUUACAUUCUUGCAAGUUGCAUGCUUUACUUUCCACUGCUUAUAUACUCAUUGCAUGCUUGCUUGAAUUGUGUUAAGAUUGCUUGACUUGUGCUAAGUUGUUAAAAUCUGCCAAGAACUAAAAUUGGGAAAAGGCUAAGUUUUUUUGGGUCAAUUAGUCUAAUCACCCCCCUCUACACAUACUUUCGAUCCUACAUAAAUGCACUAAAAACAAGUGUAGUAAAUGCAGGGUGUAUUUUUUGCAUGAAAUGUAAACGCAGAUUUGGAAUGCUAAUGUAGUAAUGCAGAAUGUAUUUUUGAAAAGUGCACACACCUGUGGUCAAAUUACAAUUAUGAAGAUUUUUCAGGAAUAGCUUCUCUUCUGGAGGGAUCCCUUGGUGUGAUCGAAAGUACUUAGUUAGUGAUGGCUUAUCAACCAAUGCAUGAUUGUGUUCAGCAAUAAAGUAAACCACCUCCCACCAACCAUCCUUUAGCUUCACAACCAUCCUUGCUCUACACCCUGUCUGCACUAUUGUAUCCCGCUUUAUUUUCUUGGACUUCUCUUUUUUUCUGCACUCAUCAUCAAGGAAGACAAUCUCAUCAUCCGCACCAUCUUCUGCAUUUGUAUUAAUAUCUUCAAUCACAUCUAGGGCAGGGAUAGUUUCCGCACCUCCGUCAUCAACUUUUGUUUUUUGGAACUUGUUGCAAACAAAUUGUUGCUUCUCCAACAGACCAGUAAUUGUGGAUUUCCUAGAAGUGUUCAUCUUGAUUGAAAACCCAAGUCGGAGAGCGUAGGCAUUGUAGUGUUCUUGAGCACACUCGAGAGUAUCAAACCUCAUGCCUAUGAAAGGCUCUCUUGGUUGAUACCAAGCUUCAUUGUCAUUAUCAUUUCUCACAAUCCCUUGUCCAAUAGUUCCACCUGUUUCAACAAACGUUGUUGUGUCAUCAAAAGUUUCGUCUUCCGUCUGCAUAGCUUCUUCAGGCGCAACAGGAGCAUGUUGGGUACUCAUGGGAUUAGGUGAUUCCCCUACAACCUCAUUGUAGCCUCCAUCAGGUUGUGGGGCAUUAGGCUGCAUGCAGUACAUGGGGUCUUCAACUCCAACCCCACCAGUAAAACGCACUUCAGAGUGACCAUCAUCAUCAGGAAAUUCAUUUAAGUCAAUCAUCACCAACCUAUUUGACAAAAAAGCAAAUAAUGAUUUUUCAGGCAACUAAUAACAAAAAUGAAGGCAACUCUAGAAGCAAAUGUACAAUACAGAUUUCAUGAAAAAAUGAAUGUUCAUUUUCUGGCUUGCAUUAAUAUCCUUUAAUGUCCUUCAUUCUCCAAUAGUGACUCUUUUAAUAUAUUUUUGUUUUUAUCUUUUGUUUAUAAGGAAUUGCAAAAAGGCGAAGACAUGGUUUAUGAUUCUUUCAGUUUAUUCGUCUCUGCUGAAGUUACAGUGGCAGAUAUAUCUUCACUUACAAAUGUACAAUACGAAGAAGGCAGAAGAAUACUAUGUAGUUUUUCUUUUUUUUCGUUACCAUUUUGUGGUGGUGUGGACCAUAUGUGGUAUGUGUUUCGAACAUGUGUGCUUUGGACAUGACACAGCUUUGUAUGACAUGUUUGCAGGACAUCCUUUUACUACUAUAUUGUUCAGACAUUGCUUUUUGCUUCAUUUCUGCCAAAGUUGUAUCAGGGUUGCCACAUGUUUUGUAUACAUGGUUUACAAUGCCUAAGUACCAUUUUUUAUUGGUAGUAGGACUAUGAAGCUGGGAAAGAAGUCCAAAAGAUGGCAACUUAUUAGGUACUUCUUCUACCUAUCUCUUAUUCUACAUAUCUUUCUGCAUUACUGAAUAAAGAAGUUUUUUUACAACACUUUCCUGCAGUAGAACAGGACUUGCCUACAAAGUAUUAUAGUACUUGCCCACAUUUUUUAUAUCACAAUACUUGCCUACAAAUAGGACAUGACUUGCCUGCAUUAUACUCCAUCCGGCCCGAAAUACUUGUCAGAGAAAUGGAUAUAUCUAGACGUAUACUAGUCAUAGAUACAUCCAAUUUUAUCCAUCUCUCCAACAAGUAUUUGGGGCGGAAGGAGUACAGUACUUGCAUACAGUGCAAAUUUCUCUAUGUUUACAGAUAUCAAAUAUGGUACUUUGUAUGCAAUCUGUAGGAAACUGUACACUACUUGCUUAUAUAUACAUAAGCUUUUUUGCAUAGGGCGUGCAUCCAAUUUGAACUUGCAUACAAACUGUAGGAAAUUUGCUUCUCUAAAGUUUAUUCUACUAGCUUUCUACAUAGCAAAAAACCUUACUAUAACAUAGCUUUUCUACAGUUAUGUAUAUUUUUCAUAGUUUUUCUAACCAUGACCCGUGUUGUUGAUGCCAAACAGGACCUGCCUCCUGAUCUGAUCAAGUUGCCUACCCCCAUAUACAUGAAUUUUUAUAGUCAAUCUUCAACAUUUCACAAUGUCCAAAAGAAGGCAUCUUAUUAGGUACUACUAUCUGUUCUUCUACCUAUCUUUUCUGCAUUACUAAAUUAAGAAGUUUUAUAUUUCUCUACAGCAGUUGCCUGCAGUAGAACAGGAACUUGCCUUCAUUACAUUACAGUACUUUCCCAAAAAUUUAUAUUACAGUACUUGCCUGGAAACAAAACAUGACUUGCCUACAUUUUUUAUGAACAACUUUGCAUUGUACAUAGCAAAUAACCUAGCUAGAUCCUACCUCCUCUACAUUAUUAUGUUUUUUUGAUACACAACCAAUCCUAUGACCUUGAGGCGCAAAAGAACCUCAAUUUUCAAUCUAAUCAACUUGCCUACCCCCUCAUUUUUCAAUCUAAUAAAGAUGUAAGACUAAAGACGUGGCAGAACUGUACAAGUUGCAGCAGAAUCACGCAGAACAUGAAGACUAAAAACUGUAGCAAAAUUAUAUCUCACUUUUACAUAGGAGUUGCAUUUUUUGUUUCUAGACUUUUGAUUCGCGUGUUCUAGACCUGAUCAGGGGGUUGUCCUUGAAGUGCUUUUUUGUCACUUCUUAAAAAUUUCUAUCGCACUUCUACAAAACUUGUUACAGAACUUGCUUGUAGAUAUAAUUUAACUUGUCAACCUUGUGGAUACAACUUGUCUACAACCAUGUGGGUGCAACAGAACCUGCUUCCAGAUCUGACUUUGCUAACCCUGCGGAUGCUAAUUUGUCUACAAUUCUAUGCAUCCUCCUCUAUUUUUUCCUACGUCUUUAUGCUCUUUUUGACUUGCAAAUCCUUUUUUUUGUUGCAGCAAUGAGGAAGGCCAUGAGGGAAAAGGACGAAGAUGGAGAUACCAGCAGAUGUAGGAGAGGGGCAGGGCUAACGGGGGAGGGGUCACUACUAGGAAAACGCUUAUAGAUAGAAGUUUACCAGUAGCAUUUGUUUGUGACCCCACGCUACUAGUAGUUAGUAGUAGCGCUGGCUAGAAAGAGCACUACUGUUAUAAGUUAGCAGCAGAGCUUGUUAUCUAAACCCACGCUACUGCUAAGUGUAACACACCACAAUAACUGAUCACUAAAUAUUAGCAGCGCUUGUCUCCGAACCAGCGCUACUGUUAGUUUUGGAUCUAUAGCGCCUGUUGAUAUAAACGCGCUACUGCUAUUUUUUCUAUCUAUAAAAUUUUACUAGUAGCAUGUUAUUUUAGCCCGUGCUAUAGGUAGUGCACCACCAGCCGUAGAUAUUUUGCAAGCUGUCAUAGCAGUAGCGCGCAUAGGAGACCCGCGCUACUGCUAUGCCCGCCAGCCACCUACCACCUUUCCCCUCCUUCCUCCCCUUUCUUCUUCCUCCCCCCUUCUUUGCCCUUCCUUCCUCCCCUUUCUUUCCCCCUUUCCUUGCACCUUGCUUGUUCCAAUGCUCCCCCUCCACCACCCCUCCAUUAGAGCCCUCCCUUCCCCUCUUCUUUUCCCUUCCAUCACCCCCUCUUCUUUGCCCCUCCACCACCCCUCCAUUAGAGCCCUCCCUUCCNNNNNNNNNNNNNNNNNNNNNNNNNNNNNNNNNNNNNNNNNNNNNNNNNNNNNNNNNNNNNNNNNNNNNNNNNNNNNNNNNNNNNNNNNNNNNNNNNNNNNNNNNNNNNNNNNNNNNNNNNNNNNNNNNNNNNNNNNNNNNNNNNNNNNNNNNNNNNNNNNNNNNNNNNNNNNNNNNNNNNNNNNNNNNNNNNNNNNNNNNNNNNNNNNNNNNNNNNNNNNNNNNNNNNNNNNNNNNNNNNNNNNNNNNNNNNNNNNNNNNNNNNNNNNNNNNNNNNNNNNNNNNNNNNNNNNNNNNNNNNNNNNNNNNNNNNNNNNNNNNNNNNNNNNNNNNNNNNNNNNNNNNNNNNNNNNNNNNNNCACCACCCCCUUCCAUUAAUGCCUUCCCUCUUCUCCUCUCCCUCUCCUCCCACUCUCUCCCUAGAUAGCUAACUAGUUAGAGCUAUAUAUCUAGAGCUACUAGGUAAUUAAGAAGAAAGGUGCUCGAUAUCCCUCUCGACACAUAGGUGAGCAAAAAAAGGUGUUUGUGUGGAUAGCACCAAAACUAUAUAUAUAUAUAUAUAUAUAUAUAUAUAUACAUAUAUAUAUGGGCGAUAUGAGAAUAUAUAUACUGAAUUGUGUGUGGCAUAAUUUGAGUUGCCUGCAUUGUGUAUUUGAUGAAAUAAUAUGUGGGUGACUUGAAUUGCCUAUGUUUUGCCAAAUUGUCGAUUCAAUUCCGUUUCGGCGAAUUUCGGGCAUGCAAACUCAAUAUGUCCUAUGUUUAGGGAAGGUCAUGCCAAAUUUUUGUAUGAAUUUGAUCCAUGCAUGCAUAUAUACGUGGUUAUAAUAUUUUCUCCACCCGCGGGUGAUCAUGAAAGUCAAUGGAAGGAUGGUGGAAAGAUACUGGCAAUCCGUUGUGGAUGACAUGUAUGAAAAAAGACUGAGGGAUGUUUUAUGUCCGUCUCGAAAAUGCAAAGGAAGAGUCAGGCUCGACCCCUUUAAGGGUGGUAAAUUCAAGGCGCACCUGCUCAUGCAUGGUUUCAUGCAUGGCCAUACUCGGUGGAUAAGUGAAGAUGAUGGUGAUGAGGAGGAGGACAUCGACGGGGCAGGAAAUAACGACAUGGGGCCACCAGACGAAGAGAUGACCGAUUAUGUGCCCAAAGAGGAAGACGGCCUCGGAAAUGUUGAUGGCGAAGAGGCAGUUCAAGGAGGAGAAGACGCGGACAUGCCACCGUCUUCGUCGCUACUAAGUUCAGCCAUGCGGGACCCGCAUGUUCGAGACCUGCUUCGCAAGAAGACGACUAGCGACAGAGCUGCUUCUAGAGAGGAGGCCAAACUGGCGCAACUGGAGGUAGACUCGAUGACUCCUCUAUAUGAUGGUUGCAAUAAUCCCGAGGUGACCCGCUUGAGUUUCACACUAGAACUUCUAAAGAUGAAGGCAAAAAAUGGACAGAUACAAGUCUGGAUGAGCUUCUGAAGUACCUAAAGAAGGUUCUUCCCACGGGAAGCCUAUGUCCUACUAGUGUCGAGGAGGCAAAGAAAAUCGUGUGCCCUCUUGAUCUGCCACAUAUUAGAUAUCACACAUGCAUCAAUGAUUGCAUCAUAUAUCGGAACGAGCAUGCGGAAAAAACCAUCUGUCCAAAGUGCAAUGCUUCACGAUAUAAAAAGGCCGGAAAGAAAGCUCCACAGAAAGUUGUAUGGUACUUUCCGAUCACUCCGCGUCUACAGCAGUAUUUCGUAGAUCCUAAGGAAGCAAAGCUUAUGCGCUGGCACGCGGAGAGGGUGAAGCCAGAUAACGGAGAUGAACCGAAGCUGAGACACCUCGCAGAUGCUAGCCCAUGGAGAGCAUUAAAUGCUGAAUUUGAAUUUUUCGCAAUGAUCCAAGGAACAUCGUGCUUGGUGCUAGUAGUGAUGGCAUGAAUCCAUUUGGCAACUAGAACACCAAUCAUAGCACAUGGCCCAUGUUUGUAUGGAUGUACAACCUCCCCCCUGGUUGUGCAUGAAGGAAAAAUACAUACACAUGGCUAUGCUUAUUCAAGGGCCGAGACAACCGGGAAAUGAUAUAAAUUUGUAUCUCGGGUUACUGAAAGAGGAGUUACAGACCUUAUGGACAACGCCGGCCAAGACAUGGGAUGCAAGCAAAGGAGAGUAUUUCUACAUGAGAGCCGUGCUGAUCAUGAUGAUGCAGGACUAUCUCGGUUACGGCUAUCUCUCAGGCCAGGUGUACCACGGAUAUUGCGGAUGCACGAGGUGCAUGGAUGAUACAACUUCUCUGCAGCUAUCGAAAGAUGGCGGGUCUUCGAAAAUCAUGUACAUGGGGCAUCGAAGAUGGCUCGAGAAGGAUGACCCAUGGAGAAAGCGUGAAGGUCUAUUCAAUGGUAAGGUUGAGCAUCAAGGUCCUCCACGUAAGCAUAGCGGUGCAUAAAUAUAUGAGUUAUUGAAGAACUGGGAAGAGUGCCCCUCGCCCGGAAAGACAAAGAAAAAGGCGCCAGAGCCCCUGCUGAAGAUAUGGAAGACGAGAUCUGUUUUAUGGGACUUGGAAUACUGGCCCAUACUCGACAUGCCUCAUAGCCUUGAUCAAAUGCAUAUCACAGAAAAUAUCCUUGAGAAUUUGCUUGGAACAUUGAUGAACAUGCCGGAGUGGAUCAAGGAUGGGCCGAAGGCAAGAAAAGACUUGCAAUUUUUGAAAAUCAGGAAAGAUUUCCAAAUGCCUGGUAAAAGGUUGUCAGAGAAGACCGAGAUGGAGACAGAGAGGAAAGAUAGGGGAAAAAAGUAAACAAGAAGGAAGAACAAUAUAGCCCCCCCCCCCUCUUGCUUCACCUUAGAUCUGGAGGAGGUCGAUCAAUUGUUCAAGUGCCUUGCCAGAAUCAAACUUAGUUCCGUAUACUGUGGGAAGAUAAGCAGAUAUCUAGACACUAAGAAAAAAAGGUUCAGUGGGAUGAAGUCUCACGACUGUCAUGUGAUGAUGACGGAGUUACUCCCGGUUGCACUUAGUAUGGACACACAUGUGCGUGAGGCACUUACUAACCUAUGCCACUUUUUUGAUGCUAUCUCUCGAAAGUCGGUCAGUGUGAAGCAACUCCAUAGGCUACAGGAAGAGAUCGUUGUCAUACUGAAUGAGCUAGAGAUGUACUUCCUGCCCGCGUUCUUUGAUGUCAUGGUGCAUCUAUGUGUCCACAUCAUGGACGACAUCAUCGACCUAGGGCCGACAUUCCUGCAUAGCAUGAUGUCGUUCGAGAGGAUGAAUGGGUUAUCAAAGGAUUCAUUCGUAACAUGUCCCGACCAGAUGGAAGCAUAGCCCAGGGAUAUUUGACCAAAGAGUGCAUCUCUUUCUGUGAGAGUUAUCUGACCAAAGACGACCCGGUUGUUGGUUUGCCCGUCAACAAGCACUGUGGAAGGCUCGAAGGCAAAGGUCACACCAACAGUCAUAGGGAUGUGAAUGUGUUACGCUCAGGCCGACAAAACGACCUUGACAGGGCAAACUUAGUAGUGCUACAACACCUAGAUGUGCUAGAAGAUUUCGUGACACUGCACAAAGAGACCAUCGCAAAGAAGUACCGUGACCGUGGGGUGCACAGGACGGACUUUCUUGCGUUGGUUCAAAGAGAGAGUUCUGGCUAAUCCCCUGGAAGAGGGUUGUCCGAACGAAACACUCAUAUAUGCCUUAGUACAUGGCCCUUCGACCAACCUCACGACUUAUCAAGCAUACAGUAUCAACGGAUACAUGUUCUACACGGAGGAGAAAGAUAUAAACAGUGAUGACCAAAACUCAGGGGUGACGAUGGAAGCCAUGACCUGGAAUGUAAAUGAAUGAUAUUACGGAAGGGUCGAAGAGAUUUGGGAGCUUAACUACUCUGGAUUGCAUAGCGUGACGAUAUUGCGUGUCAGAUGGGCUAAAAAUGUACAUACAGAAAACCGACAUUUCACUACCAUGUGUAUACCCGACUCCGAUGAUAGCGGUACCGUCAACGCCAUCGCCAAAAAUGAGCCAUGGGAACACGCUAAACACGUGACACAAUGUUUCUUCAUAACUGAUCCAAUCAAUCCCAGCCGUGUUGUCGUGAGGAGAAGCAAAAGGAGCAUCGCCGGAAUGGAUGGAGUCGCCAACGAGGAAGACUAUGACCAGUACGGUGAUCCGAUGACGGAAGAUGAUGCUGAUGACGACGAAACAUAUGUCAAAAGAAGAAUGAAGACUACAUUACCUACGAAAGAUCGUAAUCCCUGGAGAAGGAAAAGUCACGACCAUGGGCUCAAUUAUUCGACAACGAACAAAAGAGAGAAGAAGAUCAGUCUGAAGCGUCGUCGUCGCCCAAGCUCACAAACUAAUCCCAAAGUUUGUGUGUGUCUAGCUAUUUUGUAUACCGCCAAUAGCGGUCAAAUGAUGUAAGAUAUAUAUUAUAGUAAUUAUUAUCCGGAGGGUAACAAUGGUAUAUUGCAAAAUGAAAGAAAAAUAAAAAGAAAAGUGCAAAUGAAAGAAAAAGAAAGGAAGUUUAGCAAAAUGAAAUGAAAAUAAAAAGAAAAAGGAACUAAUAAGUUGUGGAAAAUGAAAUGCAAGNNNNNNNNNNNNNNNNNNNNNNNNNNNNNNNNNNNNNNNNNNNNNNNNNNNNNNNNNNNNNNNNNNNNNNNNNNNNNNNNNNNNNNNNNNNNNNNNNNNNNNNNNNNNNNNNNNNNNNNNNNNNNNNNNNNNNNNNNNNNNNNNNNNNNNNNNNNNNNNNNNNNNNNNNNNNNNNNNNNNNNNNNNNNNNNNNNNNNNNNNNNNNNNNNNNNNNNNNNNNNNNNNNNNNNNNNNNNNNNNNNNNNNNNNNNNNNNNNNNNNNNNNNNNNNNNNNNNNNNNNNNNNNNNNNNNNNNNNNNNNNNNNNNNNNNNNNNNNNNNNNNNNNNNNNNNNNNNNNNNNNNNNNNNNNNNNNNNNNNNNNNNNNNNNNNNNNNNNNNNNNNNNNNNNNNNNNNNNNNNNNNNNNNNNNNNNNNNNNNNNNNNNNNNNNNNNNNNNNNNNNNNNNNNNNNNNNNNNNNNNNNNNNNNNNNNNNNNNNNNNNNNNNNNNNNNNNNNNNNNNNNNNNNNNNNNNNNNNNNNNNNNNNNNNNNNNNNNNNNNNNNNNNNNNGCCCCUUCUUCCUUCCUCUCCGACCCCUCAGCCCCGGCUCUCUCUCUCUCUCUCUGACCCCCUCCCGCUCUCUACAGAUCAGCCACCCCGGCGACCCCGACGUCGGCCACCGACCCUGACUCGGCGCCUCCCUCCGUGAAGCAGCCGGCGACGCCCAGCAACGCCAGCGAGCACUAGACAGGUGCCUUCAGUUAGUGUUAGUGUUAAUUAGUUAAUUGCUGUUAGUGUUAGUGUUAGUUAGAGCACACUGCUAGUGCUAGUUAGUUAACUGUUGUUAGUGCUAGUUAAUGUUAGCAAAAAUUUGGGCGUUAGGGUUUUAGGUUGUUAGCUUCCUGUGAUGUGUGUUCAAACAAAUUCAGUCAGGCUCUCUGCUUGCCUGAUCCAAGUUUAUGGUAAAUCAUUAUGAACAGUUGUGUUUACCGUGGCAACUAAAUGCAUCGAUAUUGUCUGUUGGCUCGUCAAUGGUCCGUUCCUGAUGUUUACUGUGGCAAUCACCGCACUAGUUUAGUUUACACAUGCAGUAGUCUGUUCCUGAUGUUUUUUCAAGCACUAACAAGCAACUUGUUGCUUGAUAGAGCUGGUAUUUGCUAAUUAAACCAAAUCUCCUGUUUUUAUCAUUGCUUGGUUGAGCUGUGUAGCAUCCUGCAGCAUGGAUGCAUAUUGGUCCAUCUUAAUUAGUAGUACAGCUACAAAUUGCUGAUUUAUGCUCUGUCCUAGGCAUUACAACUUGCUAUUUGUCAAUGGCCUGCAUCUUUCAUGGAUAAGCAAAGUGACCUUUGUUUUGUCAGAAACCGAUUGCUAAGUGACCUACGUUUUGCCGGAAAUGUUUAUUCAUUUCCAUUCCGGCAAAUUUCAGGUGCUCUAUAUGUGCACUUUCUAGCAAAGGUCAUGCCGAAAAUUUCCGUGAAUUUCGGCAUGACUUGUGCUAGAAAGUUGGACAUAUCGAGUGCUUGAGAUUUGUCGCGACGGGAAUGAAACGACAUUUCUGGCAAAACAAAGGUCACUUUUUUUGUCAUUAUUCACUUUAUUAUAUAAAGCUCGAUAAUUAAACGACUACGACAUUGAACCCUAGGAAACAUGACCAACACCGAUGAGGCCGGAGGUUCUCACUCCCAAUUAGGUCAAGCACACGCCUACCUCGACUUUCUGGCGGAUCAGGAGAGACAGGAAGCUGGGUGUUUGGACCACCUUGUCAUGACAGAUGACGACAGUGGUGGCGCCGGCGCCGACACUGAUGCCACCAACGACACCGGCACUGAGACUAGCGCUGAUGAUGUUCCUAACUAUAGCACGGAAGGUGGGACCUCCCAAGCCAGUGAGGGAAAGAAGGAAAAGAGGACACGACGUUGAAAUGAGCUCGGCACCGGAAGACUGGUGGUCACGGCGGUGCACCCUGGCGAGUUCGAGCCAAUAGAGCCGCGAGAAGUGGCAGCGUGUUACGGCAACCAACUAGCAUGCAUCCUACGGGAUACCGCUAACAUCAACACCACAAAAAUACGGAAGAAUGAUCAGUUGAAGAAGCUGCUUCUAACUAGGUUGCACGCAAGAUUCCUGUUCCCCGGUCGUAAUGACGAAGUUCAGCAACGCAUUGAGCACUUGGAAAACUAGGGUGAAAAAGGAGAUUCAAGUAGACCAUGAAACCUACGCUGAGAUUGUUGCAGACAAUCCGAAAAUUACGAUAGAGGACUUUGAAAAUUUCAAGGAGACUUGCAAUGAAGAAGAUGCCAAGGCCAGGUCGGAGAGAGGCAAGCAGCUGCAGGCAAAGAACAUGGGGAACCACCGCCUUGGAAGUCAUGGUUACACGGGAAAGAGGUCCGUGUGGGCUAAGGAGGACGCAGAACGUGAACGUCAGGGGAUCCCAGACCCAUUGGCUGAGUUCACCGACCAGCAGGAGCACGACUUCAUCAGGGCCCGAUUCUCGUGGGACCCCAAGAAAAAGAUUUUUUGCACUGACGGGCCGACUAGGAAAUUCAUGAGAUUACUGGUAAUUAUCCUUUUACCACUUUACAUAUUAGGUUAUGAUCAUUGAAGUCUACUACAUUCUAGUCGCAUUCGUAAAUGAUUCACGGUCCAUUUUGCAGAGAGAGCAACACAAGCUUGCAGCCAAGAGCAAAUCGUUGACUCAGUCAACUCAGUCGUUGGCGAAGUACAAGUGGGACACUCCUUUCAACCGGGCCAUGAACAUAAUGAUGGGACACCCGCACGGCCAGCGGCCGCAAUAUGGACGUGUGCAUGGCGCUAGGGAUGGGGCCACUUGGAAGUACUAUUAUAGCGAGGACCUCGAGCCCAAAAGAUAGAGAAAGAAGUUCAGUCAAGUGACUGUCGACGAGAAGGUGGCAAGGGCGAUGGAGAAAGCAAAAGUUGAGACCAAAGCUGAGAUAAUCACUGCCUGUAGAUCUGAUUUCGUGGAUGCCUUUACAAGCUUGAUUCCAACAGUGGUCACAUGGGUGCAACAAAAUCCAAAUGCGCCACCAAGUGAUUUUCCCAUGCCCAGCUUCACCGGGAGCAACUCAAUGAACAUCGCACCCAUACCCGUACCUAGUAUGGCAACCGCACCUGCACCUCCUCCAGCACGUGCUCCUCCACCCAGCUCCCAUAGUAGCCCUAGCUCCAUCUCUGGCUUGAAUGUCGGGCCGCCAACAUUGGCUGAGCUCGACGCCCUCAUGGUAAAUACGCGUCGUCGCACCUUCAUCAACUCAACUAAUUAAUUAAUCUUCAGUUGCCGUUCUUUUUGGAUCUCUGACGCCGCACGUAUAUGUCUUUGUAGGCCGACUCCACUCCGUGCACCCUCCUUUACAACAUGAAGGGCGGGUUGGUGGAUGUGGGGAAGGGUACUAUAGUGAAGCCUAAGGAUCGAUUGUUUCACCGCCGGCAGAUGCCUGAUAACGCCUUAAGGGUCUCCGUGGAGAGUGUGAAAGCGGGCUACGAGGGUCUCCCUUGUUCGACACAAACCAAUGGAGAGGAUGGCGAGACCCCCAUGCAGCUUGGCCAAUGCAAAAAUUGGCCGAUCCUGUGGCCGAAAAAUCUUCUUCGUGUCGAGGUGGCCGGGAGCACACCUACGGGACCUCAGGAAGGUAUGGCCACAACACCACCUACACAAGUACAACCAUCGUCUGUGCUGCUUGCUGGGAUCGAGAGACAUGAGGAAGGAGGGCCAACCGUUCCGCCAGCAGAUGAUGCCAUCUGCCCCAUGGAAGAGGAUAGGGAUCAUGACAAGGAAGAGGCCGACGAUGACCCUAACCAGUAUUUCAAUACUGCCUUCGACAACGAAGUAACAACGAGUCAACUAUAUGAAUAUGAGAUGCAUGUACCAGAGCCGGAAUGUCCUCGGGAGUGCAAGAAGUCUUUGUUCAUGCAAUCCUCGCAGGACACCCCUCCAGAUGACGGCUCCACCCAAGCUCAACUACUUAGCCAGAGUCGUCUAAUGUUGAGCCCGGCAACACUAGGGGUGGUGCUCAGGGAGGGUCUGACAGACCCAAGAGCACCUCAGCCCACCAAGAAGAAGUAGAGGAAGAGACCGACGGUGAGAAAAUCCAAUAAAGCUGGAAAUGUUGGUUCUAGCAGCCAGCAGCCUUCGACCAAGGUUGACAAUGUACCGAUGAAACAUGCGCCAUUAAUCCAUGUCGCAGGAGAGCCAAUGGUGCCGGCGAAUGCACUAGCUGCCAUAGAAGGGGAUCUCAGGAGACUCCAUGACCAUGUUCUUUCGACAGAGAGAAGCCUCCUCGCCUCGGAUGAUCCAGCAUACCCAUUUUAUACGGUUCAUGUGCUGAGCAGUUGCAAGAUGUAUGUCCACACAUGCCCCGCGGACCUCUUCUUCCUGAGGUUUGAUUACAUCUUCCAGAUGUUUCAAAUGAGGACACUCGAUUUUACGUUCGUCCGCCUGUAUGCGCUGCACAUGAACUACAUCGUCGGGAGAGAGCAAGUCACCGGACUUGCGGUCGCGGACCCAUACUACAUGCAUGAGGGCUUCUUGUCAGUCAACGACGCCAACCGUCAAUAUGCGAGUCAGUACAUCGAAGAAUUCUUGGUCAGCAAUAAGGACAAAGAAAUGAUUCUCCUACCUUAUCAUCCCACAUAAGUCAUCCGCGGAUAGCACUAUAACGCAUACAUCCUUUCGUGCAUUUCAAUAGUUACUUUGCACGCAUAGAGGCUAAACUUGAUCGUGUAUUUUGCGUAGCGGGGGGUGUCGUGCUCUAUAUUUGGACCCGUCGAAGAACAUACAGAAGAAAGAUUCUUCACACAUAAAGUAUGUUCUGGACAGAGCUAUGCUGGGCUUCAGCAUGCGGGGUGGCUACAUCCAACACAAAAAAAACAAAUAAGGCCGGGCUUUGUUUCAGCCACAAGACAGACUUAUGUUGCAUCCAGCAACCGGCAAGAAGUGAGAAUGAUGGAUUCUACGUCAUCCAUCUAAUGAUGGAGUACAGAAGGGAUGUCCAAUCACUUUGCAUGAAAUCUUCAUCCGAUACCUGUCGUGGUUCUAAGUCUGACAGUAGAAUGGGGGUAGGUAUGGAGAGGCAAGAUCCUAGCUAUGGAGUAGUUAUACACAUGAGUGUUUAACGAGUUCAGGCCCUUCUUUGAGGAAGUAAUAGCCCUACGUCUCGGAUCCCAGAGGCGGUCGACUGGUUUAUGUGUUUAAGGAUUACAGGGGUGCGAACCCUUCUACCAGUGGAGGGGGGUGGCUUAUAUAGAGGACGCCAGGACCCCAGCCAACCCACGUAGCAGAGGAUUAAACUACAUUAAGGUCGGGAGUUACUGGUAACGCCCUACUUAAAGUGUCAUCAUGACCAUUAAGACUACUUAAUUACAGACCGUUUGGAUACAGAGUAGAUCCUGAACUUCUGAUGGUCGAGUGAGUCUUCAUGGUCGAGUGUCUUUAGGUUCGUCGAGUGUCUUCUAGCCAGUCGAGCGGUGUCUCUCUUGGUCGAGUGGAACCUCUCCUAGUCGACUAGAAAGUAGCUUCGUCUAAAGAUGUCCUUGGGCAUGGUAUCCUAGAUAGGUCCAUGACCCUACCCUAGGUACAUAACAUCAUCAUUAGCCCCCGAAUGGAUCGAGGUUCGAGUGAGGAAGGAGUUGAUGAUUUUGGGCGCGAUUUCUCGCCACUCCUUUCUUUUUCUUCUUUUUUUUCUCUCCCUCAUUUCCUGCGCUUUGAUUAUGUCGUACCUUGGAUCGGCGAUUUUUCAUUCGGCGUUGGCGUCAACUUUUACUUCAGUCGCCUUGAUCCAUUCUUGUCUUCUGUCGAGUGAACUUUUGAACUUUGGUGAACUUCCGAGCGACGGAUCGCGGGAAAGAUAUCGUCUGACAGAUUGAUCUGCUGCCAGCGGAUUUUGCGGGAUCCGAAAUUUGGGAAGCGCGCGAAGCGGGGCGGUCUGCGGCAAUCGGACGGGAUAAGGUGUGGACGCCUCGAUUUCCGUGCCGCCUUUUUCGCCACGUAUCGUGCGUGCGCGACUGUUUCGGGAUGUGACAGGAUCGCUCUGACCCACUCGUCAGCCACUCGGAAGCGCCCUUAUAUAAAACGCCGGGGGAGGGUUUUUCGAAAAGUGCCUUCCCAUUCUUCUCUCUUCCCUCUUUGCCUCCGCCCACUGCGCCUGCUCUCGCUUCCGCCUACCCACCCCUCGCGCGCUUCGCCGGUGAUAAUGGUGAAGGAGAAGACGGCGGCCCUAGAGCGCGCGAAGAAGGCGACAGCGACGGGGCAAGCGAAGGGGAGAUCGUCCAGUCGGGGCGGAUCUUCGUCAAGGUCCCGCCUGCCGAAGGGUUGGGUCCAAGGGGAUUGGAUCCGCUCGACCAUCACUGAGAAAGAUCUCAACGACCUGGCCAAUGAGGGACUGAUCCCCCACGGGUCAGCGAGGCUCCCAGGGACCGAGUGUCAACCGCAGCCGCAUGAGGGUGAGUGCGUUCUCUUAGCCACUCACGUAGACCGUGGUUUUUCUCUGCCGCCGAGUGUUUUCUUCUGAGGGUUUCUGAAUUUCUUUGGGGCGCAACUCCACCACUUCAAUCCCAAUUCCAUCGCCUAUCUUGCUGCCUUUGUGUCCAUGUGCGAGAACUUCCUGGGUUGUCGACCGCACUGGGGUCUCUUCAAGCACAUAUUCACCUGUCGCUCAUAGACAGUGAAAAAGGCGAGUCCGGACGAUGAGAGGACCAAGGUUAUUCAGAUGUGCAGGGGUCUUGGGAUUCAGUUGAGGAAUAAGAGCACUUUCCCGGCCAUGACCCUUCCUGAGUCGGUCAGAGGGUGCCAGUCGACUUGGUUCUACUGCCAAGACGAGUCGACGCCGGGGCAGUCGACUGGUCUCCCUCCGUUCUCCAUGGACCGAGUGGACAAACCGUAUUCUCUGAAGGUGCUCCCUGAGGAGAAAGCCGAGGUAAAAAUGUUGAUGGAGCGCGUGGUCCAACUCAUUCAGGACGAAGUGACAGGCAUGGAUCUUCUGGAAGUCUUCCUUAGGCGGCGCAUCCAACCGCUUCAGUACCGAGGCCACCCGAUGUGGCUGUACUGCGGUACCGAAGACACCACUCGGGUCCAACCAGAAGCAGUCGACGACGCCGCGCUAGAGAGGUGGGUGGCCGCCAUCACAGGGAACAAGGACAACCCUCGAGGGGCUAGGAGGAUCCCGCCGCUCGACUAUACUUAUAUGCCGGACACGGUAUGGCCACUUAUCUCUGAUUGUGAUCUUGCUUUAUCCAUUCUGCUUUGCCGCGAAUUGGUCGAUUGAUCUUUGUUUUGCUUUGUUGUCUGACAGGCCACCACUGAAUUAUACUCGAUGCCCAAUGGAGCGCAGACACCGACUGAGGAGGAGGAAGGAAGCGGGGGCGAAAGCCCGAAGGAGUGGGAUUCGGAUGCUGACGACGACGACAAGGGCGAUGACUCUGGUGAGGAGGAAGAAGAGGAGGGGGAGGAGGAAGUUGUACCUCCCCGCUCGGAAAAACGCUCGAAGCUUGCCCAUGAUCCCGCGACUGAGCGUGGUAAGGGGGUCGCGACCGCUACCCAGUCGAACAAGCGCCCUCGGACUACUUCUCCGGCACCGACUGAGAAGGCUCCGAAGCAAUCUCGAGUGGCACCAUCGAAACCUGCGAAGGUCUUGCCGAAGAUGAAGAUGGUGAUCCCCACUAUCUCAGGGUAAUGGUAGUAUUGAGUUUUCUCCAUUUCAUGAACUUGUUCUUGUUCGACUCAUGGGCCAAUCGACUGAAUUUUGGAACUGCAGCGCUGCUACUUCCGAUACUUCGGCAAGGGCUGAAGACCACAAGAUGGAGGAUGCUUCUACCUCGAAACCUGGUAUGACUCGUGAUGCCGUUUUCAGUCGACUGACUUAUUGUCUCUAAUAUCGAUUCUUUCUGCAGUUUCAUCUAACAUUGUUAUUGACCUUCCUGACGACGACGACGAAGAACCACCACGGCAGAGGAGAAGCAAGAAAACGUCUGCUGGCAAGGUGACUCAGGAUGUGCCGGCACCCGAGAUGUUGGUCGUGGAGGGAGACAAUGUCACUCGACCCACCGUAACCUUUGCGGUGCCGUUGACGAGUGCUCACCCUUCGUCGUCGAGUGCUGCUCAACCCUCGCUUUUCUCCACCUAUCCCGUUCCAGAAGACCAAGCUAGUGCUGCCAGAGAAGCAAUACGCCAAGCGGGGGUCAUGAUGGAGCAAGUGAAGGAAAUACGAGAAGCCAGCCAGGCAGCCUAUGACGCCAGUUCGGCUCUUCAGAGUAAUGUUCAGGUCAGUCGGUCACCGCCUGUUCUGUUAGGAUAUGAUAUCUGUAAACUCUUCUUUCUGCAAUUCUUAGAGUUUGUCCUACACCCACUGGGUGUGUCGAUUGGAAUUCCGGAUUAGUGGGGGCACGCUGAGUGCACCCACUGGGUGUAGUCCCCAAGGCUAUGGUCGACUGCUGGCAGUCGACCAUAGGCUUUAUGUCUUAAGUUUUUUCCUUACUCAACUAGGUCGAAUAGAUUCAUAGACCGGUGGGGGCACGCUGAGUGCACCCACUGGGUGUAGUCCCCGAGACUGUGGUCCACUACGGGCAGUUGACUAUAGUCUGAAGAACAUCUCCCGUUUUUUUUUGCGGGCGUUGUUGGUCGACUGGUCGACUCUAAGUGAUGAAACUAGUGGGGGCACGCUGAGUGCACCCACUGGGUGUAGUCCCCGAGACUAUGGUCGAAUGUUUGCAUUCGGCCGUAGUCUUAGAAACGCUAUGAUUUUUCCUUACUCACUCGGAAGUGAAUUGUCUUUGACAUCUGUCGAUUGGUUCUUCGUAGAAAUCCUGUGACCUUGCGGCUCGUUAUACUGAGUUGGAGAACAAACACAUUCAGCUCGAGCUCGAUCUGAAACUGGCCCAAGAGAACUUGACGAAGGCGAAGGAGGAAGCUAAAGGUAUGCUUAGUGAGGUCUUUGACGACUGCCUUUGCCUCUCACUUGUUUCCGAAUCUAAUCUCACUGUAACUUUGCAGACAAAGUGAGGGAUGCCCUGAAGAAGCAAGAGCUUGACUUGGCUGAGAUGCAAAAAACUGCUUUAGAGAAGACCAGGCUUGCGGAUGAGAAGCUGGCUUCAGUGACCAAGCUUGAAGAAGAAAACACCAAUCUAAAAGCUGCUCUUGAUGCUGCCAACCAGGAGGUCAGUCGACAGAAAAGUGACAAGACCACCCUGAAUGACAAGGCCAGUGAGUUGAAGAGAAAGAAGAACGAUCUAGAGGCUUAUCUGGGUGGACUCGCCAAGAAGUUGUUCCUCAUGCUUGAAGGUAAUCCUUUGUAUCAAACAAAUAUUUUAAUUGUAACCUCCGACUGUUUGUCUUGACUCGGUGGUUGUGCUUGCAGAAUUUUGUCAGAACUUUGAAGAGGAGACUGGUCGACUGGAAGUAAACCUGGACCCCAUCAACUCUCCUGUGAAAGAUGAAGUCGCUAUGAACGUGCUCCGGCUUGAAUCUCGUGUUGCUCCUGUCAUCGAUUAUCUCGCAAGGCUGAAGGUCGCAACUUCUCACAUCGACACAACACUCUGGCCAAGAGAGACACUCCAGAACGACCUCGAGUCCCUGAUGACUCGACUGAACGAGGUCCCAAGUCGAGUGCAGGAGUGGAAGAAGUCUUCGUCCAGGUGCGGUGCGGAUGUUGCUCUGUCUCUGGUCCGCGUUCACUGCAAGGAUGCACAAGAGGACAAGCUGGUGGCUCUUAGGGUGGCUAACACCAAGAAGCACGAUUUCAGAUCUUUCAUGGAGACCUUCAUUGCCGCUGCCACUCGGAUUGCAGAUGGAAUUGAUCUGGACGAGUUUGUGGCACCUUCCAGCCCUCCACAGGAGGGGUAAAAAACUUCUGAGCUUGAUACUUUAAAUUUGCCUCGGUAUGCCGAGUGGGUUUUGUAACCGACAAACCUUAACAGGCCUAGCGCCUGAGCACUUUCGGUUCCGUUAGGCGUUAUCCAAACUUGGAUUCGUCGUUGAAUAUGUUUGCAUUUGGUUUGAGGUGUCUUUUGCAGGUUAAAGCGAAGCGCUUAUUGCAAUCGACUUGUUCCCCAAUACACUUAGGCGAGCACUGGGCUGCAGCUAAGUCCCCGAGUGAGAGGUUUGCUCUCCACUCGGUAGGAUUUUUAGAUACUUAGGCGAGCACAGGGCUGCAGCUAAGCCUCCGAGUGGGAGGUCUGCUCUCCACUCGGUAAGAUUUCAGAUACUUAGGCAAGCACUGGGAUGCAGCUAAGCCCUCGAGUGGGAGGUUUGCUCUACACUCGGUAGGAUUUUCACAUACUUAGGCGAGCGCUAGGCUGCAGCUAAGCCCCCGAGUGGGAGGUCUGCUCUCCACUCGGUAGGAUUUCAGAUACUUAGGCGAGCACUGGGCUGCAGCUAAGCCCCCGAGUGGGAGGUUUGCUCUCCACUCGGUAGGAUUUCAGAUACUUAGGCGAGCACUGGGCUGCAGCUAAGCCCCCGAGUGGGAGGUUUGCUCUCCAUUCGGUAGGAUUUCAGAUACUUAGGCGAGCACUGGGCUGCAACUAAGCCCCCGAGUGGGAGGUUUGCCCUCCACUCGGUAGGAUUUUGAAAUGGUGGCACAGCUCGGAAGGAGAGGGUACACCUCGUCCUCCUUGCAGAGCGCAUGUUGUACUUGUGGCGUAGCUCGGAAGGAGAGGGCAGCAGUCGACCUGCACCUCGUCCUCCUUGCGAAGCGCAUGUUGUGUUUGUACUUAGGUGAGCGCAAUGCUGCAGCUAAGCCUCCGAGUGGAAGGAUGGCUUACCACUCGACAGGAUUUUGUUUAUCUUAGGCGAGUACUUGGACUGCAGCUAAGCCUCCGAGUGGAAGGUUGGCUUACCACUCGGUAGGAUUUUGUUUAUCUUAGGCGAGUACUUGGACUGUAGCUAAGCCUCCGAGUGGAAGGCUGGCUUACCACUCGGUAGGAUUUUGUUUAUCUUAGGCGAGUACUUGGACUCCAGCUAAGCCUCCGAGUGGAAGGCUGGCUUACCACUCGGUAGGAUUUUAUUUAUCUUAGGCGAGUACUUGGACUGCAGCUAAGCCUCCGAGUGGAAGGCUGGCUUACCACUCGGUAGGAUUUUGUUUAUCUUAGGCGAAACGGAUUUCGCAGCUAAACCUUCGUGUGGGAGACUGGCUCACCACUCGGUUAGGAUUUUUUUACAGACUUGGGCGAAUCGGAUUCGCAGCCAAGCCACCCACUGGGGGAUUGUUUUGAGUGGACAAAAGAAAUAACGAUUACAGGGAAGAUUAUAAAACUCUUGUCUUUAAUAAAUAAACUAUAGAAGUACUUUUAUUACAACUCGUCCGAGUGAAUACUUAGGUGUAAAAGGGGCGGAGAAGUUCCGCGUUCCAAGCUCGGGGCUCGUCGAUCUGAUGCUCGACAUUGUAAAGACGGUAUGCUCCAUUGUGGAGAACCUUGGUGACGAUGAAGGGACCUUCCCAAGAAGGAGCAAGCUUGUGUGGUUUUUGCUGAUCCACUCGGAGAACUAAAUCUCCUUCCUGGAAGGCUCGACUCUUCACGUUUUUGGCGUGGAAGCGACGCAAGUAUUGUUGGUAAAUGGUCGAUCUGAUCAGAGCCAUCUCCCUCUCUUCCUCUAAAAGGUCGACUGCAUCCUGCCGCGCUUGUUCUGCUUCGGCUUCAGUGUAGAGCUCGGCCCGGGGAGCAUUGUGGAGAAGGUCACUCGGCAAGACUGCUUCAGCUCCCUAGACCAAGAAGAAUGGAGUUCUCCCAGUCGACCGGUUGGGUGUGGUCCUUAACCCCCAAAGCACUGAGGGAAGUUCGUCGACCCAUGCACCAGCCGCAUGCUUAAGAUCACGCAUCAAAUGGGGUUCAACCCUUUGAGAAUCAAACCGUUGGCUCGUUCUGCUUGUCCAUUCGACUGUGGGUGAGCGACUGAAGCAUAGUCGACUCGUGUGCCUUGAGAUGUGCAGAAAGCUCUGAACUCUUCGGAGUCGAAGUUUGACCCGUUGUCAGUGAUGAUGCUGUGCGGGACCCCAUAUCUGAAUAUCAAUUCUCUGAUGAAGCUGACAGCAGUACCGGCAUCGAGGUUCUUGAUGGGUUUAGCUUCGAUCCACUUAGUGAACUUGUCGACUGCUACCAGCACAUGGGUAAAACCGCUUCUGCCUAUUCUCAAAGGACCGACCAUAUCCAAACCCCACACUGCAAAGGGCCAGACGAGUGGUAUAGUCUUCAAAGCUGACGCGGGCUUGUGUGACAUAUCGGAGUAAAAUUGGCAUCCCUCGCACUUGUCGACUAUCUCCUUCGCCAUUUCAUUCGCUCUUGGCCAAUAAAAUCCGGCUCGGUAUGCUUUGGCCACGAUGGUCCGAGAGGACGCAUGAUGGCCACAGGUUCCCGAGUGGAUGUCAUCAAGGAUUAUUCGACCUUCCUCUGGCGUUAUGCAUUUCUGACCAACUCUAGUCGCGCUUUCUCUGUACAACUGUCCCUUUAUCACGGUAAAGGCUUUAGAUCGGCGGACGAUCUGUCGAGCCUCUUCUUCGUCCUCCGGGAGCUCUUUCCUCAAGAUAUACGCGAUAUAUGGAACUGUCCAAUCUGGAGUGAUCACUAGAACUUCCAUGAUCAGGUCGACCACUGUUGGGACUUCAACCUCAGUCGGGUCCGUGAUACUCUUAGGUUGCGGGGCUUCAUCGGUAAAAGGAUCUUCUACGGCUGACGGAGUGUGGAUAUGCUCCAAAAACACAUCACUGGGGAUGGCUUCUCUCUUGGAUCCUCUCUUCGCCAGAUCGUCAGCUGCUUGAUUUUUCAGUCGAGGUAUGUGGUGGAGCUCUAACCCUUCGAACUUCUUUUCGAGCUUCCUCACUGCAUUGCAGUAUCCAGUCAUGGCUGGGCUUCUAACGUCCCACUCCUUCAUCACUUGAUUGACCACCAAAUCUGAAUCGCCAUAGACCAUAAGGCGACGGACGCCGAGUGAAAUGGCCAUGCGUAAUCCAUACAAGAGUGCUUCAUAUUCUGCUUCAUUGUUGGAGGAAUCAAAGUGGAUCUGGAGCACCUAUCUGAGCUUGUCUCCUCGGGGGGAAACCAAAACAACCCCAGCACCAGAACCAUUUAACAUCUUAGAGCCAUCAAAGAACAUGGUCCAAUGCUCCGAGUGGACUUGAGUCGGUUGUUGUUGCUCAAUCCACUCGGCAAGGAAAUCUGCUAUAGCCUGGGACUUAAUGGCUUUCUUUGCCUCGAAUUUGAUAUCAAGGGGAAGGAGUUCAAUCGCCCAUUUAGCCACUCGACCAGUUGCAUCUCUGUUGUGCAGAAUUUCUGACAAUGGUGCGUCGCUGACGACUGUAAUGUCAUGAUCAGAGAAAUAAUGAGCAACCUUCUUCAUGGUCAUGUAGAUCCCAUAUACGAGCUUCUGAUAAUGAGGAUAUCUUUGCUUCGAUGGGGUCAAAACUUCAGAGAGAUAAUACACUGGGCGCUGAACUUUGAAGGCUUUCCCUUCUUCUUCCCGCUCGACCGUAAGUACUGUACUGACGACUUGUCCUGUGGCUGCAAUAUAAAGCAACAGAGGCUCUUUGCUGAUUGGAGCAGCAAGCACCGGCUGGGUGGAGAGCAGAGUUUUUAACUCGGCAAACGCUACAUCAGCUUCUGGAGUCCACUCGAACUUGUCUGCCUUCUUCAUCAGUCGGUAAUGGGGCAGCGCCUUUUCACCGAGGCGAGAGAUGAAUUGACUUAACGCGGCCAAGCAUCCAGUAAGCUUCUGGACGUCGUGCACACGCACAGGGCGUUUCAUUCGGAGUAUGGUGCCAACUUUUUCUGGGUUAGCGUCGAUUCCUCGUUCGGAAACGAGAAAACCGAGUAACUUUUCGCCAAGUACUCCGAAUGUGCACUUUGAUGGAUUGAGCUUGAUAUCAUUCCUCCUGAGAUUGGCAAAUGUUUCAGCUAAGUCAGUCAACAGGUCGGAACCCUUUUAUGACUUGACCACGAUAUCAUCCAUGUACGCUUCCACAUUCCGACUGAUUUGAGUGAGCAAGCACUUUUGAAUCAUUCUCAUGAACGUGGCUCCGGCAUUCUUGAGGCCGAAUGGCAUGGUGAUAUAGCAGAAGCACCCGAAUGGAGUGAUGAAAGCUGUUUUGAUUUCGUCAGGCCCAUACAGACGGAUCUGAUGAUACCUGGAAUAAGCGUCUAGAAAAGACAAUUUCUCGCACCCUGCGGUCGAGUCGACAAUUUGGUCGAUGCGAGGGAGAGGAAAAUGAUCUUUCGGGCAGGCCCGAUUGAUAUGUUUGAAAUCAAUGCACAUACGAAGUGAAUUGUCCUUCUUGGGAACCAUCACGACAUUGGCGAGCCACUCGGAGUGGUAUAUCUCUCGGAUGAACUCUGCUGCAAGGAGUCGAGCCACCUCCUCGCCAAUGGCUUUUUUCUUCUGAACGGCGGACCGUCGAAGAUGUUCUUUAACAGGUUUUGCUUUUGAAUCGACUCUAAGGCGAUGCUCAGCCAGCUCCCUGGGAACACCCGGCAUGUCAGCUGGCUUCCAUGCAAAGAUGUCCCAGUUCUCACGGAGGAACUGGAUGAGCGCUUCUUCCUAUUUAGAGUCGAGUGUUGUGGAAAUAUGGGUCGGAGCUACAUUGGGGUCAGUCGGGUGGAUAUGAACUGGCUUCGUCUCACCGGACGACUGAAAUGCUGACUCUGUGGCGGGCUUCUUGGCCCACAGUAAAUCACUCGGAUCUGCAUUCUUCUUGUAUUCCUCCAGCUCUACCACUGUUAUCUGGUUAUCCGCAAUCUUUGAGCCUUUCUGGAAACACUCUUCCUCUUUCUUCCGGCUGCUAGUGAUGGUGAUCACGCCUUUGGGGCCAGGCAUCUUUAACUUGAGGUACACAUAACAUGGUCGAGCCAUGAAGCGGGCGUAGGCUGGUCUUCCCAGAAUAGCGUGGUAGGCGCUUCGGAAAUCCACGACUUCAAAUGUCAGCUUCUCUUUGCGGAAAUGCUUCGAGUCGCCGAACACUACAUCCAGAGCUAUUUGGCCGAGUGACUCAGCCUUCUUUCCUAGGAUGACUCCGUGAAAACUCAUGUUGCUGGAACUGAGCCUGGACAUCGGAAUGCCCAUUCCCUUGAGCGUCUCUGCAUACAUUAUAUUCAACCCACUGCCGCCAUCCAUCAAUACCUUCGUCAGUCGAGUGCCUUCGACGACCGGGUCGACCACCAGCGCUUGCCUCCCAGGGGUGGCAAUGUGAGUAGGAUGGUCAGACUGGUCGAAAGUAAUGGGAGUUUGCGACCAUCUCAGAUAGUUUGGUGUCGCCGGGGCGACCAUAUUGACCUCACGGUUGAUCACUUUCAGUCGACUUUUGCUCUCUACAUCAGCAAAAAUCAUAAGAGUGGAGUUGACAUGAGGGUACUCUCCAUCACUGUCCUCCUUGUCCUCAGCCUUGUCCGACUCCUUCUCUUUGUCUUUCGGUUGUUUCCCUUGAAACUGCUGGAUUAAGAGCUGGCACUAGCGAGUGGUAUGCUUUGGGUAGAUGAAGUUACCCUCUUCGUCUUUCUUCGUGUGGAUAUGACAUGGUAGAUCCAUCACGUCAUUACCUUCCUUAUCUUUUACCUUCUUGGGGUUCCAAGAUCCUUUGGGCUUCCCUUUGAAUUUGCCCUGAGUCACGGCCAGAGCCUCUCCAGGAGCAGCUGGCUCGGCCUUCCGCUUUUGCUUCCGACUGGAGUUUCCUUUAUCCGACUGACUCGGCUUGUACUUGCCGCUCCGGAGUCGGUCCUCUUCUUCGCCGUUGGCGUACUUGGUGUCUAUUUCCAUCAUCCGACUCAGGGUCAUAUCUCCAGUUCGACCAAACUUCAGGCUCAACUCUUUGUUCUUGACACCAUCCUUGAAGGCGCAGACCGCUUGAUGGUCCGACACAUUCUCUACAGUAUGAUGCAAAGUGAUUCAUCUCUGGAUGUAAUCCCUCAGUGUUUCACUCGACUUUUGUACACAAACUUGCAGCUCAGUCAAUCCAGCAGGUCGCUUGCAAGUUCCCUCAAACGUCCUGACGAACACUCGAGAAAGAUCUUCCCAAGUGUAAAUGCUGCUAGGAGCUAACUGAUUCAACCACGCCCUGGCUGAACCCUCUAGCAUAAGCGGUAAAUGUUUCAUGGCCACCUCAUCAUUACCGCCACCAAUCCGAACAGCCACUCGGUAGUCUUCGAGCCAAGUUUCAGGCUUAGACUCUCCGGUGAACUUACUCACCCCAGUAGCCAACCUGAAGUUGGGGGGUAUCACUGCGGCUCUGAUUGCUCUGCUAAAACAUUCUGGACCUGAAACGUGGACUCGGCUGCUUGUGGGCACAUCUCUAUCAUGACCACCUCUAUGAGCUCUGUUCCGGUCGACCAAACCUUGCACGAUGAUGGACCUCGCGUCAAAGCCUGGCUCUCUGGGGUCGACUGGAGCUCUCCGCCCAACACUGGGCUGGCGUCUGUCAUCUUGCUGCCGAUGGGCGGUAGACCCACUUCUCGGAGGAGGAGUGGGCACUCGACGCCUAUCAUCAUGAUCAAAUCGAUCAUCAUAGUGGUCCCGCCGGCCUUCACAUCCCACGCGCCUCGGAGGCAACCUGGGACUGUGAGCCGACUGAACAGUAUUCACAGCGACGGAUCGACUGUGAAUCCUGUUGCGCGACUGUGACACAGCUGAAUUCUGAUCUCCUGCCGCCCGGAGCAAAUCUCUGAUCUGCAUCAAGCCUCUUCCAGCCUCUGACUGAGAGGGCUGAAUUGACUCCGCUAUGUGGGCUGCAGCUGCCAAAUUCUGAAUUGGGGUUCGAUAUACCUGAGUCGGUUGCGGAAAGAGCUGACGUCGGUUGGAGUUGGUCGCUCGUUGACGUGCACGCUCGUCAAGUGCUCGCUGGAGGUUCUCCAGUCGGGUGCGUUCAGCCAGGUUGGCUAAACGCGCCUCUUCCAGGGCAUGAGCCUCAGGAGUUUCUCCUCCAAUGGGAGUAUGCAGGGCAUCCACGUUCCGGCGGCAAAGUUCUUCCCUCUGCUGAGAAGUGAGCGGCUCGGGCUGAUACUCUUCAUGGGCUUGAGCGGGGUCGUCCUCGUUGUCCAUCCUAUCGUCGCGGGGGAAACCGGGAGGACUACGAGGCCCGUUGACCAUCAGGACCUCCGCCACUGGAUCACCGCUAUCGCACUCGGAUGCAGUCUCUACGGAGCCAGUCGAACAGGCCGUGGAGAGAUUCGUCAGGCUCAAUUGCCGCGACUUGGGUGGUGGCCGAUUGGCGAGCCACUGCGUGUCUCACCCAUCGCUGGAGCCUUGACCGACCGGAGCGCUUGCGCUGGCGGGAGACAGGGAGGGAGGACGGUUUAGGAGUCGACUGGUAUGGGGUCGACGGCUGCCGCAGCAGGACGCCACGGACACACGCCCGAAAGUGCGUCGCCCCGCGGACGGGGAGCGCGCCGAUGUCGAGUGGUGCCUCCUGGAGCCAAGCGGAGUCGUUGGCGAUGAAAGUGAGCGCACCGAGACGGAUCUCGCGGCCCUCGACCAGAGCUCCGUCGGAAACCAUGAUGAAGGCGAUCAGACAAAUUGCAACUUCUCCAAAAAAAGUCGCUAAGACACCUGCCCCACGGUGGGCGCCAACUGUCGUGGUUCUAAGUCUGACAGUAGAAUGGGGGUAGGUAUGGAGAGGCAAGAUCCUAGCUAUGGAGUACUUGUACACACGAGUGUUUACCGAGUUCAGGCCCUUCUCUGAGGAAGUAAUAGCCCUACGUCUCGGAGCCCAGAGGCGGUCGACUGGUUUAUGUGUUUAAGGAUUACAGGGGUGCGAACCCUUCUACCAGUGGAGGGGGGUGGCUUAUAUAGAGGACGCCAGGACCCCAGCCAACCCAUGUAGCAGAGGAUUAAAGUACAUUAAGGUCGGGCGUUACUGGUAACACCCUACUUAAAGUGUCAUCAUGACCAUUAAGACUACUUAAUUACAGACCGUUUGGAUACAGAGUAGAUCCUGAACUCCUGAUGGUCGAGUGAGUCUUCAUGGUCGAGUGUCUUUAGGUUCGUCGAGUGUCUUCUAGCCGGUCGAGCGGUGUCUCUCUUGGUCGAGUGGAACCUCUCCUGGUCGACUGGAAGGUAGCUUCGUCUAAAGAUGUCCUUGGGCAUGGUAUCCUAGAUAGGUCCAUGACCCUACCCUAGGUACAUAACAUCAUCAAUACCCAUAUCCAGAGAUGGGCCGAAGCCUUUGGAGCCGUGCCGGAUAAUUGACUUCGAAAUGAUUUCUACCGGAUCCAACAGGAAAUUGCGUCCAUCAUCAUCAAAGAUGUCCUCGAAGAGAAUGGGAUGUUCUACGUCGGCCCAAUAUCGCGAGCUGACGUCCGAACCCGCAUUGCCCUACAGCGUCAGGACAUGACGCCUUUCACUAAGCUUGGGUCUGUCCUCCCGGAUAUGGACAGAUGGGAAGAGUGCACUGCUUAAAAACAAUGUGUAUGUUUAGUUACUUGUUACUUUCGGUACGACGAAACUUCGAAUCUCUCAGUACGACGAAACUAUUAGAUGUAUGGUGCCGCGCUCUAGUUAAUUACUUUCGGUACGAUAAAAUUUGUUAACUAUGUUUACUAUAUAUGUUGCUUCUAUUUCAUAACUGUUUUGUUGAAUUCGCUUCAUGGUAUAGAUAUGUGCAUCUCUGACAGGUAUAUAGAUCAACGAUGGCGAGGAAGUGGUAUGCCGUGUAUGUAGGGCAUGUUUCGGGUGUGUAUGAUGAGUGGCCAGAGUGUCAGGCCCAAGUCUCUGGCUUCUCCGGCGGAAGCCAGAAAGGGUUUGAUAGCAGAGCGGAAGCCGAAACUGGUUACUUGAGAUUCAUAGCACAACAGGGGAUUCAGAACCAGCGCCGCUGCAAAAACUACUACAUACUACCGCUUUUGAUCAUCGUGAUCGCUCUUAUCGUGUAUGUCUUAGUUUAGGUAGAUGAUGAAACAUGUGUCUACGGUGACAAUGUAAGAGACAUGUUAUCAUUAUAACUUGUAUCACUAUUUCAAGAUGAUGAUGAGAUCGACAUCAUUUGUUUUGAGACUAUGUUGAUAUGAUGAGACUAUGUUGUACCACUUCGAUGAUGAUGAUGAGACAUUCCUUUUUCAUAUAGUUUCAGUGUAUGUGUAUCUUGUAACUGUAUAAAACCUGUAAAAAUACGAAUACAGCAACAUAAAAAAAAUACUAGCAGUAGCGUGGGGUAUUCGAGUAGUAGCAGCACUGCUUACCAGUAGCGUUUUUUUGAAGGGCCACGCUACUAGUAUUAGAAGUAGCGAUGGACAGAGGCGCGCUACUGCUAGAUACAGAUAGCAGUAGCGCUAGUUCAAAAAAAACGCUACUGCUAAAAAAUAGAUGUAGCGUCGUAGCAGUAGCGCGCCUGCCAGCGCUACUAAUAGGCAAAAAACCAGCGCUACUGGUNNNNNNNNNNNNNNNNNNNNNNNNNNNNNNNNNNNNNNNNNNNNNNNNNNNNNNNNNNNNNNNNNNNNNNNNNNNNNNNNNNNNNNNNNNNNNNNNNNNNNNNNNNNNNNNNNNNNNNNNNNNNNNNNNNNNNNNNNNNNNNNNNNNNNNNNNNNNNNNNNNNNNNNNNNNNNNNNNNNNNNNNNNNNNNNNNNNNNNNNNNNNNNNNNNNNNNNNNNNNNNNNNNNNNNNNNNNNNNNNNNNNNNNNNNNNNNNNNNNNNNNNNNNNNNNNNNNNNNNNNNNNNNNNNNNNNNNNNNNNNNNNNNNNNNNNNNNNNNNNNNNNNNNGUUUUGACCCUUUUCUGAAACCAUUUCAAGAUCUGACCCCGGUUCAUAAAAAUUUCGGGAUCUGACCCUUUCUUACCGCCAAAGCCUUUGGCGGUAGGGUAUAACAGCCUACCGCCAAGGCCCCUGGCGGUAAGAAAGACCCCUACCGCCAAACAGGCUGGCGGUAGGCUGUACAACCCUACCGCCAAGGUGUCCGGCGGUAGGUGCGAGCAUGCACUGUGUUCCAUACUUAGAAAAAAAACAACCGUACCGCCAGAGGCCUUGGCGGUAGGUUGUUAUACCCUACCGCUAGGGGCCUUGGCGGUAGGCUGUUAUACCCUACCGCCAGGGGCUUUGGCAGUAAGAAAAGGGUCAGAUCCCGAAAUUUUUACGAACCAGGGUCAGAUUUCGAAUAGGUUUCAGAAAAGGGUCAAAACACGAAAUUUAGAUAGAAAUGCACUAGGGUUGAUGGCGGCGCCGCAGCCCGAGUAAAUAGUAAAAAAUAAUCACUUUGAAGGCUACGUUAGCAAAAACCAUUAAGUUAUAAUUUUCUUUUACAGAAAACACCACAUCUUGUGUAAUUCUUUAGCAAGACCCAUUGAUCGGUGGCUUUGCCUCGGUUAAGCGCAUUUAUGACAGAUGGGGCCCAUGUGGCACUAUUUACCAUCUCACCGAUAGCCAAUGUUGUCAUUACAUCCCGUCUAGUGCCCUUCUCUUAGCCGCACGAGGACCUGCAUCCGAGACGAGUCCUACCGCCGGUCGAGGCAGUGCCCCCGGCCAAGGCCUUAGCCCGUCCCAUCCCCUGGCCCCGACUGUGCCAGCCUAGUCGCCGCCGAGGCCGGUGGGGUUCUUGACGGUCUCCGCGACGCCCUCGACGGCACUCUACAUGACCAGCUGCGCCUACCUGCCGACCUCCUACAUGACACCGUUGACCUAGUUGAUUCCCGACCCGGCCGCGUCGUGAGCAGCGCCCGCCGCGCUGUGCGUCGUCCCCGUGACGUCUUGUGCCACAUGGUCGGUCGUGCGGAUCUGGCGGAGCCGGGGCAUGGUCGCCUGCUGGCGGCGUGAACCCUAGCCGAGGUCGCUCGUGGCUGGGACCAACGAGUUAGGGACGAACACGAACCUCUCGUCUCUGGAUCUCUGGAUCGUGCGUUUUAGGCCGUCGUCAGCCUCGACUCCGAACAGGAGCAGCACGACAUCGUCACCGCGCGGGGGCCCUCUGCCACUACACCGUCCUUUACCUCUGGUGCUUGGCUGAGGCACGCGACGACGGACGCAGGGCACUUCUCCGCCGGCCUGCUUGUUGCACGCAAGGUGCUCGAUGAAAUGGUGUAGAGAUGAUGAUUUUUUUUUGAAAGGAAGGGGAGGAGUGUUACACAGACAAGUAGGCCCCAUGUCCAGCAAACCAUUUAAUGUAACGGUGUGUGAGAAAUUUGUGUCAUGUCCUGACUGUCGGGCCUCAUCUGACAUAAUCUCACUUAACAGAGCCAGACCCGUCGAUUAGUGGUUUUUGCAAAAUGAUUACACAAGACGUGGUGUUUUCUACAACAAAAAAGUUGCAACGCAGUAUUUUCUGCUAACCAGGCCUUCAAAAUGAUGGUUUCAUACAAUUUACUCCCGCAACCCUCUAGGAACGGUUCACCAUCACCUCUGCUCCCUCGAAAAAAACUACAAGACUGAGUGUAACCCUCAGUCAAGUUAGACCCACUCUGAUUCGUGACAUGUGAUGGAACCCACAAACCAUGUACUAGAAUCCCAAAUACUUUCCCUAAAAAAAUCCCAAAUACUAAUUCCAUUCCGGGUGAAGCUACACCUACGGAUUCUUUAUGGGGGAAUUGCCGACUAUACCUGGCCGGGUCUGGGCCUAGAUUUUGAGCUUGAAGGCCGGGCUGGGCCCGGGCCCGCCAUAUUUGCGAUUUAGCGAAGAGGCCAGGUGGGCUUUUACACUGAUGGGUCGGGCAUGUGCCUGAUUUCUGGGCCCGACGUCCGGGCCGAGCCCGGGCCGGGCCGAGGGAUGGCCAAGUUUACUGACCGAGAUGUGGAGAGCAGAGCAGGUUCAAAUUCAGGGGGGUUGGGGUGGCUAAUUAGGAGGGGCAAGUGGAUCCGUACGAGCUUAUGUAGCGUUAACACCCGUAGGUCAACACUUCAAAAAAUAAGCACCCGUUCCAUUUCCCCAACUCUCUUCCCUGAUUUUGGAUUCACUUGAUUUUCGCAUUUCAUUACAUUUGCUUAGGGUUUCGACAAGACUCUCAUUUGGAUACGCUACCGCGCUCUAAAGAAAGUGGGUGGCUUGCCCGACAUGUCAAUACUCUCAUGACAGGGACAACCACCAACAUCAUGUCAAUGGUGAGUAGUGGCGGAGCUUCUCCAGGGUCACUGAUACAUCCAUUUUGCAUCAUGCUCUCAUAUUGAUAUUUAUUGCAUUAUGGGCUGUUAUUACAUGAUAUAUCACAAUACUUAUGCCUAUUCUCCCUUAUUUUACAAGGUUUACAUGAAGAGGGAGAAUGCCGGCAGCUAGGAUUCUGGGCUGGAAAAGGAGCAAAUAUUAGAGACCUAUUCUGCACAGCUCCAAAAGUCCUGAAACUCCACAAAGUCAUUUUUGGAAUUAAUAAAAAAUACUGGUGAAAGAAUCAGCGUCAGGGGGCCCACACCCUAUCCACGAGAGUGCCCCCCCUAGGGCGCGCCCCCUGCCUCAUGGGCCCCCUGACAGCCCUCCGGUGGCCAUCUUCUGCUAUAUGAAGUCUUCUAUCCUGAAAAAAAUAUCAGAAGCAAGCUUACGAGACGAAACUCCACCGCCAUGAGGCGGAACCUUGGCGGAACCAAUCUAGGGCUCCCGCGGAGCUGUUCUGGAGGGGAAACUUCCCUCCGGGAGGGGCAAAUCAUCACCAUCGUCAUCACCAACGAUCCUCUCACCGGGAGGGGCUCAAUCUCCAUCAACAUCUUCACCAGCACCAUCUCCUCUGAAACCCUAGUUCAUUUCUUGUAUCCAAUCUUUGUACCAAAACCUCAGAUUGGUACCUAUGGGUUGCUAGUAGUGUUGAUUACUCCUUGUAGUUGAUGCUAGUUGGUUAUUUGGUGGAAGAUCAUAUGUUCAGAUCCUUAAUGCAUAUCAAUACCCCUCUGAUUAUGAACAUGAAUAUGAUUUGUGAGUAGUACGUUUGUUCCUGAGGACAUGGGAGAAGUCUUGCUAUAAGUAUUCAUGUGAAUUUGGUAUUCGUUCGAUAUUUUGAUAAGAUGUAUGUUGUCUAUCCUCUAGUGGUGUUAUGUGAACGUCGACUACAUGACACUUCACCAUUGUUUGGGCCUAGAGGAAGGCAUUGAGAAGUAAUAAGUAUAUGAUGGGUUGCUAGAGUGACAGAAGCUUAAACCCUAGUUUAUGCGUUGCUUUGUAAGGGACUGCUUUGGAUCCAUAUGUUUCAUGCUAUGGUUAGGUUUACCUUAAUACUUCUUUUGUAGUUGUGGAUGCUUGCAAUAGGGGUUAAUCAUAAGUUGGAUGCUUGUAUAAGAAAGGGCAGUACCCAAGCACCGGUCCACCCACAUAUCAAAUUAUCAAAGUAACGAACGCGAAUCAUAUAAGCGUGAUGAAAACUAGCUUGACGAUAAUUCCCAUGUGUCCUCGGGAGCGCUUUUCUAACUUGUCCAGACUUGUCCUUUGCUACAAAAAGGAUUGGGCCACCUUGCUGCACCUUAUUUACUUUCAUUGCUUGUUACCUAUUACAAAUUAUCUUAUCACAAAACUAUUUGUUACCUACAAUUUCAGCGCUUGCAGAGAAUACCUUACUGAAAACCGCUUGUCAUUUCCUUCUGCUCCUCGUUGGGUUCGACACUCUUACUUAUCGAAAGGACUACAAUAGAUCCCCUACACUUGUGGGUCAUCAAGAAUCUUUUCUGGUGCCGUUGCCGGGGAGUGAAGUGCCUUUAGUAAGUGGAACUUGGUAAGGAAAAAUCCAUAUAGUGUGCUGAAAUUUACUGUCACUUGUUACUAUGGAAACUAAUCCUUUGAGGGGCUUGUUCGGGGUAUCUUCACCCCAACCAGUAGAGCAAAGAGUUGCUCCUCAACCUACUAAACCUACUGAAAAUGUUUACUUUGAAAUUCCUUCGGGUAUGGUAGAGAAACUGCUAGCUAAUCCUUUUACAGGAGAUGGAACAUUACAUCCCGACUUGCACCUAAUCUAUGUAGAUGAAGUUUGUGGAUUAUUUAAGCUUGCGGGUAUGCCUGAGGAUGUUAUCAAGAAGAAGGUCUUCCCUUUAUCUUUGAAGGGAGACGCAUUGACAUGGUAUAGGCUAUGUGAUGAUAUGGGAUCCUGGGACUAUAGACGAUUGAAAUUGGAAUUUCACUAGAAGUUUUAUCCUAUGCAUCUUGUUCAUCGUGAUCGUAAUUAUAUAUAUAUAUAUAUAUAAUUUAUGGCCUCGCGAAGGAGAAAGCAUCGCUCAAGCUUGGGGGAUGCUUAAUUCAAUGUUAUAUUCAUGCCCCAAUCAUGAACUCUCAAGAGAAAUGAUUAUUCAAAAAUUUAUGAUCGGCUUUCUCUCAACUACCGCACCAUGCUUGAUACUUCUUGUGCUGGGUCUUUUAUGAUGAAGACUAUUGAAUUCAAGUGGAAUUUAUUGGAAAGAAUUAAACGCAACACUGAAGAUUGGGAUUCCGAUGAUGGAAGAGGAAAGAUUAUUGAAAACUCUGAAGAAGCACCGUGCUGCUAUUGGAUAUACUCUUGAUGAUCUUAAGGGCAUUAGUCCCACUCUAUGUAAACACAAAAUAAAGUUGGAAUAAGAUGUCAAACUAGUUAUUGAUCACCAACGAUGGUUAAAUCCUAAGAUGAAGGAAGUGGUAAGAAAGGAAAUACUAAAACUCCUUGAGGCAGGUAUAAUUUAUCCCGUUGCUAAUAGUAAGUGGGUAAGUCAUGUCCAUUGUGUCCCUAAGAAGGGAGGUAUUACUAUUGUUCCUAAUGGUAAAGAUGAAUUGAUCCCACAAAGAAUUAUUACAGGUUAUAGGAUGGUAAUUGAUUUUCGUAAAUUAAAUAAAGCUACUAAAAAGGAUCAUUACCCUUUACCUUUUACUGAUCAAAUGCUAGAAAGACUAUCCAAACAUACACAUUUUUGCUUUGUAGAUGGUUACUCUGGUUUCUCUCAAAUACCUGUGCCAGCGGAGGAUCAAGAAAAGUCCACUUUUACUUGCCCUUUCGGUACUUUUGCUUAUAGACGUGUGCCUUUUGGUUUAUGUAAUGCACCUGCUACUUUUCAAAGAUGCAUGAUGGCUAUAUUCUCUGACUUUUGUGAAAAGAUUUGUGAGGUAUUCAUGGAUGAUUUCUCUAUUUAUGGAUCCUCUUUUGAUGAUUUCUUGAGCAACCUUGAACGAGUUUUGCAGAGAUGCGAAGAUACUAGUCUUGUUUUGAACUAGGAGAAGUGCCACUUUAUGUUUAAUGAAGGCAUUAUCUUGGGGCAUAAAAUUUCUGAAAGAGGUAUUGAAGUUGAUAAAGCUAAAGUUGAUGCAAUUGAAAAGAUGUCGUGUCCCAAGGACAUCAAAGGUAUAAGAAGUUUCCACGGUCAUGCCGGUUUUUAUAGGAGGUUCAUUAAGGACUUUUCAAAAAUUUCUAGGCCUUUGACUAAUCUAUUACAAAAAGAUAUUCCUUUUGUCUUCGAUGAUGAUUGUGUAGAAGCAUUUGAAAUACUUCAGAAAGCUUUGAUUUCUGCACCUAUUGUUCAGCCACCUGAUUGGAAUUUACCCUUUGAAAUUAUGUGUGAUGCUAGUGAUUAUGUUGUAGGUGCUGUUCUAGGACAAAGAGUUGAUAAGAAACUAAAUGUUAUUCAAUAUGCUAGUAAAACUCUAGACAGUGCCCAGAGAAAUUCUGCUACUACUGAAAAAGAAUUUUUUGCAGUUGUAUUUGCUUGUGAUAAGUUCAGACCUUAUAUUGUUGAUUCUAAAGUAACUAUUCACACUGAUCAUGCUUCUAUUAAAUAUCUUAUGGAAAAGAAAGAUGCUAAACCUAGACUUAUUAGAUGGGUUCUCUUGCUACAAGAAUUUGAUUUACAUAUUAUUGAUAGAAAGGGAGCUGAGAACCCCGUUGCAGACAACUUAUCUAGGUUAGAGAAUAUUCUUGAUGACCCACUACCUAUUAAUGAUAGCUUUCAUGAUGAACAAUUAGCUGUCAUAAAUGCUUCUCAUACUGCUCCAUGGUAUGCUGAUUAUGCUAAUUACAUUGUUGCUAAAUUCAUACCACCCAGUUUUACAUACCAGCAAAAGAAAAAGUUCUUCUAUGAUUUAAGACAUUACUUCUGAGAUGACCAACACCUUUAUAAAGAAGGAGUAGAUGGUGUUAUUAGACGUUGUGUACCUGAGCAUGAACAUGAACAGAUCCUAUGCAAGUGUCACUCCGAGGCAUAUGGAGGACACCACGCUGGAGAUAGAACUGCACAUAAGGUAUUGCAAUCCGGUUUUUAUUGGCCUACUCUCUUCAAAGAUGCCCGUAGGUUUGUCUUGUCUUGUGAUGAAUGUCAAAUAUUGGUAAUAUUAGUAAACGUCAAGAAAUGCCUAUGAACUAUUCUCUUGUUAUUGAGCCAUUUGAUGUUUGGGGCUUUGAUUAUAUGGGACAUUUUCCUGCCUCUAAUGGGUAUACAAAUAUUUUAGUUGUUGUUGAUUAUGUUACUAAGUGGGUAGAAGCUAUUCUAACUAGUAGUGCUGAUCAUAACACAUCUAUUAAGAUGCUUAAAGAAGUUAUUUUUCCGAGGUUUGGAGUCCCUAGAUACUUAAUGACUGAUGGUGGUUCACAUUUUAUUCAUGGUGCUUUUCGUAAAAUGCUUGCUAAGUAUGAUGUUAAUCAUAGAAUUGCAUCUCCUUAUCACCCAUAGUAUAGUGGCCAAGUAGAGCUGAGUAACAGAGAGCUUAAAUUAAUUUUGCAAAAGACUGUUAAUAGAUCUAGAAAGAAUUGGUCCAAGAAACUUGAUGAUGCAUUAUGGGCUUAUAGAACUGCAUAUAAAAAUCCUAUGGGUAUGUCUCCAUAUAAAAUGGUUUAUGGAAAAGCUUGUCACUUACCUCUCGAACUAGAACAUAAGGCAUAUUGGGCUAUUAAAGAGCCCAAUUAUGAUUUCAAACUUGCUGGUGAGAAAAGCGGUUAUUUGACAUUAGCUCACUUGAUGAAUGGAGAACCCAAGAUUAUGAAAAUGCCAAACUGUUUAAGGAAAAGGUUAAAAGAUGGCAUGACAAAAGGAUACAAAAGUGUGAGUUUAAUGUAGGUGACUAUGUUGCUUUUCAACUCUCGUUUAAGAUUUUUUGCAGGAAAACUUCUCUCUAAAUGGGAAGGCCCUUAUGUUAUUGAGUAAGUAUGUCGUUCCGGUGCCAUAAAAAUCAACAACUUCGAAGGCACAAAUCCGAAGGUGGUGAACGGUCAAAGAAUCAAACAUUAUAUCUCAGGUAACCCAAUAAAUGUUGAAACUAAUGUUAUUGAAACCGUAACCCCGGAGGAAUACAUAAGGGACACUUUUCAGAACGUUCUAGACUCCGAAAAGGAAUACGUACGUGGUACGGUAAGUAAACCAACUCCAAAUCAAUUCUAAUAGCAGUAUUUCUCCGUUUUGGAAUAUUUAAGAAAAUAGGAAAAUAAAAAGUAGUCCAGGAAGGACAUGAGGCGUCCACGAGGGUGGAGGGCGCGCCCCCUGCCUCGUGGGCACCUCGUGUGCUCUCCGGACUCCGUUUUCUUGCACGAUACUUCUUUUGGUCGGUAAAAAUUCAUUAUAUAAUCUCCCGAAGGUUUUGACCACUAUAUCAUGCAAAUAUCCUCUGUCUUUGUUUCGAGUUGUUUCUGUCGCAGGCUAGAACAAUAUGUCAUCCCAGGAUGCGGAGAGAGAAAGCUAUGUGGCUGAUUACCUUGUAGACCCGAAGGUCUACGGGGACGUGGACCAUCAUGGUUGGACCACGGAGGAAGAAGAAGAUUACGAGCCUAAGGGAAAGUAGGAGAAGAGCUCAGAUGAAGGAGAAGUCUCAUUACCUCAACCUGGGUACAUGCAUGUGGAGUUUAAAAAGUCAAGCCUCCCUGAUAGAGCAAAGAAACCUAAGAUCGAGUUUAUCCCUUUUCGUCUCUUGCAGGAGAACAAACAGGAACUGUGCAAAAAGAUAUUAAGCCUUGAGCAGGAGAUCGAUGAUCUAAGGGAGCAAAUUCUAUCCUCAAAUGCAAAUUAAGGAAGAAGCCUACAUCAUCAACAACACCACCUUCUUCACCGGCAAAGGAGACAUAAUCACAUGGGUAUGGGCACUCCCCUUGGCAACUGCCAAGCUUGGGGGAGGUGCCUCGAUAUCGUAUCAUCAUCACACUCCUAUCUUUACAGUUUUUCUUAGUUCGAUCCCUUUAGUAAUAUCUCGAUCUAGUAGAAUAAAGUUUUGGUAUGAUUUAGUUUUGAUUUUUCCCUUAUGGUCCCUUUAUAUGGUCCCUUUAUGUAAUCGAGUCUGUUAGCUAUAUUUAAUAAAGAUUAGUGUUAAGUCAAGGGCUUUGCUGUUUUGCCAUGAUCUUGAAAUAAUAAAAAGAAAUAGUAAUAAUAAAAAGGAAUAAAGAUAUCAUAUCGAUCUUAUGAAGAAUAAUGACUUCACAUAUAAAGAGUAUGAUGAAUAAAAGUUGUUGAGAGUUGGCAAACAUAGUUUUGGUCAUCGUUGCAAUUAAUAGGAAGUAAUAAAGAAACAGAGGUUCUCACAUGCAAAUAUACUCUCUUGGAUAUCUUUUAUGAUUGUGAGCACUCAUUAAAGUAUGACAUGCUAAAAGAGUUGAUGUUGGACAAGGAAGACAACAUAAUGGGUUAUGUUUUCUCACAUCUUAGUUAAAGUAUAUUGUCAUGGAUCGUCCAACAUGUUGAGCUUGCCUUUUCCUCUCAUGCUAGCCAAGUCCUUGCACUAAGUAGAAAUUACUUGUGCUUCCGAAAUACCCUUAAACUAGUUUUGCCAUGAGAGUCCACCAUAUCUACCUAUGGAUUGAGUAAGAUCCUUCAAGUAAGUUGUCAUGUUACAUGCAAUAAAAAUUGCUCUCUAGAUAUGUAUGACUUAUUAGUGUGGAGAAAAUAAGCUUUAUACGAUCUUGUGAUAUGGAAGUAAUAAAAGCGACGGACUGCAUAAUAAAGGUUCAUAUCACAAGUGGCAAUAUAAAGUGACGUUCUUUUGCAUUAAGGUUUCGUGCAUCCAACCAUAAAAGCACAUGACAACCUCUGUUUCCCUCUUCGAAGGGCCUAUCUUUUACUUUAUGUCUUAUACCUUAUGCAAGAGUCAAGGUGAUCUUCACCUUUCCUUUUUACAUUUUAUCCUUUGGCAAGCACCUCGUGUUGGAAAGAUCCUGAUAUAUAUAUAUAUACACACACACACACACACAUAUAUAUAUAUAUAUAUCCAAUUGGAUGUAAGUUAGCAUGAACUAUUAUUGUUGACAUUGCCCUUGAGGUGAAAGGUUGGGAGGCAACACUAUAAGCCCCUAUCUUUCUCUGUGUCGGAUUAAAACUCCAAACCCAUAAGUAUUGCGUGAGUGUUAGCAAUUGUGAAAGACUAAAUGAUGGUUGAGUAUGUGGACUUGCUGAAAAGCUCUUAUAUUAACUCUUUUCGAUGUUAUGAUAAAUUGCAAUUGCUUCAAUGACCAAGAUUAUAGUUGCUAGUUUUCAAUGAAGUUUUUGAGUCAUACUUGACAUUAUGAGUAGAUUGUUAUUUCAAUAUAAAUAAUCAUAUAACAAUAUAUAUAUAUAUAUAUACAUAUAUAUAUAUACAUAUAUAUAUAUAUAUAGGAACCCCUCUAGAGUUUCUAAAUAAGCUUAUUUAGGAACCCCCACCCCCAAGCUACUAACUUACUAAAAAUAGCCCACCCCGACAACCUCCUACUGCGUCGGUGUCCGACCACCACCCACCGCACAGCCGCCACCACCACCACCUAUCCUGCCGGCGCGCCGCCACCACCACCUACCCCGUCGGGCCGCCACCACCACCACAUCCCCCGCCGGCGUGCCACCACCACCACUCACCCCGCCGGCGCGCCACCAUCUCCAACCUCAGCAACGCCAGCUGCCCCCACGUCUGGAUCUCAGCGAGAGCACCAUCCCCAAUCAGGCUGCCGGGGUCCAGAGAGUUCGUGUGCCAGAUCCAUGGUUGCUCCAUCAAAGCUCACCCCAUCGCCCUCGUAACCCCUCCCCCGUCAUGCCCCUAUUUCCGGGCGUUGAGCAGGACCAUGGGGACCUUUGCCAUCAAUGGAUCCAUCCACGCGUUCAGCAGUUAGCCACCCGUUCUUGGCAGUUAGUCCCCGACAUCUCUGCUUCCCGUCAGCGUCGAGGUACAGGAGGACAGUGCUCCCAAACAGACCCGUAUCACUGGUCGAGCCGCCUAACUACUGGUCGAGCUGACCCGUCUCCCUCGAUGAAUCCACUAACCUCCUCUUGUGGUGGCUCUCCUAGCUAUCCUGAGGUCUCCCUUGCACACGGGAGGUGGGGAGCGCGUCGUUCGGCCCCUGGCCGCCUCCCCAUGGCUGCAUCCCCAUCGGCGGGUGCUCGCCUCAAGCCCUUGUAUGUGGAUUCGACGCUGUGGAAAGCAGCAAUCUGCUUUUUUAUACUUGGAAAAGCGAAGUUGGUUUACACGCAGAGGCAUCACUAUUAUUUGUUGUUGUUUCUACAUCUUCAGCUAGCAGCAACCACAGCAGGUUGUUAGGGGUGGCCAUGCCGACAGUUAAGAAAGACCAGUUAGAAGUGUGCGUGUGCGUGUGCGUGUGCGUGUGGGUGUGCGUGUGCGUGUGCGUGUGCGUGUGCGUGUGCAUGACGAGUUAGCUUAGGACAUGGUUCAUUUUCUGAUGUUGUGUGUGUGCCGAGUUGGCUUAGGCCAUGGUUCUUUCUUUCAUGCAGUAGCAAUUCGGUUAUAAAAGGCAGCGACAGUCAAGAAAAAAGCUGGAGAAUGGGGAGGACAAGAAUCCAGCAAGGGAGAAGGGCAAAAAAGAAAGUCGGUGAUCAAGGUACAUGUCUGAUUCUUGUUGUGUCUUCAUGAUAACUUCUCAACUAGGACCAUUAAUGUUGUCGUCAGUUUGAGGAGCCAUUGUGUUUCCUGUAAAAAUAGGUGAUAUAUUUUGCAAGGCAUUUUCUGUUCAGCAGUUAUGUGUUAUUAAGAAAAUAGGGUAGGUUUGGGUUCUUCUGCAGUUAACUAGAUAAAAAGGGGUUCGUCUUCAUCCAUCCACGCACACCAUCGGAUGUGUUUGUGCAUUGUUCAGUUAGCUUCCCUUAUUUCUAGCACGCAUAACAGUGGAUUCACAAACACAAAAAUCUCUCUCUAUCUCUGUGUGUGUGGAAGUUAGUAGGCAGAGGGCAACAGUUAGGGGAGAAAUGAAUGGUUUAUGUGUUCUAAAAAUAUUUGUUUUUUCUAUGGGUGUUUCAAUUGUCACAGGGUUUGAAAAUUCAGCAGUUAUACCUUCCAAGAAAAAAGAGUUAAUUUCGAGUGUGAUAGCAGUUCCUGAGAAAAAAAUUGUCUACCCAGAAAAACAGGAAGUUAACAUCAUAAUUUACAGCGGUUAACUUUACAAAUGUAUACUAGUUCGGGGUCUAUAGCAGUUAGUUUUUUUACAAGAACCCGUGUAGCAGUUAGCUGGGUAGAUUUUAUAAGUUAACUUUUACAAAAAGGUGCAGUUAACAAAACAACAUGUUUUUUUUAAAUGCGAGUUAAUUUUGAAGUUAACUUUUACAAUUUACAGUAGUUAAAAUCACAUUUUGCAACCGUUUUCACAAAAAGAGCAAAAAUAUGCAUGCAGAUAAAGUAUAGUUGACUUGCAUCCGAAAGGUAGACAGAUGGGAAGAUUUUGCAAAGACUUGAUAUAAAAAAUUGGCAGUUAGCUUGCAAGGUACACAAACAUUUUGGUCAUAACCGGGAUGCAUCGUAGUUUGCUAAAGAAAUCUAAUUUCUAGUGCUCAUAACUCUUUCUGUGUCUGUUUGAUCUUAUUGAGAGCACAAGUGACUAAUUAAUUAUAGCAAUUGCGUACUCUUUUCUCAUCAUUUUAUCAUCUGGUGGUGUUGAACCAGUGACCGUGUUUAGUGCUGCAUUAUGAUGUUCCUACUUCAUCUUUUGUGUUUGUUUCGUCUUCCCGGGAAUAAAAUUGAGUCAUUUUUAGUGCGUUCUUAUUGUUCUAGUCAUCAGUUUAUCAUUCCGCGUGUUCAACCACCAAAAUAGUGUCGUUCAGAAACGCAAAGACUAUAGAUAGUGACAUAUUCUAUUUUAUACUUUUUCAGACUUCCAAGGAAACAAGCAAUUAGAGUGAAAAGAAGAACUUACAAAAGAAGUAGAGUGCCUCAGAGCUGAUUUGCAACAAGGUAGAGAGAUGGAUCAUGCUCAAUCUGUUGCUCAACUGAAUACCUUGACCACUGAACUAGCCACUUACAAUGAACAAGCUAGAAAAUGUUUGAUAAACUGAAUGUUUGAGAGUUAAAGUGGUUCUUUUAGGCUUGUGCUUUCAGUAAAUUUGGUUUAUUUUCAUGUCACUAGUUGGCUUAUUAAUAUCCUUUUGUUCUGAAAAGACUUAUCAUUAUGCUUGUUCUCAAGAAACAGAGACCACUGCUCAAUUAGCUCUUGCCCCCAUGCUGCCAGCGGCGCGAUCCACGGUGCGUAGUUUGCCAAUGAUCAGUUUCAUGGAUUAGUUAGUUUCAGGGACUAGCUGCAGUUAUCUUGCGUCCAAACAAAUUAAGUGAUGUACACAACUAUGAUUUUGCAAAGCCCCUGCUUGCGUGAGGUACAAAAAAUAGCAAUCUAAUGAGAGGGUUCAGUUUGUUUGCCAAGCCCCUGCUUGCGUGAGGUACAAAAGAUAUUUUUAACCCCGGCAGUUAACUCGGUGUUAACUGCCGUAAUCCCUGGCAGUUAGCUAUUUUACUCCCAAUCGUUAGCUUGAACCGGGAAAACAAAAAAAGGUAUUUUCAAUCCUGACAGUUAACUAUGGCAGUCUCGACCAUUAGCUAUUCUAGUCCCGGCGGUUAACUUGACCAGGGAAAAAAUAGAAAAAAAAGGAAUUAAAAGCAAAAUAAGCAGAAAAAAGUAUUAUCAGCCAUUGCAGUUAGCUUGCUCAUCGCGUGCAGUUAGGUAUUUCAUACCCGCAGUUAGUGUGACCCAAUCAAAAAAGAAAAAAACAUUUUUAGUCCCGCAGUUAACUUGGUGCUAACUGUUGCGAUUCUCGGCAGUUAGCUAUUUCACCCCCGGAAGUUAACUUGACCUGAAGUAUAGAAGAAAAAAAACAAUUUUCUUUAGUCUCAGCAAUUAGCUUGUCAGCAUAUGUCAGUUAGCUAUUCCGCGCGAGCAGUUAGCGUGUACUGUAGCAAUUCGGGCAAAAAAUGUCAAAAAUGAUGUUGGUUUUUUGAAAACUGCUCUUAAACUGUAGCAAAUCUGAAAACAUGUUAUAUAUGCGAAAGUUUGGGCUAAUCGGUACCUUUCUAACACGCAUCAUUCUGACAAAAACUUUGAAAAAUCCUUUCACAAAAACAUUGAAAACUCAUUUGAUGGAUUUUCAGUAUUUUGAAUUUUGUUUAAAAACCGGAUCGAUUUAGGGAAAACGACCAAAAUGAGUUGUUUUGCUCCUUCUCAAUAGCUAUCCAAAGGUAUAUCAGUUGCAUCAAUCUGAUUAGCGGUUAAAUAAUUACGACCCAAAAACAGUGCGAAAAAACGAUGCCACAAAGAGUCCGCCCGACAAUUAACUUGUAUAGUUCGCACAAUUAGCUGUUUGUCUUAUUCAGGAAUGGGUUGUAGAAUAGCUGGGAUGUGUGUGUGUGUCUAUAUAUAUAUGGACAUAUUUAUAAGAAUUAUCAUGAUGCCUUCAUGUCCGUAUUUUUUUAUCAACACCUCUAUCUCUAAACAUAUGAACAUAUUUUUCGAUAUCGGCUUCCGCUUGAGGACAAGCGAGGUCUAAGCUUGGGAGAGUUGAUACGUCCAUUUUGCAUCAUGCUCUAAUAUUGAUAUUUAUUGCAUUAUGGACUGUUAUUACAUGAUAUAUCACAAUACGUAUGCCUAUUCUCUCUUAUUUUACAACGUUUGCAUGAAGAGGGAGAAUGUCGGCAGCUGGGAUUUUGGGCUGGAAAAGGAGCAAAUAUUAGAGACCUAUUCUGCACAGCUCCAAAAGUCUUGAAACUCCACGAGAGUCAUUUUUUGAAUUAAUAAAAAAUAUUGGCAAAAGAAUCAACGUCAUGGGCCCACACCCUGUCCACGAGGGUGGGGGCGCCCCCCCCCCUAGGGCGCGCCCCCUGCCUCGUGGGCCCCUUGACAGCCCUCCGGUGGCCAUCUUCUGCUAUAUGAAGUCUUUUACCCUAAAAAAAUCAGAAGCAAGCUUACGGGACGAAACUCCAUCGCCACGAGGCGGAACCUUGGCGGAACCAAUCUAGGGCUCCGGCAGAGCUGUUCUGCCGGGGAAACUUCCCUCUGGGAGGAGGAAAUCAUCACCAUCGUCAUCACCAACGAUCCUCUCAUCAGGAGGGGGUCAAUCUCCAUCAACAUCUUCACCAGCACCAUCUCCUCUCAAACCUUAGUUCAACUCUUGUAUCCAAUCUUUGUACCAAAACCUCAGAUUGGUACCUGUGGGUUGCUAGUAGUGUUGAUUACUCCUUGUAGUUGAUGCUAGUUGGUUAUUUGGUGGAGAUCAUAUGUUCAGAUCCUUAAUGCAUAUCAAUACUCCUCUAAUUAUGAACAUGAAUAUGAUUCGUGAGUAGUACGUUUGUUCCUGAGGACAUGGGAGAAGUCUUGCUAUAAGUAGUCAUGUGAAUUUGGUAUUUGUUCAAUAUUUUGAUAAGAUGUAUGUUAUCUAUCCUCUAGUGGUGUUAUGUGAACGUCGACUACAUGACACUUCACUAUUGUUUGGGCCUAGAGGAAGGCAUUGGGAAGUAAUAAGUAGAUGAUGGGUUGCUAGAGUGACAGAAGCUUAAACCCUACUUUAUGUGUUGCUUCGUAAGGGACUGAUUUGAAUCCAUAUGUUUCAUGUUAUGGUUAGGUUUACCUUAAUACUUCUUUUGUAGUUGCAGAUGCUUGCAAUACGGGUUAAUCAUAAGUGGGAUGCUUGUCCAAGAAAGGGCAGUACCCAAGCACCGGUCCACCCACAUAUCAAAUUAUCAAAGUAACGAACGCGAAUCAUAUGAGCGUGAUUAAAACUAGCUUGACGAUAAUUCCCAUGUGUCCUCGGGAGCGCUUUUCUCAUAUAAGAACUUGUCCAGGCUUGUUCUUUGCUACAAAAAGGAUUGGGCCACCUUGCUGCACCUUAUUUCUUUCAUUGCUUGUUACCCGUUACAAAUUAUCUUAUCACAAAACUAUUUGUUACCUACAAUUUCAGCGCUUGCAGAGAAUACCUUAUUGAAAACCGCUUGUCAUUUCCUUCUGCUCUUCGUUGGGUUCGACACUCUUACUUAUCGAAAGGACUAUGAUAGAUCCCCUACACUUGUGGGUCAUCAGUCACAACCUGGGCUCUCCCCCCUCCCCCACCCAUCCACCCAUGUUUUUUCCCUGGUAUAUCCCCUAGUAUUUAGCCCAUGUGUCAAGUAGAAGAGGCCCAAAAUGCAUUUUGUUNNNNNNNNNNNNNNNNNNNNNNNNNNNNNNNNNNNNNNNNNNNNNNNNNNNNNNNNNNNNNNNNNNNNNNNNNNNNNNNNNNNNNNNNNNNNNNNNNNNNNNNNNNNNNNNNNNNNNNNNNNNNNNNNNNNNNNNNNNNNNNNNNNNNNNNNNNNNNNNNNNNNNNNNNNNNNNNNNNNNNNNNNNNNNNNNNNNNNNNNNNNNNNNNNNNNNNNNNNNNNNNNNNNNNNNNNNNNNNNNNNNNNNNNNNNNNNNNNNNNNNNNNNNNNNNNNNNNNNNNNNNNNNNNNNNNNNNNNNNNNNNNNNNNNNNNNNNNNNNNNNNNNNNNNNNNNNNNNNNNNNNNNNNNNNNNNNNNNNNNNNNNNNNNNNNNNNNNNNNNNNNNNNNNNNNNNNNNNNNNNNNNNNNNNNNNNNNNNNNNNNNNNNNNNNCACUGACGGUGAGCACACACACUCCCCAUAUGUAGCCCAUACUCUCAUGGCGAUUGUGGUUGUGGCAUACAAUCAAAGGUUAUUAUUUUAAGCCGACGGAGAUAUCACAAAGUCGGUUGUGUUGUUAGUCGGUUGGACUAAGAUGUAAGCGUAGAUCUGACAAUAGUCGACGGGUAACGAACAUGUUGUUACCGAGGGCAGAGGCAGGGAACUAGAACGAGCCAUGGCUUCCUCCAUGAUCCCACAUUUUGCACAUAUGUGCUUGUUUUAUGCACCUAAUCUCUCAUAUCUUGAAAAAAACAUUUAUUAGUAUUUUUUAACAGAUUUAUUACUACAAUAUGGCCCAUGUUAUGAAAAGUUUGACUCAUUUCCCUUCCUCCUUCAAUCUUCGAUUCUUGACUCCACCACUGGUUGCAAGCUUGCAUCAUUUCUAAACUUGGUCACAAUAGCAACAUGCCAACAUCUCUUUUCAAAAUAAGAAGUUAGGCAUUAGUUAUUUAGUGUCUUGAGUUUGAACAAAGACGAAAGCUGGUUGUGUGUACCAUGGAGCCAUAUAUCCGAAAUUAGACAUCAUGUCAUUCACGCCUUACCAUGUACGUAUUGUCACGAGAUGAGCCCACUCUUGCUAAUUCACAACAUUAUAUGUGAAAUUUACUCUUAAUUUUAUGAAUAAGUCCAAACACUCACAGAAAAAAAAGUCCAGGCAUACUGCCGCUCCUCGUGCUUUAUUUUCCAGGGCAUAUGAGUUGCCUGACCUGACAUCACCAGUGGCUUGGCGAAGUUGACCCCGCAGCUUUUUAUUAGCUCCUCUGACCCCACAUACUCCAAAGUCUGGCAGCACGGGUUUGGAGUCCUAGCGCCGCCACUGGACAUCACUGCCUCUGUCCAGGCUCGGGCCUCACUUUUCCAUAUGCAUCCUAGUCUGAAAAACGAAAUGAGUGUUUUACACAAAAAAAGGAACAAAAUACUGUAUUGUUUUAUCUUCAAAAUAAAUACAUUUAAUACUAAACACUUUAUUGUUUUGAUCAAGUUUCUAAAAUAAACUAUCAAUAUUUAAGAUACUACUCCCUCCGUUCCUAAAUAUUUGAAAUUUCGUAUGUAGUUCAUAUUGAAAUCUCUUAAAAAACACAUAUUUAGGAACGGAGGGAGUAGAUGAGUAAAAAAUGUAAACGUAUACUUCAUGCUAAAUCCUUUGUGUUGUGAAUAUUGAUAUUCUUUUUUUUAAACGUGGUAAAAAAAUGUAAACGUAUACUUCAUGCUGAAUCUUUUGUGUUGUAUGUUGCCAUUCUUUUUCUUUAAACGUGGUCAAAGGUAGGAUCAUUUGAUUUUUAGAAAAAUGAACUAUGCACUACAUUUCGGUGCUUGGAGUUUUGAGAUCAGCAUUUCGCAAAGUGCGGCCCGAAACCCGCCCGGGCUGGUCCGCGCUAUGGCCAGCUGGUUUGCUCGUGCCGUCACCCGCCACCCGCCACCCACGGCAAGAGAGAGACAGCCAAGGGAGACCGCGCGCCCGGUGCGAGGAGCUGCUAGCGCUAGGUGAGGUGACACACAGCGAACGGAUCAAAGUUGACGGUUUGCCUUGUCGACUACUACUACUACUACUCCACUCCAGUACGCAUGCAGGUCUCGCCUUGCCGGCACGAGUGUGUUGAUUCUCCUCUCCACAGGCGCAGAUCAAAGUUGAACUGACGACGCAGUACGUACUAGCCCUAGCCCGUUCAAAGAGUUACGGCACUGACCAACUCUUCCGUCCGUCAUCAACUCAUCAUCCAUGCAUACGUGCAUGCAUGCCAUCCUUGAACCAGUCGCCAUCGCCACGCCUAUAUAUGGACGCACGUACGUACACAGCCCACCGCAACCCACCACAACGAGCAAGCAAGCAAGCCAUCUAUCCCACCGCCUCCACAGCCCACACCACUCUCACACGCACAAGCACACACGAUCGAACCUCCUACCACCAUGGUGACAUUCACGGCGCGCCGGGGCGAGCCGGAGCUGGUGCGCCCGGCGAGGCCGACGCCGACCGAGACCAAGGCGCUCUCCGACCUCGACGACCAGUGGACGCUGCGCUUCUACGAGUCCAUCGUCGGCUUCUUCCGGGCCCCGCCGGGCGAGGCGCCCAGGCCGGGCAAGGUGGCCAGGGGCAUCAAGGCGGCCGUGGCGGCGGCACUGGUGUACUACUACCCGAUGGCCGGCCGCCUGCGGAAGCUCCCCGGCGGGAACAGGCUUGCGGUGGACUGCACGGGGGAGGGGGUGGCCUUCGUGGAGGCCUCCGCCGACGUGCGGCUCCAGGACCUCGGCCAGCCGCUGGUGCCGCCGUACCCGUGCGUCGAGGAGUUCCUGGGAGAUUGCGGCGACACGAGGGAUGUCAUUGGCAAGCCUUUGCUCUUCCUGCAGGUAAUAUCAUCUUUCCUAAUUAGUUGUAGUAUUUCAUUAUGUGGCUUAUGGGUGGUGGUAUGUUUAUUUUCUACUCCCUUCGUGUUUAUUUACUCCGCAUAUUAGUGUUGACUGAAGUCAAACUUACUAAAAUUUAACCAAGUUUAUAGAAAAAAAUAGAAAUAUUUACCAUAAUAAAUCUAUAUGAAGUGGAAGUUCAUUCAAUAAUAAAUCUAAUGGUAUGAUUUGUUAUUGUAUAUGUUAAUAUUUUUGUCUAUAAACAUUGUCAAAAUAUAUAAAGCUUAACUUUGACCAAACCUAAUAUGCGGAGUAAAAAAAACGAAGGGAAUACAUACAUAGUGUUUUUUUUGCAGGUUACACAGUGUAUUUAUUACUAUGAGUGACGGUUUGAGCACCUUAUCAAUAUCGAAAUUCUUCUAUCUUUUGCGGGGUUGAUAUCAAUAUUGGAGCAAAAUAAAAAAGAAAUGGAGAAAAGAGGGUUGCAUCACAUAAUGAAAUUGUUAGCGUUCAAUUUUCAUGGUGAAAGAAUAGUUGUUAUAUUACUAAAGUUUUGUCCAUCAAAUGUUACCAAAUUUCAUAUGUCGGUUUUAUGUUUUCUCAGUAAAUUGAAUUAGAACCAAAAUUAUUUAAUGUACUCCAAAUAUUCAUUCUAGUUGAAUUAUUACUUAUCACUAGCCUAAAUUAAAUUUUUGUUGACGCUUGAAUAUGAUGUCAUCAGAUACAACUGAGUGUAUUAAUAUGAAUAUAAAAAAAAGUGUAUGCAUAUACCCACGCAUACUAGUCAUAUUAGUUAUUUUCAUUGCUCGUUUGAAUUCCAUAAAUUUUGCUAAGUAGCAUGUCAUCAUUUAUAACCUAACCAUAAUAAUGUGUUAUGCAGGUGACACAACUAAAAUGUGGAGGAUUUGUUAUUGGGCUUCACAUGUGUCAUUGCAUUGCCGAUGGUUUUGGUAUUCUUCAAUUUAUCAAAACUAUAGCCGAUUUUGGAUGUGGUGAACUUAUCCCAACCACUUUGCCCGUGUGGAAAAGAGAUAUCUUUACAGCACGCAUGCCACCAUCCAUUGCACAUGUUUACCCGGCAUAUAAAUCAUUUCUCCAUGGGUUAGAGUGCACAGGAGACGACGUAAUGCUAUCAACUCCGCCGGAAUGCAUGGAAGUGCAAUAUUUAUUCUUUGGGCCAAAUGAGAUAGAAAUUUUGAGAAGCCACGUCCCAGAACACCUCUCCAAAUCUACUACAACAUUUGAGUUGAUUACAGCUGUCAUGUGGCGGUGCCGCACAUUGGCACUGGGCUAUGAAUCUACUCAAAAAGUUCGUGUCAUGUUUACAUUAAACACACGUGGGAGAAGCAUUAAUGGUGAAAGCGCCGUCCCACGUGGUUACUAUGGAAAUGCACAUUUCUCUCCUAUGGUUGAGGUCACUGUCGAGGAGUUGGCUGCAAAGCCGCUUGGACAUAUACUUGAGCUCAUGCGUCAAGUCAAGUUGGACACCACAAAGGAUCGCAUGAAGUCAAUGGUGGAUUUGAUGGCAUUAUGGCGAGAGCGGUCACCAUUUGGUAUGGAUAGAACAUAUGAGGUUAGCGACACAAAGUGGGUUGGAGGCAAUGCACUGCAAUUUGGGAAAGCCGAGCUGGUUGCUGCUGGCACACCACAUGCUGGAGAUUUCACUUCAAAGCUGAUAAGCUAUCAUACCAAGUGUAAGAAUAAAGAUGGUGAAGACUCAACCGUGGUAUCAAUCCUACUUCCAAAACCAGCAAUGGAGAAGUUCACAAUGGAGAUGGCAUUUUGGCUGAAGAAGUAAAAUGAAAAUAGCAUAACAAGUCCAUUUGUUGCAUGUAUAUGCUAUUUACUUCAUUUAGUAUUAAGGUCCAAACACCAACCAUAGUUGGUUAUGUGCUACCAUGGAAGUCGUGGUGUAUUAUUUGAAUGCUUGUAUCUUUACUUAUGUUUUUCCCAUUUAGUAAGCAAAUAUAAAUAAUAAUUUCUCCCUUUGAAAUACAUAUUGAGGAUUCACAUGCCAUUUUUUGUUAGUCGACUAACUCUAUUCAUGUGAGGAGAAGUUGAUGAACCAUAUCUAAUACAUCAAAGAGUUGUGAGUCUGAACUUGCUUGUGUUAUGUGUUUCCACAAAACCUGAGUCAAGGUGACGUUCACUCCCUUGGUUUUUUUGGUUGUUAGUCCAACAAACCACCGAUCAAACAUCAAUAUGGACUUACAAUUAAAUGUCUAUCAUCUUUUCUGGUGGUCAUUCUAAGUAUGCCUGCCUCAGUAAACAUUGCCAAAUGAAUGUUGAGUAUGCUUCUAUACUGAUCAAACAUGAAUUAUAUAGUACGCCGAAUGAACUGUGAAUUGCCCGUCUUUGGUGAAGUUCCACACGAAAUAAUCGUCCGUGUCCGGGCCCCCAAUGGUGAUCUGCUGCGUGUUCCUCCGAAAAGGGCAAGAAUGGGCGGGCAUGGAUCUUCAUCUUCGGUGAAACAACAUAAGAGCUGGAUGGCCAUGUUGGACACUUCGGCCCCGGGAAAGGCAAAGAUUCAUAUGUGGCGUUUGCUCCGCAAUGGCUUAGCUGUUGAACACGAACUACAACACAGAAGAAUCAAGGCGGGAGUUUUUUGCACGGCAUGUUGGAGGAAUGGCAACAAGUUCAUGCAAAACCCAUUACUGAGCGUACGCCUCUGAUGAGAGCUAGGUGGGAACCGCCGGAGGAGGGCUGGUUUAAAGCAAACGCAGAUGGAGCCUUCUCCAAAGGGCGCGGAAAGGGAGGAGCAGGUGUGGUCCUCAGAGAUCAUAACGGGGGUUUUGUGGCUGUUGCAGGACUUUUUGUCGAUCAUGCGUCGAGCGCUGAGCAGGCGGAGGUGGUGGCAUGUCGACGAGGCAUCCAACUAGCUCGCGAAGCAAAUGUGCAAAAUCUUCAUGUCGAGCUGGACAAUCUGGUGUGGUUGCGGCGAUCAACAAACAUGACCAAGAUCUAUCAACUUUGGGGCCUUGUAUUGAGGAAAUCAAGUGGUUGCUAACCCACUUUCCACAGGCGAAGGUUUCUUGGAUGAGGAGAGAAGCAAAUGGAGCCGCUGAUAAAUUAGCUAAAAUUAGCUUAGGUGAUGAGGUCUGUAAUGUUUGGUGGUAUAUACCACCGGAGUCUAUCCUACAGGUGAUCUAAAUAAUAAAGCGAUGUUGAUCCUCGAAAAAAAAAACAUGAAUUAUAUAGACUUAAAAGAUUAAAUUCCUCUCAAUUUUCCUGUCCGUUUUUCUUAGUAAGUUUGCCAUGGUCGACAUCACCGAGUGGAUUAUGAUCGUCGUCCUUCUCCAUCUCUUUUAAGGACUGCAACGGUAGGCGACCGAUAAUUUCGGACUAACUGAAUAUUGGCAAAACUGAAAACACAAACGGUAUGUUUCAAAAUGCAGGAGUUACAAAUUUCUGUGGUGACGACACUCCCCAAAAACGACAUAAAUAAGGAGACCACGAAAUUUAAAACAAUCGCAGAUGUACAAACCCAGGCAGGUUUGAACAACAAAUCAUCAUGCGAACCAAUUUAAACUCGACUCGCUCGAGAACCCCAGAUCAGUUUCCAGAUUUAUUUUGUGCUGCAUGUUGAUCGAUCAGUUCUGCAGCAGGAGGAGCUUGUCGUCGUUGUCCUUGGGCUUGGCGAGCGUCUGCCUGGAGCGCACGCGCGCCUGCAGCCGCGCCAUGGCCUGCAUGCAGUGCACCGCCACCUCCGCCUGCCACCGCACGUACGCGCCCCGCGCCACCGCCUGCAGCCUCACCAGGCUCCUCAGCGCCUUGAACGCCCGCCGCGCCUGCAAAACCAAAACGCAGUUUAGAUUUAGACAUGCAAAUCAAUCAGGCGUGGAAGUAGCGAUCUGGCAUGGUGAGCACGCACAAGGUGGGCGCGGAAGUAGGCCUGGAUGGUGACGGCGGCAACGUCCUCCCGAGAGAAGCCCUCACGGCACAGCAGCGCGUACUCCUCGUUGGAGCAGACCGACUCGUCCUCGUUCGCCGGCGCCGGCUCCACGGCCUUCGCGAGCGGCGCCGCUCUGUGGACCGCCUUGGCGACGUCGCCGUUGCUGCGCGGGUUGGUGGUGCUGUCGCGAACGGCGCCCGAGACCGCGCCGCGCGUCUGCGCCACCGUCUUGCUGGCGGAGCUGAGCCAGCGGCGCCGCGCGGUGCCCGACUUGGACUUGGCGUUGCCGGCCUGCGCGGGCGCGGUGGUGGUCACGCAGCACACGCGCUGCGUCCGCCCGAUCGGCGUCGAAGGGGUUCCCGGCGUCCGCGCGGGAGGAGGAGCCAGCGCCGCUCCAGCCGAAGCAGCAGCCGCCACGGGAGUCCUUGCGGGAGGAGGAGCAACCAGCGCCGCUCCAGCCGACGGAGCAGCUGCCACAGGAGUCCUCGCAGGAGGAGGAGGAGCAACUAGCGGCGCUCCAGCCGACGCAGCAGCUGACACGGGAGUCUUCACCGGAGGAACAGCCAGCGCCGCUCCAGCCGAUGCAGCAGCUGCCACGGGAGUCCUCGCGGGAGCAGCAGGCGCCGCCGCUCGCGCUAGAACAGCGGGUUCCGCGGGCGCCGGCGCUGGUGCCGGAGUGAAGCGGCGGACCUGCUGCGCGCGGCGCGGGGUGCGGGAGCGGACGCCGCAGAGGCGCCUCGCGGAGGGCGUCUUGGGGGUGCGCGGCGUGCGGACGGCGUCCCCGGUGCCGCAGCAGCUGGUGAGCGGCGUGCGCACGCUGCUGUUGUCCGCGUCGACGGGGGCGAGGCCGCUGCCCCCGGAUGGGCGGUGAUGGGCGCCGAUGCAGCAAAUGCAAGCCGCGCUGCUGCGGCGGCGGGCGUCGCCGGAGGGCUUCGACGGCAUGAGGCAGCACAGCGCCCGCGUCCUCGGCAUUGCAAAGUCGUCGUUGGCGUACCUGAUAGAAUGCGGUGCGAGUGCUACGACUUGUGGGAAUGGCCGGCGAAGGCGGUAUAAAUGGGCCAGGAGCCGGCCGGAGAGGAGGGAGACGACCGAUGCGAUGUGCGUGCCUCUACGGACGUGGGCGUCUGUCGGCGUCGGCGUGGCGGUUUUAUUUAGGGUUAGCGCGUGUGAUCGGGGACAGCUUUGUGAGGCAACGACGAGAACGUGGCGGGAUGGAUGGAUGAGCCAUGGAAAUGUGAACUGAGUUUUUUUUUUCAGAAGAAAAAAAGGACGCGACUCGCUGGCACCCGGGUGCCAGAUUGUUGAUCGCGGUACACCCCCUUAAAAGGAAAACACUCAUGCGAGCUGUCGUACGUGAGUGAAUGAAAAUCGCACUCGCGUCCGCCUCGCAAACAAAAAAGAUUCUGUCCCCACCAAAUUAAGGACCAAAUCAACGCAGCUGGGCGCCACUUCCCAAACCCCACCCGCGUCCAGCCUACGCUAACCUCAGGUAGCAUCAUACCUACCCCACGCAUCUGGACCCUUCUCCCUCCUCCUUACCCCCUUGCAAGCCAAUACUAAUCAAAAUCAAUCGUAUGUGUGUAUGGUAGCUACAAAUCAUGGUAGUUGAUGCCGAGCAACAAGAAAAAAAUUCAAUUUAGCUAUCAUAUGAAGCAAGGGAGGACCGGAUCUAGCUUUUGGAGUGGCCCCCAAAGUACCUUGUUGCUGGACAUCGCGGGUGGGAGCACAGACGCAAGAGGCCUGUCCUCCGGCGGAGGAGUUGAGCUGAGGGCCGCGCGGCCGGCCGGCCGGCCGUGGCGCAGCACGACUAGGUCGAUGCGAAUGAGAUGGGGAAAAGCGGUGUUGUAGGAGGAGGGUUUGCUGUUUUGCGUUUUCUGCCGAUGUGGUGUCGUGAUAAGGUACGCGAAGCCUGUUAUUUACCGCGAAAACUGUGGGUGAGCGAGCGGCGCGCGCUUUUCUUCCCGCCAGGAUUCUUUCCGAGAGGUCGAACUUCUUUGGCUCCUCCUUCUCCUCCACAAAAAGCUAGGGUUUUUGCCUCCCGCCGCCGCCGCCGCAGGUCCGCCUCCUCUCCGAUGGCCUUAGGGUCAUGGGGGCGCAGUGGAUCUCGACAAGGGUCGGCGGGAGGGCUCCGUUUUUAAUCGUUUCUUUCAGUUUUGCUAGGGUUUGUGUCCUGCUCAGGAAGACGAGACGGCGGCGGCUCCCUGUAGAUGGAAUAAAGGUCUUCCCGCCUAGCCCCCGUUCCGGCGAUGCGUCUAGCAUCUUUGGUGGGCGUGUGGAGGUGUGUCUCCGGCGGAUCUAUCUUUGAUGGAUUUGCUCGGAUCUCGUCGUUGUUCGUCUACGUUCGUGUGUCUUCGGAUUGGUUUUUUCUGAUCUACGUUAUUCUUCAUCUGCGACGGUUGCUGUUCUGGUGCGCUGGUCCUACGGGGCCUUAGCACGACGACUUCCCGACUGUCUACUACAACAAGUUGUGCCCGACUCCGGCGAUGGAGGGGCGAUGACGGCGGCGAGCCUUCGGCUCGCUUCAGUGCUGGUAGUUGUCGCUAGGUGGUCUACGGAUCUGGAUGUAAUUUCUAUUAUUUCUGGUAUUCGUUGUACUGCCAUGAUUGAAGAUGAAUAGAUCGAAAAUUUUCUCAAAAAAAAAGGUCGAACUUCUUGGAAAAUUUCCUAUGAAAUACAGAAGGGAAACUUCCACAGGAUAUAUUCCUGAGGAUUGAAUUCCUGUAAAUCAAACAACCAUCACAGGAAAAAAUCCAUAGGAUUACAAUUCUAUGAAAAUCCUAUAAAAAUCCUAUGAAUCAAAAAAGGCCUAAAAUUAAAGUAGUUGAACCCUUUGCAUGGAAAGUGAAGUUGGACCAUUUUGACGCACAACAAAAUCUUCAAUUUCAAUUUCAUCAAGAAAGUGGCAACCUUUUUAUUACAUAAGGAGAGGCCAUGACGAUUAACAACAACGGUAGGGAAAGAAAAACAGUACCGGUGCAAACAAAACACACAUACGUGCAGGCAGGCCAGUGGACUUGCACUUGUAAACCCCUGCAGCCACAAAAAGAAAAAAAGAAGCAAAUUGCGACGAACACAGAACAAGGCAUGCAUCAGCGCAUUCUCAGGUCCAAGCUCGCACUCGAUCGCCGUCGAUCAGUACCGCGCGUCGCCCGUCCGGCUCUGCUGGUAGUCUCUGUGCUCGCCGUACUGGCUGCGCUGGUAGUUGCUGCCGCCGUCGCUCGCGUCGGCGUACUGGUCGCGCUGGUAGUUGUGGCUGUCGCUGCUGCCGUCGCGCGCCUCGCCGGACCGCGGCUGCUGCUGGUUCUUCGCGGCAGCGGCGUCGGCGCCGGCGCCGUUGGACGUGGGCGGGCGCUGCAGGCUCUUGACGUAGGUCCAGGCCUCCCGCUGCGAGACCUUGUCCCACCAGCGGCUGACGUUCUUGCGGCGCUGGAACAUGCGGCGGGAGCGCGGGUCGGCGGCGAGGCGGUCGGCGUUGGGCAGGUGCGACAGGUCGGCGAUGGUGAACUUGUCGCCGGCCAGGUACUCCGCCUCCUCCAGGCGCUGCUCGUAGAUGUCCAGCAGCUUCUCCAGCUCCCUCUGGCUCUUCUCGAACAGCUUCCGCAUCUCCUCCUCCUUGGCCGCCCCCGCCGCCGUCACGCGCUUCGCCGACGCGUUCACCACGGCCCUGGUGCCAUUACUGCCGUUGCUGUUGCCGUUGCCGUCGCCGUCGCCGUUGUUGAGCUUCUGCGGCAUGGCAGGCGGCAGGAAGGCGAGGCUGUAGACCAUCUGGGCGCUGGGCUCGUCGAAGCUCUGCGCCUCAGUCUGCAGCCACUGCUCGAUGGACGCGCGCUCCAGCGCCCCCGUGCCGAUCAGGUCUGGGUUGCCCUGCAUGGCGUACUUGUGCGAGAUGUGCCGCAGGAUGCCCCGCGACUCUGCAUGGAGCACACAUGGCUACCAUCAUCAGAAACCAUCGUGAACCAUGCGUCCACCACCAUUGCCGACCGCCGCCUAGAGCUUACCGGAGAGGGUGAGGCUGCCGUCCUCGAAGGUGAGCGCCUCGCCGAGGGGCUGGAGCUUGAGGUACUGGGGCAUGCGUUUGGGGCCGCGGUAGGCGUCGACGCGGAUCAGCUGGAACUCCACGUCCUUCUCGAACAGGCACAUGAGCACGCGCGCCACCUCCGCCGACAUCGGCGACCCGAACACCUUCACGCUCGCCAUUGCGCUGCACUCAACCGGAGUGUGAAGCGAAAGCUCGAGACUAUUGGAAUGCUGCAAAUGUGUGAGCGAUGCCUGGUUUGGGUCGCUGUCGUGUGCUUAUAUAGUUGCCAAAGCAAGGGAACAAAAUGCCUUGCUUGUCGAAGGGUAAAUCUAAAGCCUGGAAAAAUCAAAGGGGAAAAAGAGGUAAAGAGCAAAGGGGUUAAGGUGGGUGGGCGCCAAAGGGAAAGGGGAGGGUUAUCUAUGUCACUCACAAGAUUGUCUGGUGUUUCAGUGUGUGUGUGUGGCACUGCCAUGCAUGGCAGCAUGGAUGCAUGAUUAUAGCCAGUAGCCACAAGCAAAAAUGAGUGUGGGCAUUGAGCAAGAUCUGGAGAUUUAUCAUAAGAGAUAAAAUGUAAAAGCAGAGUUCAAAUACAUACGGCUUAUGUAUGAAGAUUGGAGUGUAAAGUGCACCCUUUGAUCUUACCAUACGUGCUAACCUCUUAACAAGCACUAAUAGAGAUGAUGGAAGUACUAGGGGCGGAUGAAAAUAUCACGGUGCCACGUGCAUGUAAGAUCAGAAUAUCAUGACAUGACAGAUACAAACCCAGUUAAGCAAGCAAGAGACAAAAGAUAAGGACCAGUACCAAUAUUCAUUCAGGGGAAAAGAAAAGAAAAUGGACUGCCAAUAAAACUUACAGCGUCCUUGCUCAUAUACCGUGGAGAGAUAUGUAUUACCAAUUUACUGAUAAAAAAACUAAUUCAUGUAAGGACUAAACAAAAACAGUUUUGCCAAGUCUCAGUCGACUUAGACUUCGUUAUGUCUCAGUCCAUACUAUAUUACUUUGAUCUUGCAUUAGAUUAGUACAAAAAAUUCUUUCAGCUUUUCUUUCUUCUUUCUAUAUGCUAUAUUACUUGACUGAGACUUGGUUAAGUCUUAGUCGACAAAAUGCUCCUAAAACCUUUGGGAAUAGUCAUCCGAGGGAAACUCAUUUCUAAUGGAUCCACCUAGCGGAGUGGCUAUACAUCCCCAUGCAUUUGAGUUAUAUUUGUGUCUUCUUUUUUAUCGUUAUUUGACAGCAUGUGUAUGUUGUGGACAUUUGACGGCACAGUUUCUUUGGUGCUUUGUCCGUGAUGCUCUGGGGCCCGACUGAGAGGCCCCGGACAUGGUCUGAUUAUUUGAAACUCGGGCCAACCAGAACGGGAGGAGGAGACAACCAUGGGCCAUGUCGACCACGCGCAACAAGAUGAUUAUGGAGCGGGUCUUUCGUAGGCUGGCCCCUGACUCCACCUUCAAAUUGCUCGCAUUAUUGCACCACUGGCACCCGUAAUCUAGACAGAGGGGUCGCGACCGGCUUGGCUGCAUGAUGGACGAGAUGACUGAUAAUGCGCGCUAACUUAUUCGUCACAGAGCUCCUGAGCUCCAGGACACUUGGUGGUCAUUUCCCUUUUUUUCUUUUAAGUUUUUUGAGCGUGUUUGUGCUGAUGCCCCAGCAGACUCUGUUAUUUCCUUUGCUGCAAUUGAACUUGUUGUAUAGAUGUGGUGGUUGCUUUAUUUAUAAAGGGGAGCGAAAACCUGUUUCGAGAGUGUUGUGAACACCACCAACGGUCUCUCUCUCUCUCUCUCUCUCUCUCUCUCUCUCACACACACACACACACACACACACACACACACACACACACACAUGCACGCACGCGCGCGCACACACACACAAUUGCGUCGCCAAACCUUUAGUAACGUGCAAAAUAAUCUUUGAAACAAGUUCAUUUGUGUUACAAAAAAGUCAAAAUAUUUUUCUCUGGGCAGUUUUCAAUUUUUUGUUCAUGAAUGUUCCAUUACUUCAGUGACAUUUUCAGGAAAGUAAUAUCUUUUAUUCAUGCGUAAUUAACAUGUUAUUACGUCACUAAGGAUCUUACUCUAGUUAUUACGUAUAAUUAGCACGAAAAUCAAAGUCAAAUAACAUGAAUUUUAAAAGGAGGUAUAAUUAGCAUGUUAUUAUGUCAAAUCAAAGUCAAACAACAUGAACAUGUAUAAUUAGCAUGUUAUUAUGUUACUAAAGAUCUUACUCUUGUUUUCUGUGCUAUCAAUUUGAAAGGAGGUCCAUUUUAAUUUGUAAAAUGCAUGUAUUUUUGGCUCUUAAACUAAGACAAAAGGAACAAAAAAUCCAAUUUUUCUUUGCUACAUUCCUUUGAACCAAAGGCUUGAAUAAUACAACUGUAGAAAUUUUUUUUAUUCCUAUGUAAUUUCUUCACUUUUCCUUUGAAACACACGAGGACUUGAUUGACUAGUAUCCCUAGAUAUGCCAUUGGAAGAGUUUGCGCGUACUACAUGAUCAGUCGUCCAAAUAGCAUCCAAUUAUAGCCACCCACAAGUGUUGCAAAUAUUUUUGGUCAUUGGUUGGACGAUAUUCCAAAUAGGGUGAGUACGUUAUUACGGAUGGAAGUGUAUGGCUUAGUAUGAUCGCUUUGGCUAUGUAGAAAUGGUUUGAAUUCUAAUAGCAUAGACUCUUCUCGUUUGCAGGGUUUUUUCAGUUGUACGCACUCGCUUCUUAUGUGGUCUACGCUACACCAAACGGAGUAACAACCGCUAUUCAAGGCGGUGAAUAUGCGAUUGGACUGGGUGGCCAAGGAGGUUAUUACCCAACGUGGGAGGCAGUAUAAUCUCCGGAUCGGUCUACCACCUUCUUCGAAAUAGAUACAUGCCGGUCCUAUAACAUGAUAUGUCGGGUUUUUUUGUCAGACAUUCAAUGUUUAGUUGUGUGCAUGUUAGUUAUGCAGAGGUUGGGGUUACUCAUCAUGCUUUAUGUCCGUUUGAUACUAUAUUGUAAGUUAAAAAAAACAUCCUUUAUCAAACAAAACAAGUAAAAAUGUUUCUAUAUGCGCAAUUUGAGAUUUCUUGCGCUCAUUGGGUCACUGUCAUCAACAUAUGUCAUUUGCGUAUUAAUGCCUUCAUCUACAAAGUAGGCUCUUGCCAAACCAAGUCACAUGUAAGACAAACGAGCAAGAAGGCUCGAUUGGGAACAAUUUAUUUGCUGAACUGAAAGCAACUGAUACAACCCCUUGGAACUUGGAAGGACAAUGGUGUUGCAAUAAUGGAAGACAUUACGAGAGACACCGCGCGCUUUAGGGCUUCACAUUAUUUUAGCCAACACGACAACGAACGAACGAACGUAGACGAGAGGGACCUUGACGACGGAGACAUCACGGUAUGAAGCCCGAUGGAAGAUUCGUGCAUGCUGCCGAUCGAUGACAGACGACGAUGGAGAUCGCCGAUCACUCGAAGGUGCCGGGGUGCUCGUGCUGCAUCUUGACCACCUGCUGCCACGAGGGGCGGCUGGAGAUGGCGUCGUACCACCUGGCCACGUGCCUCUUGGAGGUGAAGAGCUUCCGGCCCCGCUGGGAGCCGGCGAUGUAGUGGGAGGCCGGCAGGUGGGAGAGGUCGGCGAGCGUGAACUCGUCGCCGGCGAGGUACUGGUUCUUGGCGAGGAUCUCGUCGUAGACUCCGAUCAUCUGCUGCAGCUUCCGCUCGUUCUCCGCGAUGCGGGCCUCGUCGGGGAGCAUGUUGAGCUGCGGCGCGAAGGCCAGGUGGAAGACGAGCUCCGAGCUCGGCGCGUCGAAGCUCUGGGCCUCCGCCUGCAGCCACUGCUCGAUGGACGCGCGCUCCAGCGACCCCGUGCCGUAGAUCCCGCGGUUGCCGUCCUCCGGGAACUGGGUGCACAGGUACCGGCAUAUCGCCCUUGAAUCUGCAUGCCACCAGAAGAGAAGAGAAGAAUCACAUCGUGUAAUUAAAUUCUCCGAUCAAGUGGCCGGUGUGCUGUUUUGUUCAGAAUUGAACUCCGCUUCUUACCAACAAGGGUCUUGUCACCAUGCUUGAAGGUCACCUGCCCGGUAGGAUCCUGCAGACCGAGACGACAGGCGAUCCACAACGGUGAGAGUGAGAUUAUACAUGAUCAAACCCAAAUUAUCUGAUUAAGAAAGUGCACCAUGGAUUGCAAUGGCAGGGAUGAUAUAUACGCACCCUUAGCUUGAUGAACUCGGGCAGCUUGUGCUCCCUCUUGAAGGUGUCGAUGCGGACGAGCUCGAACUCAAGGUUCUUCUCGAAGAGGCAGGUGAGCACCCGGGCCACGUCAGUCGACGCCGGCUGCCCGAACACCUGGAGACCGGCCGCCAUUGCUUCAAAUUCUUGGUGAGAGACCGAUCACUGGCUUCGAUCGAUGUGCAGGCCGGUGAUCAGUGAGCGAGUGAGUGAAGCGACUGACUGCUGAUGGAGACCAUAGGAUCCAUGGCCAGGCGUUUUAUAGCUAGCGAUGAGCCAGCAAAUAUGCUUGCCUUGCCGCAGAGGAUUACCAGCGAAAGCGAAAGCUGCCAAAGGUAAAGAGGAGAGCCCAUACGGCCGGCAGGAUUCUUUUGGAGGUGCCAUGCAUCUUGUUUCCAGCAAGGAACAAACUUUUACGGUACCCUGCAAUGAAUAUGAGCCGUCUAUUCUUGAAAUCAGUGAGUGGUGGUCGGUGUAUACUGCUCAACUGGGCGACUACCAUCGCAAGCGGUACCGGUGACACCGGACGCUCCGCGUGCAGCAGUAUACUUGUUGUGAGGGUAAUUUAAGGAGAGAAAAACUAGCCGGCUCUCGACCAAUCGAACCUGUUAGUUCGCUUCCCUUUUCAUGCUGCCGCAUGCAUGCGCCCGCAGGCUAGGAUUCAGGCGGCCGUGUCAGGAACCUGACCUUGGGCAGUGCUAAUGACUUUAGUCUCACCUCGAAUAUAAGAGGAGGCUAGGAGCUCCUUACAAGGAAGAGUGCCACACUUUCUUCAGGCCGGUCUUUUGGGAUGUAGUGGACUCUCUGCUUGUAGUGGAGUGUCCGAUGCACCGGAAAUGUCCGAACAUAUGCCGACGGACUGGGAGCUGGGCCUAGACUGCUAACAAGUGGUAUCAGAGCUGGGCCCCACGCCACCCUAGGGGCUUCCCUAGGGGGUGGGGUGUCAGGAACCUGACCUUGGGCGGUACUAGUGACUUUAGUCCCACCUCAGAUAUGGGAGGAGGCUAGGAGCUCCUUACAAAGGAGAGUGCCACACUCCCUUCAGGCCGGUCUUUUGGGAUGUAGUAGGCUCUCCGCUUGUAGUGGAGUGUCCGAUGCGCACCGGAAACGUCCGAACAUAUGCCGACGGACCGGAAGCUGGGCCUAGGCUGCUAACAAGCCGCCUCGUCGCCUUCACACUGUCGGCCGUGCUUGUGGAAUGAAGCUGCUACGCCACCGGCCAUGCUCGUCGACCGUGGCACGCGCUCACGGCCUAACUGGUCUUGAUGAGGAUUCCUCUUCCUCCCUUCCUCUGUGCCGGCGACCACCGUGGCAUCUCGUCUCGUCUUCGUCCACAUCCCCUUCCUUGGCCAUGCCGGUGGACCAAGCGCUCAGAGGUACGGUCCAGGUCAUCCGCUCGCGGAGGGUGGUGGUGGGAGCGCGCUGGGAAAGAGGAACGCGGUGGCGACUUUGACGACUGUGGAGCGGGCUAUAGUUGGCUACGUCGAGUUGGCGGCUGCGGCGGGUAGAGCAACGGCCGAUGGCUCAACCACGGCGAACAGAACGGCCGAUUGCUGAUGGGCUAGCGUUAUCUUAGAAAACGGAAAAAUGACUAAAACUAUCCUCAUGGAAUCAACGGUAGAUGAUUGUAUACUGCUGCCUUCCAACUUUAACAGUAUAGGGUACCAUAAAAAAGCUCGAACAAAAACGCCCAUCUCAUUGAUGUUGUUCUCCAGGGUGACCAUCGAUCCUUUAGCGGAUGUGGCACGUAACGAGCACGAAAGAUGCUCAUGAGAUCGGGUUAGAUUAGAUGUAUGGCAAAGCGUUGGGGCUAUAAGGUAGAUCCUCGUACGGGCAGAGUGCCUGACAAGCAAGGGAUCAAGGCCUGCAAAUUAAUUGGCCGCGGAAGAUGCGUCGCCGGACAAACCAAGGCUUUUUGGUCGAUCCAACCAGGCAGUGUGUUCAGGAAGGUGCGUGCUUUGGGUUAAAAAUUACACUGAUUCGAUCUGCCGUGGCGCGCGUGCCUUUGCUUGUGAGGUGGUUGCGACACAGAUUCAGGGGGAUCUGCAUGCUUAACAGUAGAUUUAUAUCCCAACCAAGAAUACUUACUAGCGACAAUUAAUAUCGGACGGAGGGGGUACAUACCAGCAGGGACCAAUCGAGGGGGAGGGGGGGCUGACAAUUUCGUUGUCCUUUGUAGCGAUUAGACAAAAUGGGGAGAAAAGAGAUUCUAUCAUGCACGUACGGUAUCUAUCAUGCAUGUAUCAGCCACUUGUGCAUGCAUGUAUUUACUCUUGUGCUUAGUUCAUCUGAAUUUGUGGCCCCCAGUUUCAGUAGUUAAUGUCAUGUCAAUCAGUCCCCUUUUCGCAUGUGCGCAUAAUUUUUCUCUCUCCCCAAAGAAACGAUGCACUUGCUGGCAAAAUUUCGUGUUUUGACCCUUUUUGCAUACAAAUUCAGGAUCUGACCCCGAUUCGGAAAAAAUUCGGGAUUUGACCCUUUCGCUACCGCCAGGGGAGCUGGCGGUAGGGUUAUACAGCCUACCGCCAGGGACCCUGGCGGUAGAGUGCGACGGAGGGGGACGACCGCCGUCUUCGCGUGCUGACGUGGACUAGCACCCUACCGCCACCCUACAGCCAGCUCCCCUGGCGGUAGGAUGUGCCAGGGUUUUUGCCUCAAAACCUUCUGUAACGAAAAAUGCGAGCGCCCUGGCGGUAGGGUCACCCUACCGCCAUAGGGGCUGGCGGUAGGCUGUCUGAUCCUACCACCAGGGUCCUUGGCGGUAGGGUCUUGCCUGUAUCCAAAUUCAAUUUCUUUCUUCUUUUCAAAAACAACAGAUCUCAAACAAUGAUAUAGAGUCAAAAACAGCAACGAUAUAGAGUCAAAAUAACAGAUCUCAAACAACAAUUAAAUUUGGGCAUCACAUACGGAUUUCCACAUAAACUUGUGCAUAAUGAGCAAACGAAGUUCAACUACUUAGUUCCACAUAGCAAACGGAGUUUCACAAAUAUCAAACACAUAGUUUCACAAACACUAGGCUUUUCAACUACAGCCAAGUAGCGAAUAUCAGAAUUUAAUUCAGCCUUCCCUCUUGUUCUUGGAGGCACGGUCAUCGUUCCUCUUUGAACGAGUCUCUUCAGUGUUCUUCUUGGACCGUCGAAGAACCGGUCUCUGGAAAGGGUCCGGACUCAGCAAAUCCUUCUUCUUCGGAUUCCUCUUCUGCAGCUGAGAUGGUUGAGAUGAUUGAGUUGUUGGAGGUCCGUAAUCUUCAUCGUACUCCUCCUCACCAUCGCUCUCAUUCUCCUCUUCCUCAUGAUAGGCCUCCUCGUCCUCUCCUUCAUUUGUGGCCUCCUCCUCCUCCUCCUCCUCAACCAACCUAGACAACAAGGGACCAUGGCUCGAUGAGGCGAUGUGACCCUGUGUGGCUCCGGGAUGAUAAGCUUCAACCGACCCAGUUCCAGCACACCCAAGCAGGCCUACCAGCUUGCGACAACGCUUUACGAACUUCUGCACUCACAAAGAAACAAGGGCAUAAUAAGUAUCGGGUUUAUGAUUGCAAGUGAACAAGAUGCAUAUGUUCCGAGGAGGCUGAAAUUGUACCUUCAUCGUCCCCCUCAUUUUGUUCUCAGAUUGUACGCUCCCGGGGGCAUCACCUAGUGCAUCUGAGGCUUCAAAGAUGCAUCUGUUCAGCUCACCAGACUGCAAUGGCAUAAGUCAGUCACGAUGACGAAUACAAUAAUUUAAAUACAACCGUCGGUUCAAACUUACCAUUGUGUUGAUGAGGGGUGCAAACUCCAUAAAUCUACUUUGCAUGUCUCUGAUGCCGGUCUACUAGGCCUCUUCCUCGGGGUCAUCCCUCUCCAGCUCCGCGAUGUCUUCCGCCGUCCACCGAGGCCUGAGACGAAGAUGAUGCUUCUGGCCAUCAUCGUACCACUUCAUGUGUCGCUCCAGGUAAGCAUCCCAGUCAGUCACUUUCCUCUCCCUGUCUUUUUGGUACCUCCGUCGAUUCCACUCCAUCACAUGAGUUUUAUGUUCCUCUCCCUAGUCUGUGAUCAACUGAUUCUUCUGCCGACUCAUCCUGCAAGGCAUUAGCAACAAGAAACAUCCUAAUAAAGUCGCCAGCAAUGAAAUCAUGGGCACAAAGAACAAAGCGCUCACAUGUGGAGCGCAUGGCCGCCAGUAUCGGUGGGCGGGCCCGGUGGGGUAUGCUGAUACACCCCCAACUGCGUGGCCACGCGGUGUGGCAAGUGCCACUCGACGCCGUACACAUAGAUCAUGGGCACGAUGCACUGCCAGAGACCAUGGGCCUCAUCGCACAUCAUGUUCAGAUCAAAGUCCCACUCUCGGUCAUGAUACGGCCACCAAUUUACCUAUUACAUAUACGUUGGUAAGUUCCCACUCUCGGUCCAAAGUGGAAUCAAAGAGAAAGGUGUUGGGCGAGUUCAUAUACCUGCCAAUGCGUCAAAGCGUCCAACUCGUUGGUGUAGGUCUUGUACGAAGUCUUGUUUAGGCCCGUGUAGAGUUUGACAACGUCCCACUCGUAAGCUAGGUGGGGUUUCGAGCAGCGUCGCUGUCCUCGCUAUAUGCACCCCAUGGGCGUCUUGGCAGCUUCUCCGGAUGCCCCACCGGUAGCCUCUCCCACAUCCAAAUGGAGAGGCCCCAGACAAAGCCACCCAUAUUGGACUUGUCUCCCGUCCUCUGGGUUGUGUCGUCAAGUUGCAAAACAUCAAUUGAGGAUCAGAUAUAACAAAAUGGCAUGGACAUACUUUCGUAGGUAGGCAAUUAGAUACUCUCUUACCGAACGAUAUAGGUAGGCGAGAGAUGCGGUACCCCAACUGUACCCUGCAUCCCAGUCGGCUAGGAAGAAUAGAUACGACCAGUUGGCAGAGUUCCCGGAUCCGUCUGGAAACACGACCUCCGUGAGAAGAUACCACAGGUAGGCCCUCGCGUACCACUCCACAGUCGCCUCAUCGGCGUCUUGGGGGCAUGUCUUCUGGUGCUCCGAGAUCCAGGGCAAGGGCACACCGGAUGUACGGUUACCCUUAGCCUUGGGGCAGUCGCCGAUGAGGGUGGUAACCCUCUGCUUCCAGUUGGUCCUCUCCACUCGCCCGAUCAGUGCAUGACCCUCAAUCGGCAUGGCAGUAAUCAUCGACCGAUCCUCGAGGGUCACCGUCAUCUCCCCGCAUGGGAGAUGGAAAGAAUGGGUCUCCGGUUGCGACCAUUCAAUCCGAGUUGUCAGAGCUGCAUGGACAAACGUCGGCGGCUGACGCUUGAACUACAACACGAAACCCAACAGUCGGGCUCUCUUCAAGAAUGGCGCGUAGCGCUCGUCUAGUCCAUAUGCCCAUGAACCCCGUGCCCCCUCAUGCGCAGUGGCUGGAGCAUCUGUCAAAAAGUGAACACCAAAAGUUAGGAAAUUAUUUUCAUCAAUCUGAAAACUUUUAUCAAUAUUUCAUUCAUAUUACUUACCUCUCCGUUCUCUAUGAAACGGGCACGAUGACCCUUGUCGAAUGCGUAGUCAAGCAUGGAGUACCGUGGGCCGAUGUUAUCCGCAAGAGGUGACCACCUUAAUAAAAUUUCAUAAUCAAAAACAUCAUAAGCAUAAGCAUACAUAAACAUGCAUCAUAUCAAAAUCAUAUCACCAUGCAUCAUAUCAAAAAAAAUUCCUCCAACAACAUCUACUACACAUGAUGGAUCAAAUCAUAUCAACAUGCAUCAUAUCAAAAAAAUCCUCCAACAUGCAUCAUAUCCUCCCAAAACAACAUCAUAUCCUCCAACAUGCAUCAUAUCACCAAAAUAAAUCCUCCAACAUUCAUCUUCAAUGUAUUAUCUCCAAACAACAUCUUCGUAUCAUCAUAUCAACAUGCAUUAUAAAACUACAAUCAAGUCCUCCCACAUGCAUUACAUCAUAUAUUUUUUAACAAACAAUUAUGAACUAGGGUUCAUCUUCACACUAACAUAUGAACUAUUGAUUAAAGUUCAUAUUCAAUACCACUACUUACUAAAGAACUAAGAACUAGAACUAUAAUCAAGCUAAAACAAUCUUAGGUCAAAAAAAUCCAAUCUAUGUUAAAAAAUAUGAGGGAUUUCAAGCAAAUAAUGCGUCGAAUCGGAAGCAAGUUUGCAAAAACUAAUUGGAGGGAUAGGAGGAUCUUACGUUUCUCUCUUCGGGGCCAUCACGAUCCGCAAAAACCGUAAAGAAUCGGUGAAGAUCCGAGGGAAGAGUGGAGGAGAUGAGAGAGGGAUAAAGGGGCAACUUGGGGGAGAAAGAAAGGAGAAACUGCCGACGGGUGGUGGGGGGUGGGGGAGAUGGGCUGGGGCGCGGGGUCUCGGGGCGAAAUAACUGCCCGGACCCUACCGCCAGGGGUCCUGGCGGUAGGGUUAGAUAGGCAACCGCCAGGUGCCCUGGCGGUAGGGUGAGACGGAGGGGGACGGCGGCCGUCUCCACAUGCUGACGUGGAUUAGUACCCUACCACCAGGGGCCCUGACAGUAGGCUGUCUAACCCUACCGCCAGAGCCCCUGGCGGUAAGAAAAAAGGUCAAAUCUCGAAAAUUUUCCCAACCGGGGCCAGAUCCUGAAUUUAUACCACAAAAGGGUCAGAACACGAAAUUUAGCCGCACUUGGUAUUUCACUCAUCCAUGCUUUUUUGCACUCCAAAGUUUGGACCCAGUUUAUUUUUUGAAUUGGUGUAAUAUGUUUACAAACCAUAUGUGCUUAUUUCAUUUUUGUAGACAAUGGUCAAAGUGUAUUUGAGCCGUAAGAACAAAUAAGUUUUCAAAACAUAUUCAAUAUUGAUCAUGUUUUAAAUAUCUCGUCAAAAUAGAGUUGCCAUGAGGUGUUUAAAUCGUUUACACAGGAAGAGAUAAUAUAUUUCCUGAUAGAGUUGCCAUGAUGGGCACAACCACGCACAGGGACAUUAAGCACUGACAGUCUCACACACACACACAACCAGAGCAUGUGACAGAAGGGGUGGUGAUUAGUGGUUUUGCAUGCACAUUGAUUUCUUUUGGGCGCGAAUCUCGGUAACACAAUGAGUGACAGAUCUAGGCACGGUAUAUACCGUGCAUGGUAGUUUUGUCGCUCCCAAAAAUGCGUGGUUAUUUUGUUUCCUGACUCAUUUUGCCCGGUAGCUCCUAUUUCGCGCGUUGCGUUGCCUCUAGUUUGAUUGUCUGGGUUUUUUCUAGGCAAAAGUAAGGGCUUGCAUUGCUCCCUUUUUUUUUCUUUAUCUUUUAUUUCUAUAGAUCAGACAUUUCAUUUUAUGGAAGAAAAACAAAAGGAUUUAGUUCAUAUUCACGAAGCCCUAGAUUUUUAGGCUGAGCUAGAUUUGAACCAGUGUAGAUAUUGCUAACUGCUAUUCCUCGACUCUUGGGAAGGUAAGAUCAUCAAUCAAUACUAGGCUGCUCUGUGCAGUUAAAGAUGGGAGACCCCCCUGACAAUUUAGUUGUCCCUCAUAGCGAUUAGACAUAUGCAUGCUUAUUUUGUUUUCCUGGCUCGUUUUGCCCGGGAGCUUCUAUUCCGUGUGUUACACGCUGUGUUGUCUCAAGUUUGAUUGUCUGGGUUUUUUCAGGCAAAGGAAAGGGCUUGCAUUGAUCCUAUUUUCUCUCUAUCUUUUAUUUCUAUAAAUCAUACAUUUCAUUUUAUGAAAGAAAAACAAAAGGAUUUAGUUCAUAUUCACAAAGCCCUAGAUUUUAGGGUCAAGCUGGAUUUGAACCAGUGUAGACAUUGCCAUCUGGUGUUCCUCAAAUCUCAGAAGGUAAGAUCUUCAAUCAAUAAAUAGGUUGCUGCUCUGUGCAGUUAAAGAUGGGAGACCCCCUCUGACAAUUUGUUGUCCCUUGUAGCGAUUAGACAGAUGUGUGGUUAUUUUGUUUUCCUGACUCGUUUUGCCCGGGAGCUCCUAUUACACGCAUUGCGUUGUCUCUAGUUUGAUGUUCUGGGUUUUUUCUAGGAAAAAUAAAGGGCUUGCAUUGCUCCCCUUUUUUCUUUAUCUUUUAUUUCUAUAGAUCAGACAUUUCAUUUUAGGGAUUUUUACAUCUGUGCCCCUGGUUCCUUAGCUCUACUCAUUCAUCCCCGCGCUCUUAACUUUUGCUCAAUUUUCCCCACUCCCUUGCCAGAAACCCUCAUAACUGGGCAUAAUGGAUGUUGCGGGCGGGUCAAAGGCUUGACCGUUAACUCUGACUAGUGGGGCCACGCUGGACUAUGUCGUUCGUUUGACCUGACAAGUGGGGCCGCAUUGGGUGGUGUCACUGUUUGACCGUUGGGCCGUGGUUUCGUUGGGCUGUCCCUUGCAUUAAAUGUCUGCGCGCGCUGCCAGGACAGAAGCCUGCUAUGCAUGCACCCAACAAAGCCUGCCUACAUGCGUCGAUCGAGCCUGCAGGCGCCGAUGCCACGACCCCACGAUGCGCCGACCGAGCCUGCAUGCGCCGAUGCGUCCGCCAUGAGCACUGAUGGAGCAGCUUUCUUGCACGCCAGCCGCCACGGAUGCAGCGACAGUCACUGCCGCUGGUUCCUCUCUUCUAGCUAGGUGGCUACAUAUUUGUGGCUUGUGUAAAAAAGAGCCACUCCCUUGCUUAGUUGUACUCAUUCAUCCCUACUAACAAAGCUUGCUUUCAUGCACUAGGUGGUUACUAACAAGGGAACCCUACUAACAAGCCGAUCUCUCUAAGAAAAUAAUCAACAAAUAUGUAGUCCCAAUAUAGGGCCAACAAGCCCAUAGCACGAUCACAUAUCUCAAACUAGGAAGAACUUAAUAAUAGAAUAGAUAAAAAAACUUAAUAAUAGAAAUUAAGAAAAGGGCCAACAAGCCCAUAGCAACUCCAACAUAGUUCAAUUACAACUUAACAUAACAUAUACUAAAAAAAGAUAGAGGGUUUAGAACCCUAGCCAUCGCCUUCUCCACCUCGCUCCUCCUCCGGGCGCCCUUUUCACUGCUCCUCCGGGGCGUUGUUGAUGGGGUACGGAAGAGUGUGCAUGCGCGUCGCGGUGGGGAAGAUGUUGUUGUACUCCGUGAACCUGUUGUGGGUGGUGAAAGCGAUGAACUCGGAGCCACACCAAAACACCCGGCCGAGGAUGUAGAAGGCGUUGAAUGUGUUGGUGAAGUGGGCAAGGAGAGCAACCACCACCCGGUUUUUGAUGACCUCCUCGACGCGGAACAUCGUUGGAGAUCCCCUCGGGAGGUGGUGGUAGCCAGACGCGAGGAAGAACUCGGUGAAGUUCCUUGCGGUCCUCAGUCUUGAUAUCGCCCACACACGUAGUGUGCGAUCAACGUACACGCCGGUAGGGUAGAGCCUCUCUGGCACGGUGGGUGGGAAGCGGUAGGUUGGUCCGGUGUACUGCAUGGCUGAGGGAUGUGUAGAAGACGGAGAAAGCGUCGAAGAGUAAGAAUGGAGAUGGAUGAGGGAUGGCAGAGGCAGAGGGUGGCUUAAAUAGCCGUAGUGCUACAUGUUAUUUCGCCGUCUGAAUAGUUUGUGGCUAUUUUGUAUGAUUAAAAUAAAUUGCACGUGUGGCCAGUUGGCAGAAGAAAAAGAAGCUAAUUGCACGCGUGUGAAUCCGUGGUCAUAUAUAUUAUAUGAACAAAAAGAGACAAUUUUGAAUAGCUUGUGGCUAUUUUGCAUGAUAAAAAUAAAUUUGGCCCUUAAAUAUUGGUCAUUUGCUACGCAAUGUCAAUUCAUUUCAAACGAUGCAAAAAAUACAGAGCCAGCAUGAUCACAAAAAACAGAGCAAACGACGCAAAAAUACAGAGCCAGCACGUUCACAAAAAAUAGAGCAAACGAUGAAAAAAACGACGCAAUUCGACAGCCCAACCAGGGCUUGGUUUCCUUUUGGGCCCAAUAACAAUGUUUUUUUCCACGGAGUCAGUGGUGGGCGAGCAGCCGAGCACAACCAAUAGGAUCGCCUCUCGCGGAUCGCCCAACGAUCCAACAAUGCGGAGCCGUCCUUGUGAUCCAACGGCGCAGAGCCUGCACAUAGCCAGCCCACCUAGUUCCUUCUAGAAGGCCAGAUCUGAGGGUUGUCGCUUGGAGCGUGGGUAUGAUCGGACGGCUGAUGUUGGGAGCUAGGGUUAGGCGAAACCACGCGGAGUUUAGAGGGGUUUUGAGCUGGUCAACGGGGUUUCGAUGGCUUUGACUGAGCAUAACUAAUUUUAAAAAAUCGAAAAAAUAUGAAACUUUCGCCGUUCGUCGUUUUAUAAGACAAACUAACGAGGAAAAAUACUAAACUUGGUCUAUGGUCAUUUUCAUGAAAAAAACCCUAGCUGGCACGAUCGAGGUCAAAUGACCAACAUUAAUUUAAAAAAUCAAAAAAAAUAUAAAACCUGCGCACAAUGUUGUCUUAUGUGACAUGUUACCAACCAAAAAUCAUAAACUUAGUAUAUGGUUAUUUUCAUGAGAAAACCUUCACACAUAUGAGCUAUCAUGUACAUGAUUUCAUAGAGUUCAAGGAGAGGAGGUGGUGUUACUUUCUGUUUUUGAAAAAAUUAAAAAAAUCAAAAAAAUCACUAAAGCUUUAUUUUAAAGUGAAUAAGAAGGAUCUGAAAUUAGUUUUCCAUUUUCAUAUUUCAAAACGUGUUUUUAAUAGUUUUUAUAUUAUGUUUUCAAAAGAAAAUGUAAAAAUAUGAAGAUUAAUUUAAAAAUAGUGAGACUUCGAAUCUACACCAUGGAAAGUGAAUAUGUGUUAGUAAAAAACAUUUGGCUCAUUUAGAGUAGGUUCAAAAAAAUGAUUACAAAUGGGCUGUUUACCCUAGCCUGGGAGCUCAUUUGAAGCACAUUUUCUCAAAUUCAAAUUUAUUUGACCUCCUCUAAAUCACUUCAAAUUUUGCACACAUGAUCUCCUACACAAACAUAGAUAGUUUGCCGAGGUUUUACUUGUUUUUGCAUUUUCUUGAAUUUGUACUAUCCAGGUUUGCCAAGGUUUACAUGAUCUCAUUGGAAGCAUGCAUUUGAUUUCCUACACAACAUGUGUGAUCAUUGCAGCACCUAAGAUCAUAGUUCACAACAUCUAAACAUAACUAACCAUAGAUUCAAGACAGACAAAUAUACCACAUCCAAAUUUAAGGACAGACAAAUAUAGAUAGCAUAACCAGAUUACUAGCAUAACCAAAUUCAGUUCAACAGACCAUAACCAACGACAUUCAGUUCAACGCACCAAAAGUAACCCAACAAUUCAACAAACCAAACUAAAACUAACACAACAUCACAUCAUCGAUCACAUCACGCCGGAGUCAGGGCCUUCGCGAGGGCGGCAUGCUCCCCCCUGAUCAUGUAGUCCUCCCCGCGAAUCGCCACAUCCUCAGCAUGAUACAGAAGGUGAUCGAAGCGGCCAUCCCUUGGCUUUGGCUUGGUGGUGUAGUAGGGGCAGUGCCACUUCUUGAACUUGCAGUUGUAGAAGGAACCAACUCCCUUGUCCUUGAUCUUCUCCACCUCCUUGGCUGUGAAGGACGCGAUGUUGCCCUUGUACACAUCAUCUCCAGAAUCAUACUGCACACAUGAAUGAAUUGCAUUAGAUUCAUAUACACCAUGUCAAAGGAACUAAAUGAACAAGGGAUAUGCUUACCUCAUAUUCAGAAUCGUCACUGAACUCCCCCUCGUACGGGUCGUAGUCGGCCAGCUUCCUCUUCCUCCCCCCCAACCAUCAUCCUCCUGAAUAUACAAUUACAUCCAUCACUAGUAGCCAAUUGAAAAUUGGUAUGCACACAUGACACAUUGAUCAUAGGGCUAAUAUACUCCCAAUAUCAGAAAUGUUUUAGAAGUGGGCUUUUUUAUUUCUCUGCCCCUUAGCUCUAUGCAUUCAAAAACCACAUCCAUCACUAGUAUAUCAAUGUAUUAGAUUUGUACACACAUUGAUCAAAAACCCCAAUAUGACAUUCAAAUAACACAUUGAUCAUUGGUCCUGCACACACAUUGAAGAACAGAGCUAAUAUAUCAAAUUUAUAUACUAAUGAAUCAAAAACCCCAAUAUGACAAAUUUACACACAUUGAAUCAAAAUUAUAACUUCUUAAUCAAUGGAUUCCAUUUGGUCAUAUGACAUUCAAAACCCCAAUCUGAGUAGCAUUCAAAAACAUCUAGCAUUAAAAACCCCAAUCUGUGAGCACUAAAAACAAAUCUAAUAAGCUUCAUAGCAUUAAAAAAACACUUUGUUCACAACAUCUAGCAUUUUUGCAACGAACUUAUCCAAAUAUAAAAACAAAUCUAAAAACCCCAAUCAUUGCAGCACCUAAAAUCAUAGUUCACAACAUAGCAUUUUUGCAACGAAUUUAUCCAACAAACUCUAGUCCAAAAACCCCCGUCCCCCCAACCCAUUCCCUAUAGAAAACCCCCGCCCAUCCGUCAAACCAACUACUCUAACCAUCUGAACUACCGUAUGAAUCAAGAUCUAACCAAUGCAACUAGGGAGCAAUUAACUCUACAAGCUAAGCAAGUGCAAAUACCUGCUCCUCCACGGUAGGCGGUGCAACGGGGGCAUCUGGAUUGACUGCGCCGCUCGACGCCUUCACCUUCUGCAGUGAUGAGGCGGAGCCCGCCACAUCCUCAGCGGUUGCGAGUUUCCCCUUACCGUCGUGGACUCCGCCGACAUCCGCGGUCGCCGCGCCUGGACCCUGCUGCUCCACCACAUCUCCGGCCGCUGCGCCGGCGUCGCCACGUGUGUUGGCCAUCUUACAGAUGGAGACGAUGAAGGUGAGGAAGAUGAUGCGGUGGGGGAGAGUGAGCGGUGGAGGCAGUGGAGGAGAGCGAGACGACGCCAGUGGGGGAGAGGAAGACGAUGCGGCAGGGAGGGGAUUUGGGGGUAAAUGGUAGGAGCCAUGGAGGUGGUUGCCCUCUUUAUAUGAUGUGACGUUUCGGGCAUGUCCAUGGACACGUGCUACCCCACGACCGCAGUCUCGCAUGCGCCCACGUAUACGCGGCCCCACUCGUCAGCUAAUGGUCAAAGGCAUUGACCCGACGGCAACAUCCGUUAUAACCUGUUCUGAGGGUUUCGGGCAAGGGAAUGGGGAAAAGUGAGCAAAAAUUAAAAGAAUGGGGAUGAACUAGUAGAGCUAAGGAACCAGGGGCACAGAAAUAAAAAUCCCUUCAUUUUAUGGAAGAAAAACAAAAGGAUUUAGUUCAUAUUCACGAUGCCCUAGAAUUUUGGGCCGAGCUGGAUUUGAACCAGUGCAGACAUUAUCAUCUGUUGUUCCUUGAUAUGUCCAUUUUGCAUCACCUACUGUUAUUUAUGAUGUUUUUAUGCAUAUUAAUGAUUCUUGGAGUAAUUCUAAUGUAUUUUCUCUCAUAAUAUGCAAGGUUCACAUAAAGAGGGAGAAUUCCGAUAGCUGGAAAUCUAAACCUGAAAAAGCUACGUCAGGCCACCUAUUCUGCACAACUCCAAAUGAGCUGAAACAUCAUGAGGAAUUUUUAUGGAAUAAAUAGGAAAUAAUGGAGAAAACAACUACCGAAGGGGAGCCACAUGAUGAGCACGAGACACGAGGGCGCGCCAGGCCCCCCGGGCGCGCCCUGGUGGGUUGUGCUCAGCCAAACCUACCUCCGGUGCCCAUCUUUUGGUAUAUAAGUCAUUUUUACCUAUAACAAAUAAGGAGAAGACUUUCGGGACGGAGCGCCACCACCUCGAGGAGGAACUUGGACAGGAGCACUUUUGCCCUCCGGUGGAGCGAUUCCAACGGCGGAAUUGCCCUCCCGGAGAGGGAAAUCAUCAUCAUCAUCAUCACCAAUAACUCUCCCAUCUUGGGGAGGGCAAUCUCCAUCAACAUUUUCAACAACAUCAUCUCCUCUCAAACCCUAGUCCAUCUCUUCUGUUCAAUAUUUGUACCAGAACUAUAGAUGGGUGCUUGUGGGUGACUAGUAGUGUUGAUUACUAUAUGGUUUAUUUUGUGGAAGAUUAUAUAUUCAGAUCCAUUAUGCUAUUUAAUACCCAUCUGAUCUUGAGCAUUAUUAUCAUUUGUGAGUAGAUACUUUUGUUCUUGAGGUCACGGGAGAAAUCUUGUUGCAAGUAAUCAUGUGAAUUUUAUAUGUGUUUGAUAUUUUGAUGGUAUGUAUGUUGUAAUUCCCUUAGUGGUGUCAUGUGAACGUCGACUACAUGACACUUCAUCAUAUUUGGGCAUAAAGGAAUGCAUUGUGGAGUAGUUAUUAGAUGAUGGGUUGUGAGAGUGACAGAAGCUUAAACCCUAGUUUAUGCGCUAUUUCGUAAGGGGCUGAUUUGGAUCCAAAAGUUUAAUGCUAUGGUUAGAAUUUAUUCUUAAUACUUUUCUCGUAGUUGCGGAUGCUUGCGAGGGGGUUAAUCAUAAGUAUGAGUUUGUUCAAGUAAGAACAACACCUAAGCACCGGUCCACCCACAUAUCAAAUUAUCAAAGUAGCGAACACAAAUCAAACCAACAUGAUGAAAGUGACUAGAUGAAAUUCCCGUGUGCCCUCCAGAACACUUUGCUUAUCAUAAGAGACCAUUUUGGCCUGUCCUUUGCCUCAAAAAUAUUGGGCUACCUUGCUGCACUUUUUUUACCAUUACCGUUACUAGCUCGUUAAAAAUUAUCUUGCUAUCAAACUACUUGUUACUUAUACUUUCAGUGCUCGCAGACAUUACCUUGCUGAAAACCGCUCAUCAUUUUCUUCCGCUCCUCAUUGGGCUCGACACUCUUACUUAUCUAAGGACUAUGAUUGAUCCUCUAUACCCGUGGGUCAUCAAGGCUCUUUUCUGGCACCGUUGCCGGGGAGUGAAGCGCUCUUGGUAGGUGAAAAUUGGUAAGAAAAAAUUAUUACUACGUGCUGAAAUUUAUUGUCACUUGUUACUAUGGAGAACAAUCCUUUCAGGGGUUUGUUCGGGGUAUCUUCACCUUGAUCGGAACCACAAUUAGUUGCCCCUCAACCCACUGCACCUACUGAAAAUACUGAAUAUGAAAUUCCUUCGGGUAUGAUAGAACAACUGCUAGCUAAUCCUUAUGAAGGAGAUGGAACCGAACAUCCUGAUAUGCACUUGAUAUAUAUGGAUGAAAUUUUUGGAUUAUUUAAACUUGCAAGUUUACCCAGAGAUGAAGAUAAUAAGAAGGUUUUCCCUUUAUCUUUGAAGGGAAAAGCAUUGACAUGGUAUAGACUAUGCGAUGAUAAUGGAUCUUGGAAUUGGAAUCGGUUGAAAUUGGAAUUCCAUCAAAAAAAAUUAUCAUAUGCAUCUAGUUCAUCGUGAUUGGAAAUAUAUAUAUAAUUUUGGCCUCGUGAAGGAGAAAGUAUUGCUCUAUCUUGGUGGAGGCUUAAGCCAAUGUUAUAUUCAUGUCCCAAUCAUGAGCUCUCAAGAGAAAUUAUUACUCAGAAUUUUUAUGCUUGGCUUUCUCAUAAUGAUCGAUCCAUGCUCGAUACUUCUUGUACUGGUUCCUUUAUGAAGACUAUUGGAUUCCGGUGGGAUCUUUUAGAAAGAAUUAAAAGCAACUCUGGAGAUUAGGAACUCAACAAAGGUAAAGAGUCAUGUAUUAAGCUUAAGUUUGAUUGUGUUAAAUCUUUUAUGAAUAUCGAUGCUUUUCAAAAGUUUAGCACUAAAUAUGGACUAGACUCUGAGAUAGUAGCCUCCUUUUGUGAAUCUUUUGCUACUCAUGUUGAUCUCCCCAAAGAUAAGUGGUUUAAAUAUCAUCUCCCUAUUAAACAAGAAAUUAAAGAACCGGUGUAGACAUUGUCAUCUGUUGUUCCUCGACUCUCGGGAAGGUAAGAUCAUCAAUCAAUAGUAGGUCGCUGCUCUAUGCAGUUAAAGAUGGGAGACCCCCCUAACAUUUUCAUUGUCCCUUGUAGCGAUUAGACAGAUGUGUGAUUAUUUUAUUUUCCUGACUCGUUUUUCCCGGGAGCUCCUAUUCCGCGUGCUGCGUGCUGCGUUGUCUCAAGUUUCAUUGUCUGGUUUUUUUCUAGAUAAAGGAAAGGGCUUGCAUUGAUCCUCUUUUUUCUCUAUCUUUUAUUUAUAUAUAUCAGACAUUUCAUUUUAUGGAAGAAAAGCAAGGGGAUUUAGUUCAUAUUCACGAAGCCCUAGAUUUUUGGGUCAAGCUGGAUUUGAACCAGUUUAGACAUUGUCAUCUCGUGUUCCUCAACUCUCGGGAAGGUAAGGCCAUCAAUCAAUAGUAGGCUACCGCUCUGUGCAGUCAAAGAUGGGAGACCCCCCUCACAAUUUCGUUGUCCCUUGUAGCGAUUAGACAGAUGUGUGGCUAUUUUGUCUUCCUGGCUUGUUUUGCCCGGGAGCUCCUAUUCCAUGUGUUGCGUUGUCUCUAGUUUGAUUGUCUCGGUUUUUUAUGCAAAGGAAAGGGCUUGCAUUGCUCCCCUUUUUUCUUUAUCUUUUAUUUCUAUAGAUCAGACAUUUCAUUUUAAGGAAGAAAAACAAAAGGAUUUAGUUCAUAUUCAUGAAGCCCUAGGAUUUUGGGCCGAGCUGGAUUUGAACCAGUGUAGACAUUGUCAUCCGUUGUUCCUCGACUCUCAGGAAGGUAAGAUCAUCAAUCAAUAGUAGGCCUCUGCUCUGUGUAGUUAAAGAUGGGAGACCCCCCCUGACAAUUUCGUUGUCCCUUCUAGCGAUUAGACAGAUGUGUGGUUAUUUUAUUUUCCCGACUCAUUUUUCCCGAGAGCUCCUAUUCGGCGUGCUGCGCGUUGCAUUAUAUCCAUUUUGAUUGUCUGGUUUUUUUCUAGGCAAAGGAAAGGGUUUGCAUUGCUUCUCUUUUUUCUCUAUCUUUUAUUUCUAUAGAUCAGACAUUUCAUUAUAUGGAAGAAAAACAAAAGGAUUUAGUUCAUAUUCACGAAGUCGUAGAUUUUGGGUCGAGCUGGAUUUGAACCAGUGUAGACAUUGUCAUCUAGUGUUCCUCAACUCUCAGGAAGGUAAGAUCAUCAAUCAAUAGUAGGCUAUUGCUCUAUGUGGUUAAAAAUGGGACACCCCCCUGGCAAUUUUGUUGUCCCUUGUAGCGAUUAGAAAGAUGCGUGUUUAUUUUGUUUUCCUGGCUCAUUUUGCCCAGGAGCUCCUGUUCCACGCAUUGCGUUGUCUAUAGUUUGAUUGUCUAGUUUUUUCUAGGAAAAGGAAAGGACUUCAUUGCUCCCCCUUUUUGUUUAUCUUUUAUUUCUAUAGAUCAGACAUUUCAUUUUAUGGAAUAAAAACAAAAGCAUUUAGUUCAUAUUCAUGAAGCCCUAGAUUUUUGGGUCAUGCUGGAUUUGAACCAGGGUAGACAUUGCCAUAUGAUGUUCCUUGACUCUCAAGAAGGUAAGAUCAGUAGGUUGUUGCUCUGUGCAGUUAAGGAUGUGAUCCGGCAUGUUAUGUUUGCUUGUUUCCUAUAAUUUGUGCUCGAUUCCAUAUUUCUUUAUCCUUCGAUUCACAGGACAAAUCUGAUCUCCUUUAUACUUACCUCAAACAAAAAGGUCAUUCUAAAGCAGGUGUAUUCUUCUUCACUUCCUAGGAAGGCAUUUUCUUGCUAACAAGCCAAUUUGGCAAACAAAAGAGCUACAUACAAAAUGGAGAGAAGCUCAUUGCUACUUCUUGAGUUUGCGUUGAUUUUUCCCUUGAAGAGGAAAGGGUGAUGCAGCAAAUUAGAAAUAAGUAUUUCCCUCGGUUAAGAACCAAGGUGUCAAUCCAGUAGGAGGAACAAGCAAGCCUUCAAUCUAUGCACCUGCACAAACUAACAAACACUUGCACUCAACGCGAAAAAGGGGUUGUCAAUCCCUUCACGGUCUCGAAUAAGAGUGAGAUCCAAUAGAGAUAGGUAUAAAAGAUAAAUAAAAAAGGCAAACUAAAGUAAAUAUAAAUAAAUUGCAGCAAGGUAUUUUUUUGAUUUUUUGGUUUAUAGAUCUAAAAAUAUAUGAUGGAAAAUAGAACCGGGGACCAUAGGUUUCACUAGAGGUUUCUCUCUUGAAAGAAAACAUACGGUGGGUAAACAAAUUACUGUCGAGCAAUUGAUAGAAAACGCAAAGUUAUGACGAUAUCCCAGGCAAUGAUUAUGAAUAUAGGCAUCACGUCUAUGUCAAGUAGACUGACUCCUUCCUGCAUCUACUACUAUUACUUCACACAUCAACCGCUAUCCAGCAUGUAUCUAGAAUAUUACGUUCAUAAGAACGGAGUAACGCCUUAAGUAUGAUGACAUGAUGUAGAGGGAUAAACUCAAGCAAUAUGAUGAAAACCCUAUCUUUUUACCCUUGUUGGCAACAAUACAAUAUGUCCCUCGCUACCCCUACUUUGUCACUGGGUGAGGACACCACAAGAUUGAACCCAAAACUAAGCACAUCUCCCAUUGCAAGAAAUACCAAUCUAGUUGGCCAAGCCAAACCGAUAAUUCGAAAGGAAAUACAAACAUAUUUAAUCAUGCAUAAAAGAGUCCAGAAAAGACUCAAAUAAUAUUCAUAGAUAAUCAUCAAAUAAAGUCAUGAUCCACAUGCAUGAAAAGUUUACACUCUUCCGAAAUAGUGGGAUUAUCAUCAAAUAAAGUCAUGACAUCUCCAAGCCCACUUUUAUCAAAAAUUUCAUAAGAUUGGUCAUUCUCCAAAGUAGUUGGAUCAUUAUUACCUAGAGUUCACACUCUUCCAAACCCACUUUCAAUAUUAUUGCAAACAUAUUCAUCAUGAGGCUUAAAUGAAUUUUCAAGAUCAUAAGAAGCAUCACCCCAAUCAUGAUCAUUGCAAUAAGUAGCGGACAUAGCAAAACUAGCAUCCCCAAGCUUGGGGUUUUGCAUAUUAUUAGCACAAUUGAAAUUAAUAGAAUUUCUAAUAACAUCAUUGUAAUCAUGCUUUUGAUUCAAGGAACUAUCAAGUAUGGGUGCAAUAGCAAUAAUUUCAUGUUUAACAUAAGGAACUAUAGCAAGUUCAUCUCCAUAAGCAUAAUUAAUAUGGCCAUAAAAAUAGCAAGCAUCAUGUACAUCAAGGGAGGAUAUCUCAAUAAAAUCAAUGGAAUCAUAAUUAUCUAUAGACUCAUGCAUAUCAUUAUUUUCUUCCAAAGCAACGGCCAUUCUCCAAUAAAUUCCUUAACAUAGGCAUUAUGGGCAUAAUUUUCAUAGCAAUAUUUAAGUAUGUCAAAAAAAUUAGAUUUGUAGAGUAAUAUCAAACUUUUCAAUCAAAGAAGCAACUUCAUAAGCACCCUUAAAAGCAAAAAAAAAUCAAUUCGCUCGAUAUCAUAGUAACUAUAAACACCCUUUUCAUAAGAAGAUAAGAUUUCAUUAUCAUUAAACUCACAUAGGUAGGGAAGGUGUUCUUUAGGGUUCUUAGAGCAACAAGUAAAAUCACAAAUUUCACAAAGAUUCCAAGCAUAACAUAGCAAACAAUUUAUUUGAUUCCAUAAUAGUCUCUAUUUUUUAGACAACGGUGACGCACAAAUGAGCAUGCUCAUCUAAAGAUUUUUCCCUCAACUAAACUAGUUGGGGUUUCAGCACGAGCACAUAUGGAUCGAAGAUGAUCCAAGUAGAAAACUUGAAGUGGAUCCAUCAACCUUUUUGUUUCUGAUUUUCAAUAAACACACAAUUGUACCAAGCAAACAAGCAAACGAAUGAAGUAAGACAUAAAGGCAAAUGAAAAAGACAAAUAUUUUUGUGUUUUUCUGAAAACAUUUUAGAAGUGGGGGAGAGGAAAACGAGAGGAAAAUGGCAAAUAAUGUAAUGCAGGAGAUGAGAGUUUAUGAUGGGUACUUGGUAGGCUUGAUGUAGAACCACCCCGGCAAGGGUGCCAGAAAUUCUUCCUAUUACUUCUUGAGCAUGCGUUGAUUUUUCCCUUGAAGAGGAAAGGGUGAUGCAGCAAAGUAGAAAUAAGUAUUUUCCUCAAUUAAGAACCAAGGUAUCAAUCCAGUAGGAGGCACAAGCAAGUCUCCAAUCUAUGCACCUGCACAAACUAACAAACACUUGCACUCAACGCGAAAAAGGGGUUGUCAAUCCCUUCACAGUCUCAAACAAGAGUGAGAUCUAAUAGAGGUAGGUAUAAAAGAUAAAUAAAAAGGCAAACUAAAGUAAAUAUAAAUAAAAUGCAGCAAGGUAUUUUUGGGUUUUUUGGUUUAUAGAUCUGAAAAUAGACCCGGGGACCAUAGGUUUCACUAGAGGCUUCUCUCUUGAAAGAAAGCAUACGGUGGGUAAACAAUUUACUGUCGAGCAAUUGAUAGAAAAGCGCAAAUUUAUGAAGAUAUCCAAGGCAAUGAUUAUGAAUAUAGGCAUCACGUCCGUGUCAAGUAGACCGACUCCUGCCUGCAUCUACUACUAUUACUCCACACAUCGACCGUUAUCCAACAUGCAUCUAGAGUAUUAAGUUCAUAAGAACGGAGUAGCGCCUUAAGUAUGAUGACAUGAUGUAGAGGGAUAAACUCAAGCAAUAUGAUGAAAACUCCAUCAUUUUACCCUUGAUGGCAACAAUACAAUAUGUGCCUCGCUACCCCUAUUUUGUCACUGGAUGAGGACACUGCAAGAUUGAACCCAAAACUAAGCACCUCUCCCAUUGCAAGAAAUACCAAUCUAGUUGGCCAAACCAAACCGAUAAUUCGAAGGGAAAUACAAAGAUAUUUAAUCGUGCAUAAAAGAUUUUAGAAAAGACUCAAAUAAUAUUCAUAGAUAAUCUGAUCAUAAAUCCAUAAUUCAUCGGAUCUCGACAAACACACCACAAAAGAAUAUAACAUUGGAUAGAACUCCAAGAACAUUGAGGAGAAGAUUGUAUUGAAGAUCAAAGAGAGAGAGAGAAGAAGUUAUCUAGCUACUAGCUAUGGACCCGCAGGUCUUUGGUAAACUACUCACGCUUCAUCGGAAGGGCAACAAGGUUGAUGUAGAUGCCCUCCGUAAUCGAAUCCCCCUCCGGCAGGGUGCCGGAAAAGGUCCCAAGAUGGGAUCUCAUGGGAACGGAGGCUUGCGACAACGGAAAAGUAUUUUGGUGGAUGCUUCUGUUGGUUUGGGAAUAUUUGGGAAUUUAUAGUGCAAGAAUUACGGUUGGAGGACUCCCGAGGGGCCCAAAAGCCCUCAGCCCCCCGGGGCCAUGCUUAGGACUCUUGUGGCCUCCUCGGGAAACUUCUGGCCCCCUCUCCAAGUCCUAUGGGUGUCUUCUGGCCCAAGAAAAAUCAUCACAAAAUUUUUAUUCCGUUUGGACUCCGUUUGGUAUUCCUUUUCUGUAAAACUCAAAAACAAGGGGAAAAACUGGCACUGGGCUCUAGGUUAAUAGGUUAGUCCCAAAAAUAAUAUAAAAUAGCAUAUUAAUGCAUAUAAAACAUCCAAAACAUAUAAUAUAAUAGCAUGGAACAAUAAAAGAUUAUAGAUACGUUGGAGAUGUAUCACUCAUCCGGUAGAAAUGCUUUAUUUCUUUUUGUUCCCGUUACCAUGGCAUUAGGAUUUUAAGAUUUAAGAGGGGGAUGCUGAGGAGAGGAUCACAUGCAUUGAAGCAAUCUCAAGGUUCAGAAAUGAUCAAAAUAAUGGUAUUCAUCCCAAAGAUAGAGACGAAAGAAACGUAAUUAUUGAAUUAGACUUGGCUUCUUUUUCGGCAUGGGAAAAGGUUUGGCCAUUCCACCAUUAACAAAGGUUGAAUCGGUUGACUCUGAUUGACCUCCUGGGUGUAUGAGAAUUCCUUCGGUUUUCUAACUCUAAAUAGAGGAAUUAAUAGAGCCAUUCCUAUCUCCUGGCCAAAGGGAAGUCUUCAACUCACUUCUUUGUUUGUUCAAAGUCAUGUCCUUCAGUAAUUAUUAUUUUUCCGAAGGGGGUCGUGCCAUAGCAGCUCAAACCUUGCUCCAGAAUGUUUCAGUUUAUGUUCCUACCUAUCUAUUCUACGAUCUAUAUAGGGAGUGGGGCAACGUUUUCUCUGGGUACCACCGGCUUGCCACCGGGUUGAAAGAAAUCCCUCCGCCCACUUCCCUUAGUUAUCUUCAACUCUUUCUCUUUUGGUAGCAGAAGGCAUUCCCAGUAUAAAUGAUGGUUCUUGUUUUCGUAUUAUUAAAGUUUUCAAUUGUACACGAAAGAGGUUUGUGACCACUACCAUUUUAGUAAGGUAUUUGUCAUCAUAUUGUUGGAGAAAGCAUUCUUUGCUAACAUAGCUCAGCCUAGCAAUGGCUGGGAAUUUCUUAUCCCAGAAUGCAAAAAAAAUGCCCGCCAAUUCAUUGGUUUCAGUAGGUUUUCUAAUGAAGUCAAGCCCCUUCUUGAUGUCUGCUUCUCGACUAUGAUGUGUCUUACCAUAGACAAGAGGCAUAUACACCUUCUUCACCAAAUUUAAGUUCAUGUCCAUUCUGGAAACACAUCUUUCUAUUCCAUCUUUUCCCGAAUCUCCCUUCAUGGAAGAAAUAGAGGCUUGAGAAGGAAUACCAAUAAAAACCUAGUUCGGUCUCAAAAACCUAGUUCGCUCGCUAAAGCAUCCAUGGUUGAAUGGUGAAAGCGCCCACCAACCUAGAAAGGCAAAAUGGGUCAAAAACAUUUGUCAACAGAACACUUCCCUAUUCCUUGAACUGAAACAGAAAGCUUCUUGCAUCAAUUGGAUUGAAAAUUGACAUGAUUAGCUGCUCCUCCCAAGUACCCGAAGUAGGGUCAAUCAACUCGUUUAAUAUUCAAACAAGAAGUUGGGGCGGGUCGGUCCUUGGAGCAAAAGUCCGCAGCUAAGCCUAUUCUUGACUGACAUGCAGAUCGAGUCCAUCAAUUUCACAAGUAUCUCGUUUGGUAAAUAGUGAUUUACUAGAUAGAAUGGAUCUAUUAACUGCUUCGGCUAUGCUAUUAAACAAAAGUCUAACUACUUACACUAUGGGGAUGGUGAGAAGAGAUAUAUUUUACAUCCUAGAGGGGCUAUAAUUGGAGAUACUAUUGUUUCUGAUAAAAAGUUCCUAUAUCAAUGUGAAAUGUCUUACCUUUGAGUGUGGUUUGAACUAUUGAUUUACCUAAUUGGAAGUAACCAAUUAGGUUUACGACGAAACCUAAAAAUCGAUCACUAACCAAUUUGACUACCUCUAUGGGAUAGACCACAACUGAAAACUAUUGAGUAACGGCAGCAACUGAUUGAGUUCAGUAGUUCCUCAUAGAAAAUUACACGCAGUGAGUGGUAAUCAGUCCUGAAAGGAAUAAGGUUUGGUGCUCUACGAAAAUAUUUGAUUCACCAAAAAGUUCGCUUUAUCAGACCAAUCUAUACCUACUAUUAAAGGGAAUAGGUAUUCUUGGUUUGGUUUCGCUUUGUUUCGUCCCGUUUAGGUGAUUCUUUUUGUUUCGUCCCGCCUCGAAGAUUUUUAUUAUCUGUGGUGGUACUAUUUUUUGAUGCUGCGCAAGCUCGCUCACGUUUUUGUUUCUAGGUUGAACGAUCGCUUGGCUGGGCCAGUGUAUGCCAUCGAAGCCCAUCCAGGCAAAAAAAAAUACGAGCGUCCAUUGGGCUCCUGAAAAUCAAGUAAAAAAUGAGUGGGCUUCGUAAUAUUAUCAAGUAAAAUAUAGAUUACACAGUGGAGAAUCGAACACAACACCUCUCAUAUCAAAAGAACUCGCGGUAAUCAACUCAACUAACUUCUAUUUGUGAUUAAUCCCACUUGAAGGGUUUAUAUUGAAUCACCCCGAUAUACGUUCCCUAAUUGCUUGGAAGACACUGAAAGGAAUUGCCCUGAGAUUGUGCUGCUGCCAUGCAAAUAAAGAGAAAUAUUCCGGGGCAUUAAUUGCCGGCGGGGAGUUCCCUUGAUUAAAGGGAGGGAUCAUGAUGGGGCUGGAUUUGUGUGUCCUUUAAAGGAUGCGGGAUUUGUGGGCUGCUAACGCCUUGUACAAUGGGAGGUGCUUAGAGAAAUAAAUCAGACUUUUCUUAAGCACCGGUGCUUAUUUGUACAGGAUAGACGCUUAACUAAGCGUCUCUCCUGUAGAAAUAGGCACCGGUGCUUCAGAAAAACCCGGUUUAUUUUUCUAAGCAUCUCUCUAAGCAUCUUCCAUUGUACAAGGCCUAAUGCACCCAUAAUUAACAGUUAACAGUUGCACAAUUAAGGAAGGAUUGCUGCAAGCCGACCCCUGCUAUUAGGAAGAAAAGGAAGGAAUUUAAAAAAAGAAAUAUGAAGUACGAAUUAUUUCGGGCAGUGUGAAUGUCAAGUUAACAAUUAUUGAUUUGUAGCCAAUGGGAACCAACGUUUUGCAUGUUUUUUAUGACAUCAUAAAAUUUCAAGAAAAUAUUUGUAAAAUGGUGCGUUAAAUUGUAAUCAAACCGUUGUCCUUGAGUCCAUGGACUCUAAAGGACCAAUAACCAACUAGGCUAUAAACAUUUUUUGAUUUUUUAAUGGAUUACAUCCAAUAUUAUGCGUACUCAUUUGAUCUAAGGUUAAUUUUGAAUAACUUAAAUAUUCUUUUUUUGUCAUGAAUGAACUGAUGAGCCGGCGGUACAACCGGUGAGUCGUUCGUUCGUUUUUUAAACUAUGAUUAGAUGGCCAUGGCGAAAGAGCACGCAUAGUUCGCUGCUGGAAACAUACCCAAGUUCAUGCUAGAGAUGAAGAAGUAAGACGGUGUUGACAAUGAAGUGUAUGCAGUUUGUGUUGACUCAAGUAAUUGAUGUCGUCCUGGAGCCAUGUGUCCCAGAGCGGCGAGUCGGGGGCGUACCUGUGGCCGUAGUACAGGUCGUCGGGGAGGCGGCGGCGGCGGCGAUUGAUCUCAUCGCGCCGUGCACGGCCGGUCGCCGGCACUGGCGGGAUGGGGACCCGGUCCGCGGAGAGGUGCCACCCGUUGGGGAGGUGGGCGUCGCUCCACGGGACCGGCGUCCUCGUCUCCCAGUACCUCCGGCACACGCCCGCACAGAUGUACUGCCGGUCGCGCUCGCCGGAGGGCCGAGGGGCAAUGGUGAAGGGGGCCGGCACGGGGGCUCGACGGGAGGAGCGCGGCGGAGACGCGGGGGCUCGACGUGCGGAUGAUAGGUGGGGCCGUCCGCUCGUGCGCAUUGAUGUGGGCGGGUGGGAGGUAGGUGGCCGCCUGCCACGCGGCCCCGAAGCGGACGAGGCGCGCGUCCAUUUGGUGUCCGCCGCGACCCAAACCCGGCGCAAGUUUGCGCUCGAAAUGGGUCGGCUCGGACACAAAACGGACAGGAUGGGUCCGGGCCGUCGCGCGCUGGGCCGCCUCCUUUGUCCCUUUUGUCCCAAACGGACAGGGCCGGACAGGAUGGGGGCGCGCGGUGGAGUUGGCCUGAGGACCGCAGGGACAGGGGUGGGUGGGUGCUUGACCAGCAAUGCCAUAACACUAAUAUAGUGGUACCAUGGAAUCCAGGCCUUUACAGUUUUUUAAUACAGUACAAUCUUUUAGAAUCGUCUUUUUUUGGAUAAAAUUUCAUUCGGCCAUCGCAUCAAGGUGAUACAACUGCACUAAGUGCAAACGCGGCCUUUGUUUUAGAAUCAUCGCUUAUCUAUCCUCUAUUUAUUAUUGUAUAAUAGGUCAAUGUGGGAAGUUUUAGCGUUCCCAAGCUUCUGAGAGAAAACAAUCAAAUAGGUAUGUUGGUCGAAAGUCAAGAAAUAUUAAGUUGGGCUUUUGACCAGGCAUCUGACUUUCGAGCAAAUGCGGCUCAAAUUGAUAGAGAUCCCCUCCUUUAUGUUUUACAAUAUCAACCGUUACACACGAAAUAUGCAACCAGAAUGCAAGUUCGUAGAACAUCUAAAUACAACAACAUUUGCAAACUAGAACUAACAGAAAAUGAAAUAGUGAAAUAUACACCUGAUAAAAGAUCAAGUUUCUUUCUGUUAAUGGUAUAGUGAAAAGCAGACAGUAGAGCACACCAGGGCAAAAGCAUUUUAAACGGCGCAAUGUACAUCAGACAUCACAAACAGGCCUCAUAUUAUUCUGGUUCACAGGACAAACAAUGAAGAGGAUUUGGUAAACGACAACACAAGUAGCAACGAUGACGAAAGAACACAUGAAAGUAAGAUCGAUAGACGUAGACAGCUCUUCAACAUGAGCUCGACACUUGCUCGCGACCACCAAGGUGCUAAGCCGCUACUCGAACGCGCCAGGAUGCUCCAUCUGCAUCUUGACAACCUGCUCCCACGCCUUGCGCCUCGAGAUUUGGUCGAACCACCUCGCCACAUUCCUCCUGGAGGUGAAGAGCUUCCUCCCCCUCUCCGAGCUCACAAUGUACUGCGAGUCCGGGAGGUGGGAGAGGUCAGCCAGGGUGAACUCAUCGCCAGCUAGGUACUCAUUCUUCGAGAGUAUUUCAUCGUAAACAUUGAGGACUUGCUGAAGCUUCCUCUCAUUCUCUGCAAUGGCCAUGUGGUCCUGAGGGAUUCCCAGAAGAGGAGCAAAUGCCAGCUGAAACACGAGGGCCGAGCUGGGAGGGUUGAAGCUCUGAGCCUCUGCCUGCAGCCACUGUUCUAUUGAUGCCCGUUCCAGAGAGCCAGUCCCAUAGAGGUUCCUGUUUCCCUGGUUUGGGAACUGGGUACAGAGGUACCGGCAAAUAGCCCUUGGAUCUGCACAGAAGGUUCACGUUGCCUUUCAGUCCUCAAAAGAAAAGUGAAUCCAGAAAUGUAACGUGAUAAGUGAUAACUGUGUUCAUGCUCUCCUUACCGACAAGAGUCUUGUCACCAUGCUUGAAUGUCACUUGUCCACUUGGAUCCUGCAAAAGGAUGAAUGGAAAAAUUAGUACAUGCUUUACCUAAUUCAAGAUUUUUUGAAACUGAAUAAGAAGUGAUCGAAGCAUCCUACCCGCAGCCUGAUGAACUCGGGAAGCUUGUGCUGCCUCUUGAAUGUGUCGAUGCGGACGAGAUCAAACUCCAAAUUCUUCUCAAAGAGGCAUGUCAGAACCCUGGCAACAUCGGUGGAUGCUGGCUGGCCAAACACCUGCAAGCCUGAAGCCAUCCUUUCUCUUUGGCUUGAUUGAUCUCUUUGUCAGGCUAUGCAAUGGCAAUGAGCAAUGGUGACAGCAGGUUUCAAUACAAGGCAUUUAAAGAAAGAAAAGGUGGAAUUCCAUACUUGCCUUGCUCUUGCUACCUAGCACAAUAUUUUACAAUUGGAAAGAGGAAAGUGUAAAGAGAAAGUGUGGUUCUGGAUUCUUGCCUGCAAAAUAUAUAGCAUUGUUUAUGUACAAUCCAGUCUUUGAUUACUUGACUCAGAACAAACAAUAUAUGAGGAGCUCGUGAUGUUGCAUGGGUGGUUUGGGACAAUUGAUAGAGAGAACUUGGCUUGGAUAAGUGAGAAGAUUGGCUAGUAUAACGCCCGUGCGUUGCCACGGGCUCUUCAAAAUUUAUAAUCAGUAUCUUUCAUUUAUCAUCCCCUCAUAUUGGAUGAUUAUGGGGUGCUCUAAUUAGAAACACAACAAUCAAAUAUUAGGAAAUUUCACCGAACGAACAACAACGAAUAAUACGAUAUCUAUCAAACGAAUAAAAUGAGGUCAUAUUUUUGGUCCGUCAUGCACUUCUGUUGAAAAGUGCCUAUCCCUUUUAGAAUCAACCCACUGUUUGCUCGCACGCAAAAAAAUACAUAUCUAAAGUGGGGAACCGAUCGGUGCCAAAAAGAACUCAAACUCCUAUCCAAUCUCGACUUCGUGCUCUUCCACUUCCAUUGAUAAAGAUGGGACGUCAAGGGUUUCAUCAUGAUGACCUCGAGCAGCCGCCGACAUCCCUCCCCACAUCUACCCUACCCCCUGCUGCCGCUUGCACUGUCCUUGCUCCUCGAGGGAGCUAGGGACACAAUGUUCUCUAGGAUGGGCAUGACCAGAUCCACGAGGAGGCCACAUUCUUCCAUGGGAACCCAACCAAGCACACCACCCUCCGCAACCAUCCAAUCCCGGCCUAACAAAGUCAAGACCCGCCAUCGAUCCACAAAUCAGGCUCGCCGCAUCCAGGUUCACUGCAAGUCUGCGACGAGUCUGUAGUCGACAUCUUGACUUUGGCUAUCCCCACGGAAGAAUCAUCGGAUCCUGCUUACUUUUACCAUCACUUCGUCUCUUCCCAAGGCAGCGACACCACCCAGCCAAUCACCACCACCGCUUGCGGCUUGCCUACAUAAAAUCAUGAGAAAUCUCCACGGCGGUGCUGUAAGAUCACCUUGGCGACCUCGACAGUGACCGACUGGUCUAAGAUCUAAGCUAGCCGCUCUUUGUAGAAACCAAUAGAAGUAGGCAUGUGACUCAGAUUUGUUCUUUGGUGUGCAUGCGUUUCUUGCUGCCCACCAGCUCUUGUCUACAACUCGCCUAUCUCUGUACCAGCUCUUGGUCUACAACUCGCCUAUCUCCAUGCUCGAGACGACCAAGCUCGAUGCGCAAGCCGCAUACGUCUGCUAGAGCUAUAUCCAGGCCCUAUGAUUUUUGGAUCACUGGCACUAUGGGUGCCAGGACCGGAGUCGCCCUCAUCCACCAAGUGGAUCAAGGAGGUCCACCACCUAGACUCUACAUCGCAACAUUUUGUGUUUUCCUAUAAAAAGUAAAGAACCUUCUCUAAUAAACGUAAAUAUAACCUUUUGGUUUUAUAGUCUCAACUUUCCUACACUUCAAUACCAGAAGGAUUUCUUGGUUUUAUUUAAUGAUCUUCUUGAAUGUCAUUCACUUAGAAAGGUAGUAAUACAAUCUGUGAUAUUAAGGCAAAUUAUUAGUCAUAUUAAAGUGCAAAAGGCCCUAUAGGAGUCAAAGCAUGACUUUUAUGGUUAUACUGUAAUUUGCAAGAUCUGAGAUUUAUGCAAGUGUACAAUUAGAGAAGAGCCAAUUAAAUAGAAUUUCACAUUCAGAAUAGUACGAUUAGCAGUAGCACUUCAAUUUUUUCAUGUUUGAUCAGCUUGCUAGGUGGUUAUCACUAAGCAUGUUGGAACGAUGAGCAUAACCUAACUUAGUUCAGUACGUGUUGCUGCAAAUUAGUUCAGUACGUACGAAGCUGUUGCUAAUUUCAAUGCCUGGCUGUUGCAAGUUUCUAAUGAAAAAGUACUUCAGGUCAAAGGUCAGGGAAUAUACACUUUUGUUAUCAUGGUUGUUUCCUUAUAGUGAACAACUUUGAUCACCACUUCAGCAGCUACUAUCUAUAAGAAGACAUUAGCUAAGUAGAUAUAGGCAAAGAAAGCAUGUAGGCAAAACCAGAAUUAAAAACAUCCUUCUCAAUGGAGCUCGUGCAGUUCGGAAGACCCUAAUCAUCGAUGAGGGACCCCUCCGAUGGUAGUAUGGCGUGACAAUUGCCGUCAAUGACGACACCCAAAGUACCUUGCAUAAUCCAUCGAUCCAGUUCGGAACAAUCAAGCACAUACCUUGCAAAAGUGAUGUGGAUCUGAAGUAGAGGUGGGAAGGUAAAGGCUCAGGUGAGGUGGAAUGAGACGUUGAUAUAGACGUGCACGCAUGAGAAUAAGGCGGUGCCCAGGAUGGAUCUCCAUCGGAGGAGGCUGGAUCCGCUGGGGAGGAGGUCGCUGUAGUACCUGCCAUCUGUGCGAUGGAUCACGGGGCUGGCAGGCAGGGGGAGGGGAUAGGAGGGAGCGGGUGGGCUAGAGCGCAGAUGGCGGGUGCCCCCGACGACGGCUGGGAAGGAUGGUGGAGGAGGUGGAUGAGGGUGGCGGCGGCGGCGUCUGCGGUUGCGCCUCGUCCGCAGCCGUGCUGGUGGUGGUCGAUGCGAGAGCCGGAUGGCGUCGGCCAGAAUCAGGCAGGGGCGACAAAGAUUUAGAGGAGAGAGAGAAUGGAGGAGAUGAGCGAUGGGAGGAAGGGCCACCGGCGAUUGGGGUGGCCUCAGAUCCGCCCUCCGUGGCCGCCUAUUUCAUGGGACGAACACCCGUGCUCACCGUCGGGCUCGCCUUCGGCCGCUGCCUCGCCGACAUUCACGACGUAGAGCCCCUUCCUCCGAUCCCAUUUGCCAGGGAGGCAGCGCCAUCCUUCAUCGUAGAGAAUGAGUCCACACUGAGAUCCCAACCAGAUCGUGAUUGCGCCUCCCCAAACCGCAGCGGCACAUCCCACUCCAUCAACGACCAACCUAUAUGAGGCGGAGGGUCAGUGUAGGACGCGAGCGCCGUCACCAUGGACGUGGGGGACGCCGUAGGUGGGAAGGAGGCGGCGACGGCGUUUGUGUCAGCAGAUCGCACGACGGUGACGGCGUUUACUCGAGGGGAUUGAGAGGAGCUGCGUUUGGUGCCGGGUGGGUUCUUUGGUGCGUGCGUGGGGCUGGAGAUUGUGAUAGGUGAUCAGGUGAGGGCGUGCCAUACCUGGAUCGAUAGCCUUACCAUACCUGAUGGUAAUUUAAAUUUAUUACCAUAUUCGAUAUUUCCCGAGUUAUGGCCUUACCAUACCUGGAUUGAUAGCCUUUGGGGUAAUUUACAUUUAUUACCAUAUAAUUACCAUAUUCAAAAUUUCCUGAGUUAUGACCUUACCAUACCUGGAUUGAUAUAUUACUAUACGUGGAUUAAUUAUGAUUUAUUACUAUAUGAUUUAUUACUAUACGUGGAUAGCCUUACCAUACCUGGUGGUAAUUUAAAUUUAUUACCAUAUUCGAUAUUUCNNNNNNNNNNCCAUAUAAUUACCAUAUUCAAAAUUUCCUGAGUUAUGACCUUACCAUACCUGGAUUGAUUUAUUACUAUACGUGGAUUAAUUAUGAUUUAUUACUAUAUGAUUUAUUACUAUACGUGGAUAGCCUUACCAUACCUGGUGGUAAUUUAAAUUUAUUACCAUAUUCGAUAUUUCCCGAGUUAUGGCCUUACCAUACCUGGAUUGAUAGCCUUUGGGGUAAUUUAAAUUUAUUACCAUAUUCGAUAUUUCCCAAUUUAUGGCCUUACCAUACCUGGAUUGAUAGCCUUUGGGGUAAUUUAAAUAUAUUACCAUAUAAUUACCAUAUUGAAAAUUUCCUGAGUUAUGACCUUACCAUACCUGGAUUGAUUUAUUACUAUACGUGGAUUAAUUAUGAUUGAUUACCAUAAAUACGUUGGGUAUUGCCGGUCAGACGAGAAAAGAGAAACACCGGUGGUAGGGGCUGGUGGGAGGUGGGACGAAGAAAAACCGGUUGAAAAUAAACCGGUUGAAAAUAAACCGGUUNNNNNNNNNNGGAGGGACUAUUCAACCAAUUCGUCCAUUAGGAGUAGAGAUAUGGAGGUUGCCAUGGAGUUAUAAAUAUAUGUAGGAUUCAUAGGUCGGUGUUGACUUGGGCGAUAGGAUGAGUUAAUCGAAAGGAGGUCGGUUAUAGGAUGGGGUCAAAGAAAACCUAGGUAAAGAUGAUGCCAAAUGCAGUCUGCAACCCAUGUCAACCCAUGUGCUAGAACUGGAUAGCUAUCUUCAUGGACACAAAUAUACCAUUGUUUGGUUCUAUUCUCUUUUAGUUUGUAGAGUAAGAAUUUGAAUAAUUUGAGUAUCAUUCUAUCUCUCAAUUGUUGAGAAAUUGUGAUCAAACCAUGCAAUGAAGGAACCAAAUCAAAAGAAGCUUUCACUUGUGCUUUCUAGCCAUUUAAAAUAAGCAUGUGGCAUCAAAUUAUUUAAUGGUGUGUCAGCCAAUUCCAUGAUUUUCUAGAAGAGAGAGGCUCGCACUUCACAAUAUUCAUAAUUUCAAGGUAUGAAAACCUUGCACACACACCUAAAUUCAAUAAAAUAUACGACAAAUAUAUAAACAAUUAUACAAUACACACUUGUGACACUAUAAACAAAUAACUUCAGUUCAUGACAGCCUGAUCAUCCCAGGCCCAGCUUCCAGGGUUUCCACCCCUCCCACCAUGUACGGCUCCCCCUCCCACCUCNNNNNNNNNNACCUGGAUCGAUAGCCUUACCAUACCUGGUGGUAAUUUAAAUUUAUUACCAUAUUCGAUAUUUCCCGAGUUAUGGCCUUACCAUACCUGGAUUGAUAGCCUUUGGGGUAAUUUAAAUUUAUUACCAUAUAAUUACCAUAUUCAAAAUUUCCUGAGUUAUGACCUUACCAUACCUGGAUUGAUUUAUUACUAUACGUGGAUUAAUUAUGAUUUAUUACUAUACGUGGAUAGCCUUACCAUACCUGGUGGUAAUUUAAAUUUAUUACCAUAUUCGAUAUUUCCCGAGUUAUGGCCUUACCAUACCUGGAUUGAUAGCCUUUGGGGUAAUUUACAUUUAUUACCAUAUAAUUACCAUAUUCAAAAUUUCCUGAGUUAUGACCUUACCAUACCUGGAUUGGUUUAUUACUAUACGUGGAUUAAUUAUGAUUGAUUACCAUAAAUACGUUGGGUAUUGCCGGUCAGACGAGAAAAGAGAAAAACCGGUGGGAGGGGCUGGUGGGAGGUGGGACGAAGAAAAACCGGUUGAAAAUAAACCGGUUGAAAAUAAACCGGUUGAAAGUGGGGGGGACUAUUCAACCAAUUCGUCCAUUAGGAGUAGAGAUUUCUGUCAGAGUGCAAGAAUAAUUUUUUCGAUAAAAGCAACGUCCACCGUAUGGAGUCACUAGUCAGGUAUAUGUUUAAUAAUCCAGUCAUUGAUAACUUGACUGAGAAGAAAAACAGUAUAUGAUGAGCUCAUGAUGUUACAUGGAUGGUUUGGGACAACUGAUAGAUAGAAUUUGGCUAGGAUAAGUAAGAAGAUUGGCAUCAAGUACCAGCUGUGAUGAGGAUCUGAUGGCUUCUGUCAGGGUACAAGAAUAAAAUUUUCGACAUAAAGUAAUGUCUCCCAUAUGGAGUCAGGUAUAAUUCAACCGUUGGUCUGAUGGAAGAAAAAACAUACUGGGAUUGAAAUCUAUGCACACACAUAAAUUUUGAUCCCAGUAUGUUCUAUUUGGUAGAAGAACAUAACUGAUUUAUUAGGAGUAGUGCCUAUAAAAUGACAAGCUGAAUUCAGUUGCUUAAGUUUUACUUCCUCUGUAAACAAAUAUAAGAGCGUUUAGAUAACUAAAGUAGUGAUCUAAACGCUCUUAUAUUUCUUUAUGGAGGGAAUACAUAUUAGAUUAGUAUGAAGAGGCAAAAUAAGAAACUGCUAAAAUGCAUUGACCGAAGUGAUAAUCAGCAUGUCAUCCUGAGCAUUUAGCUCACUUCAGCCAGCAGUACUAUCAGGCUUGGAUAAGUAAGGAGGUUGGCAUCAAGUACCAGCAGUAACGAAGAUCUGAUGACUUCUGUCAGAGUGCAAGAAUAUAUUUUUCAACAAAAGCAACAUCCCCCAUAUGGAGUCAGGAAUAAUUGAGCCGUUCAUCUGAUGGAAGAAUCUUUGAAUGUGCUUAGCUUUCAAUCCCAGUAUGUUUCAUUUGGUAGAACAUAACUGAUUUAUCAGGAGUGGUACCUGUAAAAUGACAAGAUGAAUUCAUGCUUAAGUUUUCCAUGUUAUAUUACUGAUAAUAGUGUGAAUAGGCAAAAUAAGAAGCUGCCAAUAUGCAUUCACUCAAGUGAUAAUCAGCAUCUCAUUCUCAGCAACUGAAAUAAGUAUUAUUUGGCUUGCAUUAACACACCGCUGAAUUCUUUGAACAUUUGCACUGCCUCAGAUUUGCCAGGACUCUAUUUGUUUCUCAACUUUUCUCGUAGCCCAGAAUGGAUUUAUCCAAGUAUAUUUGAGAAGGACAAAUACUACAAAUGACAACUCGCACUUGUUAUUUAUCUUCGAAUCAUACACCCCAAUCCCAACACUGCUAGUGAGACAAUACAUGGAUCAAUAUUGAAUCAAGAUGUGUCAUCUUGCAUUACCUUACAUAUAUAUCACCUAGCUUAAGGCCUGGAUCAACAAUUUGAUGUUGUAGAUAAGCACAUUUUUCUACAGAAUUGGUCAAACUUGAAUAAAUUUGACUUAGGACAAAGCAAGAACUUCAAUAAUUUGGAAUGGAGGGACUAAAAUUCAGUAGGUAAAGAGAUUGUCAGAGUGACCCACUGAAAGUAACAGGGUAGUAAACCAACGUCUCAAGAAUAGAUUUAUGUGGAUUAUGGGAUGCAAUCGAGUUCCAACAGGCAACAGCACAGAAUUGAGAAAACAGAGGAACAUAUCCAACCAUGCAAACUCAAUAAUACCACAGAGAUAGAUAGCAGGAUAACAUAUUGUACAAAGCAGCCCGAGUCUUUCACAACACAAUUAACAUUUAGGAGUGGUGGCAACACAUAACAGAACGUGACUAAUUGCCACCAGAAGCUGCUCGGCCAAAAAAAUGAAGGGGGCCU
rnacentral:lncRNA from 1 species